rnacentral:lncRNA from 1 species
UGGAUACGAUGGAUUCAAGAUAAACCACUAGAACUGAUCGACAAAACGUUUUGUGAUUCAUGCAACAUAUCUGAAGUGGUAAGGUGUCUUCAUGUGGGGCUGUUAUGUGUGCAAAGAGUACCUGAGAAUAGACCAAGCAUGUCAUCUGUGGUUCUGAUGUUGAGCAGUGAUGUUGCCUUGCCACCUCCAAAGCAGCCUGGUUUCUACACUGAACGAAGCGUCAAUGAAUCACCAUCAAAGACACUUCUAUGUUCAGAAAAUACUUUCAGCACUACAUGGAUAGAACCUCGGUAGAUCAUCAUUGCGGUGCUUGUUAGUCCUUCAAUCAACCAUCACAAAACGUGUUCGGAAGGUUGACGUGAAGCUUAUAGCCUUAGCUGGGAAACAAUGAGACCUGCGAUUGUAACUCUGCAAGAAAAAUAUUUAUGAUUACAAGUUUAUCAGUUCCUAAAUCAGAACAAAGAAAGCACUUGGGGUUGUUAGAUGAUUGAAGAAAAAUUAAGUUAUAGCUAAAGUUGUGUUUAUUAUUUAUUGAUUUUAUUUUAUUAUUUCAUGAUAAGAUAAAAUUUAUUGAGAAGGAAAGUAGAUCCUGGUUCGGAUAUUUGAUCAAGUCACCGGAAUUAACACUCUAAGCCUGGUUCGAGAUAGGUGUUUGUCAUUUAAGUUUCUUUGGCAAUCCUCUAUUGGUAGAAAAACUUCAGUGCAGGCAUUUGGACCGCGUGACCAUCGUCCCGCAAACACAAACAUCACGCUAAAGUGAGGCAGCCGUACUGAAGUUUCUCUCCACCGUCUAUUCAAGCAUUUUCAGCGCCUGUUCGGUCUGCCCAUUAUUCAAGCACCCACCAAUAACAGCAUUCCAUGAAGCACCAUCCAAUUUAACAUCUACCCUUCUCAUCCUACAAAUUAAAGUUACACCUUUUUGUUUUGAAGCAAGAAAAAAUAUAUAUUAAAAGGUAAACCCCCAAGAACAACCGUUCCCUAUAUAAUCAAACGGAAGAGCAUGAAGAGCAAAUGAAGGAAUAUGGGAUGAUCCCAAAUAUGACAAUUAGUAAUAAGAAGGCCUUGGUGAUCAAAGGCAUCCGCCACAAAGUUAGCCUCUCUAAAAAUAUGUUUCCAAUCAAUGCAAUCAAAUUUGGUUGCCAUCCACUUGAUAUCUUCAAUAAUAGGAACCAGAUUCCACGGUGUCAUAUCCUGGUCCAACACUGACUGAAUGACCAACUUAGAGUCUCCUUCUACCAUAAUCUUUGUAUAGCCCUUCCCUUGAGCAUAAAGAAGGCCCUCUCUGAGAGCCCUAUCAAGAUUUAGAAAUAGUGGCACCAUCAAGAUUUAAAGCUCCACCGCCGAUGAGUUGCCCAAUAUGAUUCUUUAAGACAAAUCCCCCCCCCCCCGGGAACCUUGUCCCCAGCCACUGAGCCAUAAAAAAUUUAGCUUAACAUAACUCUGAUCUGGAGGGUGCCAUUUAAUAAUCAUGGAAAUAUCAUCAGUAUUUCUACUUAAACCCUUACAAUUGGCUUUAAGAUAUCGCUCACCCAUAAAUAUAGCCAGUAAAGUUUACACCCUUUAUGUUAUCUCUGUUCGAAAAAUACGCAGUUAGAAGUACAUUCCAGGACGCGACAUCUCGUUUAGACAUGUUGAUUGAGAUUUAAUAUUAAAUAACUUAUUUACCCUACUAUGCAAUGACAAUUUUGACCUUAUUAGGUUUAAAAAAUAAAUAAAUAAUUUCUAUAUACACCCCAAAUCACUUUUAAUGUAUUAUUUAUCUUCUUCAACUAUCAAAACCCUUCCGACCCUCUAUUGUUGAACAAAACCCUAACCAAUGAAACUACAAACAUGUUGAUUGAGAAAAAUUAUUUUUGACAAAUGAAACACAAAAUCAGUAUUUCCGAAGCUUCACAUGAGGUAAGACUUCAUUUUUUUUUUGUUUUAGUGAUUUUGACAACAUCAAUAAUUAUUUAUUCUUGCUUUUGUUGCAUUUCAAGCUUCUAUGUUCGUAUUCAUCUUUCAGGGAUUACAUGAAGAAUUAAACACCUAAAAUUACCAUAAAAAAUUAAAACAGACGAUAUGGGUUUUAAUGGUGGAAUUGAAAACAACCUAUAUAUGCUUUAAAUCUCAGGCGGCAUCUUUUGUCAAAAUUCUAGUCGGCAUUUUUUAUCCAAAUUAAAAGCUUUAUCAGAUUUGAGAAAUGUUGGGUGUAUGGAAAAUAUGGGGUACAUGUAGAAAAUGUAAGGUGUAUAUUGAGAAUGUGGAGUGUAAGGGUAUUAUGGGGAAGUAUGUGGGGUGUAUUAAGAUAAUUUUUAAUUGAAAAAGCAAAUCUGGGGUGCAUUAAGAUAAUUUUUAAUUGAAAAGGCAAAUGUGGGGUGUAUUAAGUAUAUAGUUCAUCUAUUUAUUAGAUGAGUGUUAAAUGACGAAAUGAAUUCCGUGUUAGUUGAUUUUUAGUAGAUUUGACAUUUAAAUAGUGACUUAAAAAAUUUACGGUUCAAACCAUUAUGUCCCAUUACAAGAUGAAUAAGAGAGACGAAAUGUAAAUAAAAAAUUUCAAACAAGAAAAUUGCAAGCAUUCUCUCUUUAAAAUUUGAACACGUGACCUCUCCAAAUAAACUAAAAACAAGAUGCUAUCAAAUGAUCUCUAGCAUAAUCUUAUGGUUUGAAUUUCAACAAUUCACCGUGGAUGUUUACUUUUGACACGUAAAACUUUGACACGUGUACAAAUACAUUAUUUAUUGUUUAAAUGGCUUUUCACAGCAGAAAUCGAUGGCUUUCUUUAUCCCGCAUACGUUCUAUUGACAAGGCCGCCAGGGAUUUUUCCGAAAUUGUAGAUUUGUGAAAACCUAGUUCAGUUUGGUUGCUUACAAGUUGUAGAUAUCAGUUUAGAGGGAAGGGUUGAGGUUGGUCAUGUAUCUGAUUGAUCUGAGUUGAUCUCAAAACUUAGGUCAAAUUUGUCAAGAAGAUCGACUGCUUGGGCGAUAUUGUGACAUGGUUUUAUACUUAAUAGUCUGAAUUAUAUGCUGGACAGACAUGAACAGGGACUUGUUUGACACCUCCAGUGCAGCAGUGCUUACGUUCGUACGCCUCGUCUCCUAGGCCUUUGAAAACCCGAUACCCUAUCUUCAGAAAAAACAUCAUCAUGCUUAUUUACGAGGCAAAGAAAUUAAACGAGUAAAAGUUUGAAACGGAUCUCUGAGUUUUGUUCUUCAAGUGGUACCAACAUGUAGUUUGAAACACAUCUCAGAACAGCUGUUAGACUUAAUUUACGGAACAAAACUGAAGAAUGCAAGUUCUCUCCAGAGUUAAAGCCUCUCAUAAAAUAAUUAGCUUCAAGUAAAUAAAGUAAGAGUCUAGAGCAAAACUUCUUUGUCUUGAACUUGUUCAAUGCUGCCCAGUUCCAAAGCCUGAAUAUAUAUGUCAAUGGUCAUAAGGAAUGCAUCUCCUAUUGUUUCCUUUCUUCCCUCAUCGAUCGAUCUACACCAUACGAUUGAACAGCCUGCCGGAAUUGAGUUUCCAAAACUUCUUGGCCCUAGAGACGACUUGGCCAUAAUCUUGCUUGCUUUUCUCUCCUGUCACAGUAUUUCCGUUUUGUUUUCCUUCGUUUCUAUCCCGGUAAAUCCUCAAAGUCGUACUGCAUAACCAGUCUUUCCACUGUAUUCGGACUCACUACAUGUCUCAGGUGCAACUCUUUUAAGACUCUGGCUGCCAGUUCCAGUUCUCCUUCGUGCGCAAUCCCUUCCACAAGAAUGGUGUAGGUCAUUUCGUUAGGCAUACGCCCUUUCUCUAUCAUCAUCUCAAAAACCUGGAAGGACAAGUCUGUUCUUCGAGACUUGCAGAAACCGAGUAUAAGGGCAUUGAAAUUGUCCGUAUCAGGCCUAAGGCUGUUUUCUUCCAUUACCUUGAAAAUCUCCAUGGCCUCAUCCAGCAUACCCUCCAAACACAAUCCUCUGAUCAGAGAUGAAUACGUAUAAGAAUCUGGAGUGAAACCGUGCUUGGUCAUUUCGUACAAUAUCUGAAACGCUGGAAACGUGUUCCCUUUCCGACAUAAGCUUGUGAUUACGUUUUUGUACAACUCGUAGCUGGAGCACUUUUGUUUAUUGCAGAGGCUUUGAAUGAUAGAGAAUGCCUCUGGCACCAAACCUUCCUCACAUAGCACAGCAAUGGCAUUGAAUGUUCCCUCAUUAGGAUUACACCGCCGAUGAACCAUUUGGUCUAGACACUUGACCGCACCAUCCACUUUCCCCUCUUUGCAGAGAUGAGCAAUGAUCGGAUUGUAGCUGGCAGCAGUAGGCUUGAACCGACCUCUCUGCAUUUCGUCCAAAACUUGAAGAGCAUGUUCAGUUCUACCAUGAAGUGCAAGUGAACCAAUUAAGAUGUUAUACGUAACUAUGGAAGGGGCUCGAUCCUCUCCUUCCAUCUCAGACAAAAGCACAUUUGCCUCUUCCCACCUACCCUCGUGACACAAACUCCUUAGUACGAUGUUAUAGCUCACAACAUUUGGAUCGAACCCCAUCGAAGGCAAACUCCUAAAGAGCCGAAAUGCCUCAUCAGUCCUACCUUCCUUGCACAAACCAGUUAACAAGACAUUGUAACUGACCACAUUAGGCUUUCCACCUUUAGCAAUUAUCUCCUGCAGGAGCUUCAUGGCUUCAUUGACCCCUCUUUCCUUAUAAGCAGCUUCAAGUAAGAAAGAGUACGUAUAAACAUUCGGAACCAGACCCUUCUGUAUCAGUCUAUCCAAAAGCUGCAAGCUCUGAUUCAAGUUUCCACGAACGCAAAGCCCUCUGACGAGCGAAUUGUAGGUCACAGUAUUCGUCGGAUAUCCGUACUCCUCCAUCUUCUCUACCAGCUGCAUUGCAUACCCAAUGUUCCCUCUUUUACACAAGUAAUUCACCAAGAAAGUAUAAGAAGCUGCAUCAGGUAUAAUGCCGGAAACAACCAUCAUUUCGAUGACUCUGACCGCCUUUCGCAUCUUAUUCGCUUUGCAGAGGUCAUACAAGAGCUGAGUUGCCUGAGCCACAUCAGGCUUCUGGUCCUUCCCCACCAUAGACUCCAAAUGCACAAAGGCAUCAAUGAGUCUGAGCUCCUUACUUCUUCUGUCAUUCUUGGCAUGCCUCCAGUUGGGCAAGGCGAAAACGGUGUCUUUCGGAGAAAUCGUGAUCUGGGAAGCCGCCAAAACUCUGGAAAAUCCCUUGCUAAGGGAAAGGGGUUGGAGAUUCCUGAUGUGGGAGAAGAACCCACAAGUUUUUCUGGUGGUUUCUGGCAAUGGGUGUGCAAUUGGAGACACAUAAUUUACAAGAACCGCCAUUGACAGAGCUAAAAAUAUGCUACAAAGUUUGAAACUUUCUGCCACAGAUAACAAGAAUCAAAAUUCUGGGUUGGCUAAAUUCUCAUCAAAUGAAGAUAAACAAAUGGAUAACAGAGUGUUUUAUCAGGAUGAACACGGAUAAGAUGGACCGGAUAAUUUUAACACGAAUCAAUCAAAAAACGAGAGACGAACUAGAAACGGAGAGAGAGAGAGAGAGAGAGAGGAAAGAACCAACAGGCACACACUCGAUAUCUUCAGCCGCUGGGUUUUUUUCAGGAAUGAUUGGUUGGUCCAUUUGCCAUCCCACUGCUAAGUGCUAAACAAAAUGAAUUUCCGCUUUUCCAUUUCUAAUCUGGUAACUUGUAAAAUCAGACCCCAAAAUAUAGAUGGUAACUGGAAAAACAAAUUAAAACGUCACAAUAACGAUAAACUCGUUAACGUUACUACUAAUACUAUCACUGUCCAGUGUGAGGACCACUACGACACUUUGUUAUCCUGUGAUAUAGAUACAUAAAAAUAAUUAACCUGUGAUAUAGGUUGAUUAUAAAAAUUAAAAAUAAAAUCUAUAAAUGGGGUUUAAAGCAGGAGGAAGAACAAUAAAUAACAAAAAUUAAAAAUAAAAAGAAAUAAUCAAAGAGAUAAUUAGGAAGAAAUUUGAUUUUUAUAAUAAAUCUUAUCAUUGAAUAGAGAAUUAUUGAUAAUUAAAUAAUUAAAUUUAAGAAAUUGGACUUAUUUUAAUAAAUUGGACUAUUCCUACUAUUGGCUAAAAAAAUUGGACUUAUAUCAAGUUUUCCCUAUAAUUAUAUAGUAUGUUUAAUUACAUUAUGUUGUAUCAUUGUCAUUAGACGCUAUAAUAGUGGUUACUUAUUUUACGAAGUUGCUCUCGAGCUUGAUCAAGUGUGUGGUUUUAAUGAAUUUGUACUUCUAAUUAUAGCUAUAAAUGUGAUUUGGGUGUACUUUCACAAAUUUAGAAACUCUUGUUUUAUUCAAGAUUUAGAAAUAUAGUCUCUCCAAACUCCCUCGGACAAUGUUUGAGGCCUCUCGAGCAAUGCUCUAACCAUCGCGAGACCCCUUGAUAUGUGCUCAAGGGCUUGAGUAAAUACACUUAGCCACUUCAGUUCCAAGCAUCUUGCCACAUCAUUCAAUAACUUGGAUACCGAAAAUCACCAAAAUUUCUACAAGAACAAUCUCCAUUUUUGAAAUGGUGAAACCUCAAGGAAUCUCUAACAAUAAUCUGCAAACCAACAAUCUUGGCCAUGAACUUGAUGGCAUUACGGCAGUCCCCAAGUAUCCUUAAAUUCUUAAAUACCCGAAUCGUCGAUUCGCCAUUCAAAUUGAGUAUCCCAAACGCAACAGCAAUUUUCUCACUGUGGUUGCAAGGGAUCCCCACUUUCUCCUCUCGAUCCACAUCUUGCAGAACAAAAUCAGUGUUGGGGACAUGCCCUGCCAAUCUCAUCUUCUCACCCAUGUCAAUCAGAAACUUGUAUAUCUCCGCGCUUCGCUCGUUACUCCUAUCACCGGUAACAAAAGAGUAGACUCUAUUCUUCAGCUGAACCCAAGAACAACCCGGUGUUUUUGUGAUUCCUCCGUCUCUCAUUAACUUCCUAGUUUCUGAAGCUUCUUCCCAUCGCUUGGCGGUGACUAAAAUGUUGGACAACAGCACAUAGUUGCCACGGUUAUCUGGUUCAAUCUCGAAGAGCUUGUUAGCUGCAAUUUUUGCUAAGUCUACAUUUUUAUGAACUCUGCACGCGCCAAGCAAUGCUCCCCAAGCACCGGGAGUAGGUUCCAUUGGCAUUCUUUGUACGAACUGAUAUGCCUCUACUAGGCGACCAGCACGGCUAAGCACAUCAACCAUGCAUGAGUAAUGUGUAGACAUCGAAAUUUCAGUAAAUAAAUGUUGACCGAUAAAUCAAAGUUUCGACGCUCAUGUAUUACAUAAAUUUUACACGUAGCGUAUGUCUAAACAAAAAAUCGAAAUAAGUUGGAAAAGUCAUCAAAUAGGACACGUGUCAACACCUGGCAGAAAUGACUUAUUUCAUCUGGAAUAUUAUAUUCAAAAUUAGGCCUUGGAAAAUUCUAUAAAUAGAAGCCAAUUUCAUUCAUUUGAAGGGACCAAUUUUCAUAUAACACCUUGAAGCUCUGAAACUCUGAAACUCCGAAGCUCUCAAGCGUCCAGGUUCCCGAAGAAUCAAGAAAGCCUUCUUCGUUCUUCGUUCAUCGUUCUUCAAGAUCAAGCCCCAACGGCCCUUGAAGAAAGCGUUCUUCGUUCAUCGUUCUUCCAAGAUCAAGCCCCGAUGACCCUUGGAUUAACAAUCAUCCACCUUCAAGAUCAAGCCCCGACGGCCCUUGAAGAAAGCGUUCUUCGUUCAUCGUUCUUCCAAGAUCAAGCCCUGACGGCCCUAGGAUCAACAAUCAUCCACCUUCAAGAUCAAGCCCCGACGGCCCUUGAAGAAAACUUUCUUCGUUCAUCGUUCUUCCAAGAUCAAGCCCCGACAGCCUUUGGAUCAACAAUCAUCCAUCUUCAAGAUCAAGCCCAAAAGCCCUUGAAGAUCUGUUCAUCACUGUUCUUCAAGAUCAAGCCCAAAAGCCCUAGAAGAUCCGUUCAUCACCGUUAUUCAAGAUCAAGCCUCAACAGUCAUUGAAGAAACGCUCAUCCUCAAGAUCAAGCCCCAACAGCUCCUUGAAGAUUCGCUCAAAUCCACUUUCAAGAUCAAGCCCACGACCCUUGAAGAACGUUCAUCCUUAGAUCAAGCCCAACGGCCCUUUGGAUCAAUUGCACAUCCACAAAUACACACCUUACGGAGAUCGAGUCAGAGGAUCAAAUUAGAGAUUGUAACCCUAAAAAAUCAUCAAAUACAAAAUAUUAUUUUGUGCAUGUUGUUCUUGUCUCUUUCGUUUCAGGAAAAUUUCGUGUUUACAAAUUUGGCACACCCAGUGGGACAAUCUCUACCUCUCAUCUCUUUCUCCGUUCAAGAAAUUCAAACACACCUCAAAUUCAAUGGCAUCAAGCAAGGGACAAGCCGUUCUCGCAACCACUGAGGGAACGAUCCUAAGCAUUUUUGCCGCAAACAGACAAUCCAUUGGCGCCACAACCGCUCCUCAACAUGCCACUUCAAAAUUGGUGCCGCUAAAAGAGCAAGGGAAGCAUCAAAGGUGCGAGUCUGUCAUCAACCUGACCUCGCUGGGGGCACCGAAGCAUGCUGCUGAGGCACACAAGAUGACAUCCCAAAACAGCCAACGACAUUCUUCGUCAGCAUCCUGGAUGUCUAAAGGAAAGUCACGUCUAUUGGUUGCACAAGUCAUGACCAUCGACAUUACCUCCAUCGAAGAACAACUAGCUCAAAUGAAUGAAACGAUCGCAAGGCUAACACGGAUUGUUGAAGAAAAAGACUUGCAAAUCGCUGCACUCGUCAACCGACUGGAGCCACAGAACGGUGAGAACCCCGACCCAGAGGAUGAUCCACUAAAGAGAGGAGAUGGCGAAGAAGAGGAGCCUCAGGUGGAGAAAAUCAAUAUAAAGCCGGAGCCAGACCAAGCAGCGGCACUCAUGGGAUCUAUUUCUAUCCAGCAGUUGCAAAAGAUGAUCGCCAGCACCGUCAAGGCACAGUACGAAGGGAGCUCAAAUACCUCCGGGUUGUAUUCAAAGCCUUAUUCAAAGAAGAUUGAUGCCCUGAAGAUGUCGAGGGGAUAUCAACCACCAAAGUUCAUACAGUUUGAUGGAAAAGGAAACCCAAAGCAGCACGUUGCACAUUUCGUCGAAACUUGCAACAACGUGGGGACAGAGGGAGACUACCUCGCCAAGUAGUUUGUGCGCUCGCUGAAAGGAAACGCCUUUGAGUGGUACACGAACCUAGAGCCUGAGUCCAUCAACAAUUGGGAGCAAUUGGAAAGAGAAUUCCUUAACCACUUCUACAGCACCCGCCGCACUGUAAGCAUGCUGGAGCUCACAAGUACGAAGCAAUGGAAAGAUGAGCCGGUCAUUGACUACAUCAACAGAUGGCGCACUCUAAGAUAGGCUCUUGGAUACCUCUUCAAUCGAGAUGUGCGUCCAAGGUAUGCAAUGGGGUUUGCAAUACAUCCUUCAAGGCAUCAAACCACGGACAUUCGAAGAGCUAGCCACCCGCGCCCAUGACAUGGAGUUGAGCAUCGCCCAUCAUGGGAAGAAGGAACCGAUCGCCGACUACAAGAACGACAAAGUUCUUGAGACAAAGGUGGAGAAGGCUGCGUGGAAAUCCACCAAGGAAGCAAUGACGGUCAACACAGCUCCCGUCAAAAUCCCUACACGAGGUAAGGCGAUUCAAGCCGAAGCUUUUCGUGAUUAAAAGAUGCGUAGACGCACUUUGAAGGAGCUUGAGGAGAAGACUUAUCCAUUCCCCGACUCUGAUGUGGUUGCCAUGUUAGAAGACUUGCUGGAAAAGAAGGUGAUCGGUUUGCCUGAAUGCAGACAGCCAGAAGAGAUGAAUCCCACCGACAGUCCAAGGUACUGUAAAUUCCACCUCUUCAUCAGUCAUCAAACGAAAAAAUGCUUCGUACUGAAAGAUCUCAUCCUGAAGCUAGCACAACAAGGGAAAAUUGAGCUUGACCUCGAAAACACGGUUGCGGCACACACUACUACUAUCGUGUUUGGAUCACUCGAUCAUGUGCCUCUCCGAAGCACGCAUGACCAUUCCCGUCAAUGUUCAAGUCACACAGCACUUCCUACACAACCAUCAUCGGGGGCAAGCAACCAAGAUGCAUCUACCAGUAAUAAGGAAAGGUGGACAUCGGCGACCUACAAAAAAACAAGGAAGCCAAGACCACAAGCCACAAGGCCAAAAGAGGAGCCUAAACCCGUCCCUCGAACUUUAGUCUUCUACAGGCUGAAUCAUUCAAAACCUAGAAUUUCGGCACUUGAUUGCAUCAGUGGUCGAGACCGAACUUCCGUCUUCAAAAGGCUUAAGACGCCAACACCGCAAAGAUCUGUCUUUGAAAGGUUAUCAAAACCCAAGAAACAAAGCGGCACAACUAGAUCUCCCCCGCAACAGUCGGCUGCGGACAAACUUGAAGAAACUAAAAAGCCUUCUAGAAACAGGAAGACAACGCCAAAGGGAGAAAAGCUCGACAGUCUAGCAGGAAAAGACGAUGUUUAAAGCUUGAUUCCUUCAAGGAUGAAGCGCCAAGCAACUUUGGAAGUCGAUACAAAAGGACCACUUAAGGUAAGGAGGCGCACCAUCAUCUACACCGGCCAAUCUUCACGCCAACAAACCUAAGAAGACCGCACUGAAGAAGAGGCCCAAGAAGACAAAGAAGACGAAAUCCCGGAAGAAUACGUCACUUCCGGCUCCGUCAACUUAAAAUCUUCACCUCAAUCGCUUGAGGCAUGCUCUAAAACCAUGCCAGUCAAGCCAAGCGAAGUUGAAAGAUGGAUUCAUGUCACUUCGAAGAAACUGCACAAGAAGCAUAUGUCUUCUCCACAAGUGCACCAAUCAGAAAAGGGGCAAAACAGCUUUCGCCAACCUCCAGAACAAUGUGAAAGUGUUGGAGAUAAUGAAACUUUGACACAAAGAUCAUCCAUCCCCAUCACGAUGUGUGACAUCUUCCUAGAAGACUUCUUCAACUACUCAGUCAAGGCUUCUUGCUAUGAAGAUUGCGAGGAAUAACUCUCCCGGAUCGCUUGACGAACCACAAAUGCUCCUUGUUCGCACGAGCCUAAACUGUACGAACCAAAGCUCCUUGUCCGCACGAGCCUAAACUGUAGGACACGAGGCUCCUCGCCUACACGAGUCUAAACUGCAUGGCACAACGCUCCUGGUCAGCAUGAGCAUAAAAUGCGACAUCAACGCUCCUAAUCCGCAUGAGCAUAAAAGGCGAUACCAACACUCCUUGUUCGCACGAGCCUAAACUGCACAAACCAAAACUCCUGGCCCACAAAAGCAUAAACUGUGUACGGCAAAAUCAUCAUCAAAAUCACUGUUAAAUUCAUCACUCAUUUGAACUACGUUAUGACUUGAUCUCUUAUUUGGAAGAGUACAUAGGCAACUUGAAACUUCAAAAGUUCAAGUACAGUCACAUCAUCAUAAAAAACACAAACACUUUGAAGAAUAAAAAGCAAAUUCAAAAUAUGAAUACUUUAUUUCUUUAAAGGAAUGAUUUGGUUACAAAGCCGUAUUACAAAGGUGGGCAUUACGUCAACGUCACCACCGAGGAAAGUUGUGACCAAAAGGCACUACAUAGCAUAAACUCGCUGCAGUCUUUUGCACAACCCCACAAGGUAAAGGUGACACACUGGAACAAGCUCCAAGCAGCAGCGGCAAAGAGCCUAUGGCAAGCAGCAAGGUCAAUAUGCACGGCAACGUCCCCCACCGAGGAAAGUUAUGACCAAAAGGCACUACACAACAUAAACUCGCUGCAGUCUUUUGCACAACCCCACAAGGUAAAGGUGACGCACUGGAACAAGCUCCAAGCAGCAGCGGCAAAGAGCCUAUGGCAAGCAGCAAGGUCAAUGUGCACGGCAACAUCCCCCACCGAGGAAAGUUAUGACCAAAAGGCACUACACAGCAUAAACUCGCUGCAGUCUUUUGCACAACCCCACAAGGUAAAGGUGACACACUGGAACAAGCUCCAAGCAGCAGCGGCAAAGAGCCUAUGGCAAGCAGCAAGGUCAAUAUGCACGGCAACGUCCCCCACCGAGGAAAGUUGUGACCAAAAAGGCAUUACACAAUAUAAACUCGCUGCAGUCUUUUGCACAACCCCACAAGGUAAAGGUGACGCACUGGAACAAGCUCCAAGCAGCAGCGGCAAAGAGCCCAUGGCAAGCAGCAAGGUCAAUGUGCACGGCAACGUCCCCCACUGAGGAAAGUUGUGACCAAAAGGCACUACACAUCAUAAACUCGCUGCAGUCUUUUGCACAACCUCACAAGGUAAAGGUGACGCACUGGAACAAGCUCCAAGCAGCAGCGGCAAAGAGCCCAUGGCAAGCAGCGAGGUCAAUAUACACAGCAAUGUCCCCCAUCGAGGAAAGUUGUAACCAAAAUGGCACUACAUAACAUAAACUUGUUGUAGCCUUUUGCACAACCCCACUUGGCAAAGGUGACAUACUGGAACAAGCUCCAAGCAGCAUCGGAAAAGAGGGCAGCUAUAAGACGGUUUUUCAAAGCACGCUACAGUAGCAAAGAAACCAAAAUGCCACGCAAUCGCACUACGCAACCUCGCAGCAAUUACGCAAGCAGUUUCUUACACCGCACGUCGACGUCACCACCAAGGGAAAACUGUGACCAAAAGGCAUUACACAGCGAAGCCCCACUGCAGUCUCUUGCAUAGCACCACACGGUAGCGCACCACCGAGGGAAAACUGUGAUCAAAAGGCACUACACAGCGAAACCCCGUUGCAGUCUCUUGCACAAACCCUAGGCAGCAGAAAGCACAAAUAUGCCCACAUCUUGCUCACUCCAAAUACCACGUCUCUGAAAGCUUCAUGAGGGUUCCAACAUCAUGCUCUGCCUUCUCCAAAAUUAAAGAUUCCUUGCAUCACAUCAAAUAAAAAAAAUACAUAUGUUUUAUGUAUUUAAUAAAAAAAAUAAAAAAAAAGAAUACAUACGUUAUUACUUGUUUACAAAAAGAAAAAAGAAAAAAAAAGAGAUUUCUUUUACAUACAUAUACAUACAAAUAUAUAUAUACAUAUAUAUAUAUAUAUAUGUAUGUAUGUAUGUAUAUCCAUCAGCAGCAAGCCUCUCAAAAGGAGGCCAUCCAGGCCCAAGUGGCAGCCUCCAAGCCCAAUCCGUCAUCUUCCCCGCCUACACAAAGUCCAGUGAGAGAGUUGCCAGAAAAUCCCACGCAAGUUGUGGAAGCAGUGCCGGCUGUGGUGGGUAGAAAGGGGAAUUGUAGCAGCAGCAGCAGCAGCAACAGCUCAAGCAGCAAUGGCAGUACAAGCAGUGGUGUGUUUGCAAGUUUAUUCGCUUCCUCAACAACAUCGGCAAGCUUGCAACCUCCUCAACCGCCUGCAUUUACUGACUUAAUUCGAGCCAUGGGGCAUCCAGAUCAAUCAACCAACCUAGCUCCAUCUUCUUCAAUGGAGCCCAUUUCUCUUGGCCUCUCAACCAGCCAUGGAUCCUCAAUUUUCGAGUCUGCAGGACAGGAGCGUAGGCAAUAUGCGCCUCCAUCACAACCAUCUAUGUCUGCGACAGCACUGCUUCAGAAAGCUGCUCAAAUGGGCGUAGCAGCAACCAAUGCAUCGUUGCUUCGUGGGUUUAGCAUUAUGUCAUCUUCAACGUCUUCCACGCAAGAAGAGAGAGAGAAAGAGCGAGCAUGGGCGAGAUCCAGGCCAUGAGGGACCUGAGAGAAUGGCUGCUGACGCUUUGUUCAACACUUUGCCAGCUGCCUUUGUUCAACGUUUUGCUUCUUCCUUAUUGGGUUUCCUUCUGAUUUCUACAAUGGAUGCCGACGAAUCUGACGACUUGAGCAGAGAAGAAGAGGCGUCCGAUACUAAGAGCAUGGAAGAAGGCGAGAUGGCACAGCAACAAAAACCACGGCUUUCGCCGGAAAUACGUCAGAUCCCGCACGAGCUUCCCCACCGAUGAUACGACCAAUAUUGCAUACAUUUUAAUGCCCUUUAGUUUAGAUUUUUGUUAUGUUUUUGAGUGAAUUUAGUUUGUUUCAUUUAGUUUUAUGUUUUUCUUAGAUUUGAAGAGUGAAGAUGAAGAAAGAAGAAAAAAUGAGCACUUUGGCGAUUGAAGUGAGUUAUGUGCCCUGGAAGCAGAAGCUGUUUGUGCAGAUCAGCCAACUUGACGGAAUAAACUGUACUUCCUCAGAAUGAACCAGCUGUUGAGCUUUAUACCAUUGGAAAGAUAUGGAUGUUAGCUUUCAGAGGAAUUUUACGGACUGUGAUUUCGAGUUUCCUAGACGAUGUUAUGAAAGUUUUUGUACAAGACGUCGGUCAGCCAAGUCUACGCGGAAAUUGCAAAGUCUGUUGGGUUUUUCAAGUCAUAAUUCAGUCGAAGCCCAAAGCCCAAGAUAGAAAACGUUGGAGAUGAUUUUAGUCCUAUUUCAAAUGGGUCUGGAGUAAUUUACUUGGGAAACUUACCUGCCACAUCAUCAAUUAUCCAAUACAAAUGAGGAAAAGAUUGAAAAAGACCUAAGGAUGCUAGGAUUUUGACGAAUCGAUAAGGGAGAGAUUGUAGGAAGCAAAGAGGGGUUCUUUUGGGGGGGAUUCUCUGCGUGUUUUUGGAAGAGCAGCAGCCGCCUUUCAUCGAUCCUAAGUUCUUCAUGUUUUUAAGAUUGUUAAUUAUGUUUUCAUAUUCUAUGAGUAACUAAACUCUUUUUCUAGGGUUAGGAUGAUGCCCUAGCAUGGAUGUUUAUGGUUUUUAAUGUUAUUCAUUGGGUUUCUAGAUUCUUUUAGAUGAAUGUUUAAUCACUGUUUGAAUUGUUACUCUUUGUAUGGGUUCUUUGAUUGAUCACCUUAGGGCUUUGCAUCUAGUAAGAUUGGAAGAUGAAUUUGAGGCUGAACUAGCAAUAUAAUUCAAUUAGCUUCUUGUGGUUAAGUGUGGUAAAUUACAUUGUUGCUUGACAAAGAAUAAUGGUUUGCUUGGUUCCCUUGUUUUCUAGAGCGUACAGAGUCCUAUUUGUUAAAUUUAUGCCUUAACCAGGAUAGAUUGCAUGUUAGGAUAUACGACCUCUGCUUGAACUAGGAGAGAAUCAUUCACUUAAGGAAAACUAUGAUCUAAUGUGCCUGACAAGGACGUAGAUACGGGAAUUAUCAUCUAAAGAAUCGAAAGAUCCGUUGAAUGCAUUGAAACCUAAAUUAGAUUGCUUGUGGUUGAUUCCGAAUCCCUAGACUUUUCAUCACUUGCCUUAAAACACAACAUUUUCUUCUCUUUAAUUUCAGUUUUUACUUAAGGUUCUGUUUUUGUUCGUUUAUAAAAUCAUCACAACAAAUUCUUCACAUCCUUGAUUGAUUUUAUUAAUUAAGAUCGAGUCUAGUCCGUUGUUUGAAUUUAUAGUUUUGUGUUUGUGUGUUAUUAAUAUUAUUAGAUUUGGUUUAGUUUAUCGAAUUGGAGAUUGAAUUAGAAUCCUCGUGGGAACGAUACUUGGACUUGCAAAACGCUAUAUUACGACUACUUUGUGCACUUGCAAGUUUACACCAACCGACCCCCAGGCGUUGGGCCAUAUUAGACUUGACGGAUUCGAGCAAAUAGGCGUUGGGCCAUAUUAGACACAGAACCUGCACACUGCACACUAAGAGCCAGAGAAUCCUUAACAGCCAACUCAUCAGACCGUUUGGAAAGUAGUUUGUUAUCUUUGAGAGUGACAAGGUUCCGGGCCACCACCGCAGCGGUCAUAUCAUUCUUCAUCAUCGAAUCCCCAACGGUAAGAGGACCAGUAGGGGAUAUGAAGGAUGGGCGCCAUAUGUUGUCUGGAGAAGGCGGGACUGCCUCUUCACCAAGGUUCAAAUAAAAAACAACGGUCGGAGGGUCCAGACAUUUUCAAAGGUGUUGAAGAAAGAAGAGGUCAGACAAAUCAAGAUCUUAGAAGUGCAAGAAGGGAGUUUCUACAAGCGAAAAUUCAAGUGUGCUUUGAAACGAACUGCAUGCCUCUAUAAAAAUCAGUACUCGACGGGAUUUCAGAGAUAGAAGAGGCGAGCUCAGAAUUCAAAGAGGCCAAUUCAAAAAUCGAAGAGGCAAGCUCAGAAAUCAGAGAAGCAUCUUGCUUUUCCAGACGCGUCAGCACCCGUCACACACAAACUCAGCUUUGCGGAAAUCACGGGCAAUUUGUCGAAACGCCGAUCCCAGAUAUCGAAGAGACGCCAGUCUUUUUCAGCCUCGUCAACACCUGUCACAUGCACACUCAGCUAGGCGGAAAUUACGGACAAUUUGUCGAAGAUUUCUGAUAAAAAAGAAAGCACGUGAAGCCAUACUGAUCAAUCACGCAUUGGUUGCCGACACGAGUGAAAGAAUAGUACCUCUACAGGUACUAAAGAAUUUCCUAUAACUAUCCACCUUCACCCUCCAUAGCAAGGUAGACAUACAUAACCUUUCUUCAUCUCGGAGAACCUUUCUUCAUCUCCGAGAACCUUUCUUCAUCUCCAAGAAUGCCUUCCCAACGAAGCCUCUCGAGUCACUCAGUGUUUCUUAUUCCUUGGGGUACCUCUGCAAACAAAUGACCUAAAGCAAAAGUAUCUUAUAUCACCAGGGUAGAAAGCAAGAGUAUCUCAUAUCAUGCUUUCUCCCCGUCCUUUCCUUUGUCCUUGUUCUUACCUGCAAAGACAAGGAUAAAGAAAACAAUAUGUCGGAACCUCCACUCAAACUCAGGUAAGGAAUCGACUACCUGGAACCUUUGCCUGGUUGCUUACAUGGUAUUACUCUCGAGUACUCGUCUUUCACUGCUGCUGUACUUCCAAAGAAGCUGCCACAUCUGCCUGGAGAACAGAUAAGGCAAGUGAAAAUGAUACCUUGCAGCAUGUGGAGACAACGUGCAGAAGAAACAAGCAGAGAAGAAUGCGGUCUGCACAGUCAACUCAGCAGAAGGAGUCCGAGUUGAGGAACUCAAGAAGCUACCACAUCUGCUUGAAGAAACAAGCAGAGAAGAAUGCAGCCUGCACAGUCAACUCAGCAGAAUGAGUCUGAACUGAGGAACUCGAGAAGAUGCCACAUUCUGCCAGAAGAAUAAAUAAGGCAAGGGAAAAUGAUACAUUGAAGCAUGUGGAGACAAGCGAAAAACAAAGCACGUGCCGAUUCAUCCGCUACUUCUUAAAAAAUCAAAAGUAUCUCAUAUCAUCAGGGUUGCAAUCACUAUGGGUGGAGGACUCGUUUUGACCCUCAAAUUCUUGGGUCGACUUACUAGGCGUUGUGGGCUGCACGUGCCGAUUCACCACCCUUGAAUCAAAUCCUUAAAAAUCAAGUCACCAACUGGAAGAAGAGCCCAUCAAUCUUGAAGAUCAUACCGUUGACCAAACUGCUCAGGUGUGAAUUAGAAAGAUUGAACAAAGCAACAAGUCAUCACCUUCCCCUCAUGCCUGCUUGCCAUGUGUUUGAGUCAACCUUCAAGAAUCAAGCUUCAACGGCCCUUGAAGAAGCUUCCAGCCAAAUUCAAAAUCAAGCCUCGAUGGCCUUGGAAGAAAUCACAAGUUCGAUUCAAGAUCAAGUGUCCACCACCCUUGAAUCAAAUCCAGUUCAAGAAUAAGCUGUGGAAAGUCAACAAGCGCAAAAAACAAAUACGUACCAAUUCAUUCACUACCAAAGCCAAAGAUCAUCUACCACAUGAAGCUCCUUGUGGUCCAAUUUCAACCUUCAAGAUCAAGCCUCGACGGCUCUUGAAGAAAUCUCAAGCCCAAUUCAAGAUCAAGCCUCAACGGCCCUUGAAGAAAUCUCCAACCCAAUUCAAGAUCAAGCCUUGAUGGCCCUUGGAUCGACAUCUACAGUAAGGGACUUCAAAACGCAUCUCCUACAUGUGACAAGCACAUGUAUACGACACGCCUUGAAGUGGGGGCAUUUGUAGACAUCGAAAUUUCAGUAAAUAAAUGUUGACCGAUAAAUCAAAGUUUCGACGCUCAUGUAUUACAUAAAUUUUACACGUAGCGUAUGUCUAAACAAAAAAUCGAAAUAAGUUGGAAAAGUCAUCAAAUAGGACACGUGUCAACACCUGGCAGAAAUGACUUAUUUCAUCUGGAAUAUUAUAUUCAAAAUUAGGCCUCGGAAAAUUCUAUAAAUAGAAGCCAAUUUCAUUCAUUUGGAGGGACCAAUUUUCAUAUUACACCUUGAAGCUCUGAAGCUCUGAAACUCCGAAGCUCUCAAGCGUCCAAGUUCCCGAAGAAUCAAGAAAGCCUUCUUCGUUCUUCGUUCAUCGUUCUUCAAGAUCAAGCCCCAACGGCCCUUGAAGAAAGCGUUCUUCGUUCAUCGUUCUUCCAAGAUUAAGCCCCGACGGCCAUUGGAUCAACAAUCAUCCACCUUCAAGAUCAAGCCCCGACGGCCCUUGAAGAAAGCGUUCUUCGUUCAUUGUUCUUCCAAGAUCAAACCCCGAUGGCCCUUGGAUCAACAAUCAUCCAUCUUCAAGAUCAAGCCCAAAAGCCCUUGAAGAUCUGUUCAUCACUGUUCUUCAAGAUCAAGCCCAAAAGCCCUUGAAGAUCCGUUCAUCACCGUUAUUCAAGAUCAAGCCUCAACAGCCCUUGAAGAAACGCUCAUCCUCAAGAUCAAGCCCCAACGGCUCCUUGAAGAUCCGCUCAAAUCCACUUUCAAGAUCAAGCCCACGGCCCUUGAAGAACGUUCAUCCUUAGAUCAAGCCCAACGACCCUUUGGAUCAAUCGCACAUCCACAAACACACACCUUACGAAGAUCGAAUUAGAGGAUCAAAUUAGAGAUUGUAACCCUAAAAAAUCAUCAAAUACAAAAUAUUAUUUUGUGCACGUUGUUCUUGUCUCUUUUGUUUCAGGAAAAUUUCGUGUUUACAUAAUGAUCUGCAUUGGGUUCUAUUGAGUGAUCCCUCCUCAUUGAAUCAAAAACCAUGAUGCCUUCACCAACCAGCCGAGAAUGGCUACAACCGCUCAAAACACCAGUGAAAGUAACAGAAUUAGGCUUCACCCCAGAGUCUAACAUUUUUCUGAAUGGUAACAAGGCUUCUUCUCCAUUCCCAUACAUCGAGUUUGCAAUGAUCAUCGUAUUCCAUGCAACUGUAUCCCUUCUUGGCAUCAUAUCAAAGACCCUCUGAGAAAGUUCCAACUCACCACAUUUCGCGUGCAUGAAAACCAAAGCUGUUGUGGUAGCCAAGUCCUCCAUUAAACAAUUCCUAAAGAUGUAACUGUGCACCUCUUUGCCUGCCCUCAAGCUUACCAAAUCUUCGCAAGCUGGUAACAAACUAGUAAUUGUGAUCUGAUUGGGCUUAAUUCCUGAUUCUUGCAUUUGUCCGAGCAUUUUCAGCGCCUGUUCCGUCUGCCCAUUAUUCAAGUACCCACCAAUAACAGCAUUCCAUGAAGCACCAUCCAACUAAACAACUUACCUUCUCAUCCUAUAAAAUAAAGUUACACCCCUUUCGCAAUCUCUGUUCGAAAAAUACACAGUUAGAAGUACAUUCCAGGACACGACAUCUCGUUUAGACAUCAUAUCAAAUACCAACUGAGCUUGUUUAAUGCUCAGACAACUAGCAUAGAUAUUUAUGUGUCUGUAUUAUUUAUUUGGUCAUAAGUAAAAGUUUGUAUUCGUUAUUUAUGACAACUAAUAAAGCUAAUAAACAUAUAUUAUAUAUGUUUGACAUUUACUUGUGACGCGUAAGAGUUUGACAUGUGUACACAUAUAUUAUUUAUUUAUUUUCUGAAAUACAGACACAUUUUUUUCAUUCAAUUACAAACACAUUUAAUGAAUAAACUUGGUACAAAAAGUUGGUUCCCUUCACCCAAUGAUUUGAUUUUUUCGCUAAUACUUGCCAUCAUAUUUGAGGUAGGUUUUAUUAGCUAAUGCUUGAAUUCCAUAUAAGAUUUGACAUGCUUGAUGGGUAUUUUGUUUCUUUUGAAGAUGAAAGUUUUGCUUCUGUUUGUCUAUUUUAAAAUUCAACAACUAAAAAUUUAACGGUCAUGCGAUAUUAUGAGCCAAUUCAUUCUAUAAUUUCCGCUAACUGAUAACAAGUGAAUUAUUGUUUCAUGACAGCUGGGAGAGAGGCAUUUGUCAUAUGAAUUUCUUUGGCUAUCCACCAUUGGACAAGUGAUCACUGUUAUUAUCAGCUGUCAACUUUGUUGGGUCUGAAUUGUCAAUAGAGCAUAACUUUCUCUCCAAACCAAAGUUGGGUCAAUUAAGAAACCCAAGUACUUUAAUUUAUUUGAUUUUUCUUUGGGCAAACCGUCCAUCUUCUCUGCAUAAUUUUUGUAUUAAUUUCUUUGGACAAAGUGUACAAUCUCAGAACAACCAUGCAAUCAUGCAAAGCCUUGCGAAGCUUUUUUAUGUGCUUGCUCUUCUUAUUCUCCCUUCUAAGAAUCGCAGCUGCAACUGCACUGGGCACAAUCACUCCGAGUCGAUAUAUAAGAGAUGGCGAAACUCUGGUUUCAGUAGGUAGAAGCUAUGAACUGGGAUUCUUCAGCCCUGGUAAAUCGAAAAGCCGGUACUUGGGAAUAUAUGGUACACUGUUUCUACUGAUGCAGUUGUGUGGGUAGCCAACAGAGAAACACCACUUGGUGAUUCUUUGGGACUUCUGAAGCUCACCGAGCAAGGAGUUCUGGUCCUUCUCAAUAGCUCAAACAGCAUUGUGUGGUCAUCGAAUUCUUCAAGAAUCGCAGGGAAUCCGGUGUCGCAACUCUUGGAUUCUGGAAAUCUUGUGGUGCAAGAUGGGAACGAAACUAACCCGAAUAACUUCUUGUGGCAGAGUUUUGAUUAUCCUUGUGACACAUUCCUACCGGAAAUGAAGAUUUGUGGGGACUUGGUUACCGGUUUAGAUAGGUAUCUCUCGUCAUGGAAGAGCACAGAAGAUCCUACUCAAGGAGAAUUUUUGGCACGAAUGGAUUAUCAUGGCUUACCACAAGUUCUUCUUAUGAAAGGAGCUAAGAUACAGGAGAGAACAGGGUCAAGGAAUGGCCUUUAUUUGACAGGACAAGGAUAUGGUGUCAGAGAACCAAAUCCAGUAUCUGGGACUAAUUUGUGUUGAACAAGGACAAGGUCUAUUUUGAGUACAGCCUCCGAAACAUGUCAGUGUUCUCGAGAAUUGUAUUGAACCCCUUCGGGGUCUCCGAGCAGUUCACAUGGGUGUACCAAAAACACAGUUGGGAACUUCCCGCUACACUCCUAGCAGAUCGGUGUGAAACCUAUGCCUUUUGUGGUCCAUUUUCUAGUUGCAGUAUCAAUAAUAACUCUCCGAUAUGUGCAUGCUUGAAGGGAUUUGUACCAAAAUCUUCAAAAGAUUGGAAUUUGGGAUAUUGGUCUGAUGGAUGUGUUCGAAGGACUCCGUUGGCCUGCAGCGAUGGAGAUGGCUUCAUAAAGUACAGUGGGAUGAAAUUGCCAGACACAUCAACCUCGUGGUUUGAUAAAAGCACGAGCCUUAAGGAAUGCAAGGGAUUAUGUUUGGGAAACUGCUCAUGUACUGCGUGUGCAAAUCUGGACAUCAGGGAGGGAAGAAGUGGCUGCGCGCUUUGGUUUGAUAACCUCACUGACAUAAGAGAAUUCACUCCCGGCGGUGGUCAAGACCUCUAUAUACGGGUGGCAGCUUCAGAACGAGGUACAUCUUCGACCUUUCUCUGCAGUAUGCAAAGUAGGGUUUAAAUAAGUGAAGUGUUAAAAUCACAGUUACUGCAACACUACGAGAUCACACGAAAAGUUUGUUUUAAUACAGAUAUUUCAGAUCACGCUAAGAAAAAGAGCAAUUUCAACAAGAGACAGCUACUAGCAAUUCUACUCAGCUCUGCAGUUUUUCUCAUGGGAUUGCUAGUUGGAAUGAUUUUGUGUAUACGGAAGAAGAAACUCAGAAAUGAAGGUAACUAUUUUUGGACACAUUAAAAAUGCAUUAGAUAAGGUAGUUAGUAUUUAACUAGUGAUGGUGCCCGCACGAUGCUGCGGGUUUUUAAACCAUAUAAAACAUAUCAAAAGUUCCAUGUAUAUAUACGAUAUGCAAUAUUUAUGCAUGUGAUUCAUGUCUUCUUAACCAUUAACAGAACAAAUUGAAAAUAUGAAAGUCAAAAACUACACUUAAGUAUAAAUAUACAUGCGGUCUGCAAACUCGUUUCUAAGUUCUACAACUGCCACUUAUUCCAAAACAACUACUUACUCGUCAUCUCCCUUCAUAAUCCCGUUCGUUGUCUUUUUAGAUUUUGGCAGCUAAACAUGCUCAUUUUAAUAUUCUCUGCAUCCACAUCAUGAGGAACUUUUUGUACCUGAAGUUGCUGUUGGUAUUCACAAGAGUUUUACUAACUCAAUACCAAAAUAUGUGGGUGAUAAGUUUACAAACUCUAUCACACCUCUCACUUUGCACUCUCAAUAAAAUUGGACAAACGAAAAGGAAAGAAGUAACAAGCUUGGUGAUAACAAACACUAUGAAAUAUUAGAAGAGUUUACAACUCUUAAAGCUUACAAGCUGAAAAUGAGAAUGGGAAUUGGAUUGAUGUUCUAAAACCUAGCAAGAAAGCCUAUUUAUACAAAACAGAAAUUGAUAAACAAUACAACAACAUGCAAUGAAUGAUGGUGUUUACCAUCUUUACACCCUUUCAAACACAGGCAGCAACUUUAGAUAGUUGGCACACACAUGCAUUGCAUUAUUCCAGGUUGGAAUCACAACCUUUCGGCUAGCACACAGCAGCUCACAUUAGGGCUGGGUUCGGUUUGAAACGAUUCGGUUUUUUGCUAAAACCGAAACCGAACCGAAAUUUUGGUUCGGUCCGAUUUUUUUUCGGUUCGAUUUUUUUCGGUUUUGAUUUUUUUCGGUUCGGUUUCGGUUUUUUUUCGGUUUUUUCAUGAUUUUUUUUUAAUAUCUGGAGCUUGAAGCACAUUUUUUUUCCUCAUUCGGCUGCAAAUUUACCCUUUCUCUCCACACUCCGCAGAUCCGGAGCCCUCUCAAGCAUAGAUGAAGGUGGUCGCUGCAUCGUUGUUGGCUGUAUUGGGCAGCAAGACCACCACAGCUGGCGGAGGUGGUGCUGUUGCAGUUGCUGCAACUGGUUGUGGUGGUGGUGCUGCCGCUGAGGCAAAGAAAGAGGAUAAGCAAAUAAUGAUAUCAGGGGAGAAAAAAAGAAAGGGAAAGAAAUGGGUGAGACUCUCACAACACAAAAAUCAAACAAAUCUACAAUACAAAACAAAACAACAACCCAUAAAUUUACACCAAAAUUUCAGAUUCCCUCCAUGGAAUUUACUCUAAAAAAACCCAUAAAUCGACAAAAUAAAUAAGAGAGAUUGAAGAUCUUACCCUGGAGUGAGAAGAUCGAGAAACGGAGAGAGAAGAAUGGAGAAGAAUGGAGAAAUUGGAGGCAUGGACAAGGAGGGAGUCUGGAGGCGCAGGGACGAGAGAGAGAGAAGAGGGGAAUGAAAAAAGAAAAGGUAUGGCUGCUACUACUAGUGGCUAGGGUUUUGUUGAUUUCUAAUUGCACAAAUGGCUAUAGAUUUAUAUCUUUAUAAAUAGUUUAGUUAUACAACUAUAACAAAACAAAACCAGUUGCCAUGUUGGUUUUGUUGAAACCUUUCAACUGGAGCGCACGGGUUCAAACCCACAUGCCUCCAGGACUUUAGAGAUUUUUUAAUUUUUAUAAUUAAAAUAUUAUAAAAAAAUAAUUAAAUAUAUAUUCGGUUCGGUUUGGUUUUUUUCGGUCUCGGUUCGGUUUGGUUCUCGAUUUUUUUAGGUUUUCAGUUUUUUGAACCCACCCCUAGCUCACAUCUCUACUGUCUUUCAACACACUUUCAGCUAGCACAUGGAUGAAACUUUAGUCUUUGUAGUUGCAGCAAGUGUGAAUACAACCUGUAAAGAAACUAAUGAUAAGCUCAUAUUUAUAUAUAUUUUACAUAAAAUUCACUUGUCUUUUCUUAGUUAGUUCCUUAUAUUUUUGAGCUAUUUACUAUGUUUUUGUGUUUUGUGUGAUUUAUCAAGCAAAGAAAAGAAAAGUAGCACAAGUGAAUUAUUAAGUAACAAAUUCGUCAAAACUGCCUGUGCAGAUUAUCUGACUUUGGAAGCAUAUUACAAACAGCUCAGAAUGAAUGAGAGAAUGAGCCUUAUAUGCGUGGAAAGCUACAGAUGUCUAUUUUCUGGAGCAAUUUAUGGAUUGUUAAUCUCAUUUUUCUAGAAGAAGUUAUGGGCAUUGUAACACUGAAAGGUCAGAAAAGGGCUAAGCAGAUUUGGCUAAUAAAAAGAGAAAGGCAACUCAUGGGCAAAGGAAACACACACACAUGGGCAGAAAAUGGGUGGAUUGUUGGCUGAAAUAAUGAAGAACAUGUGUCUGCAAAUGCAAAGGAAAAAAACACACACAUAGGCAAAGGAAACACACACACAUGGGUAGGAAUUGUGUGUGUUUUGUGGUUGAAAUGAUGAAGCAUGUGUGUGUAAAUGUAAAGGAAAACAUGGCAGAAAAUGUGUGUGUUUGGUGGUUGAAAUGAUGAAGCAUGUGUGUGUAAAUGUAAAGGGGAAACAUGACAACACACACCCACACAAGCUGCACAUGCAAAGGAAAUGGAGUGGUCAUCUCUCAAGCCUAUAAAUACCACCUCCCAUAUUCAUCAACAAAACAGAUUUUCUCCUUGCUUUGGCCGAAACUUCCCACCACCAUUCUCUCUAAUUUCAGCCAAAAACCACCCCUAGCCACACCACCCAUCAAUCCUAAACCUUUCCAUACCAUUCCCCAUCCAUUCUACACCAUAAAAACCACCCAAAACCGUCCAAAACCUCUAGUGCCGCUGCUUGCAAGGAAGGAAAGAGAAGGAACAUCUUGUGCCGUGCCUAUGCCCAAGCCUUGGGAGUGUUGGAGCGUUUCUAGGUGUUUUCUAUCUUUGUUUUUAAUGUCUAAAUUUAUGCAUCUUUGCUUUGUAAGUAUGAGGAACUAAACCCCUCUUAGUUAGGGGGUGAUUCGAAACUAUGUUCAUGCUUGCAAUAUGAUUUGAUUACAUCCAGUUGUGAUUCAUAAGUUGUGAAUUCAAUUUACUUAUCCGUUCGUAUAAAAACUGAUUUGUGUAUGUUGGUUGAGAGUGUACGCUUAAUUUUCAUGCAUGAAUUUGACGCUAGAAUAUAAGGGAGUUUCACCUAAUCGUUAUGAACUUAUAUUCACAAGUAGUGAAGGUUGCUAGUCACAAUCACGUUAAGUAAAUUCUUGGCAUAAGUUUCAUGCAAAUCAUAUAAGUAACGAGUGCCUCGUCAAUGCUUAUGUUUUUCAUAGAACUUAAUGAUUCUUGCUUGUGUAUCUCUAUUAUGCAAUUCAUGUAGGGAACUUGUAGGGAAUGUUUUGGGUUGUCGUAUGCAAUCAUCCAACCUAAUAACUUGUGGAAAAACUGAGGGUUAAUUAGUGCAAUUCACGGUUAAUUUGGGGCGUUGAGUAUUCAUAGUUUAUCGAAAAGCAAUUGGAAAUCAUUUUGUAUGCAAGUGUGACAUGUGUGGAGAAGAACCUCUGAGCUAGCUUCUCAUCCAUUCAAUUUGAUCAAUCUCGUUUUAAAACCUAUUUUGUUUUACAAAGUUCUUGUUUUGUUUUCAAAUUCGUCUAAAAUCAAUCCCCCUUUAUUUUGUUGAGUCAUAUUAGUUAGAAAUCAAUUUAGUUUGUGUUUUUAAGUGUCUUGAGUCAAGUUAUAACAUAUUUUCGUUCAAAUUCUUCCUUAGUGUUCAAAACUGCCCAGAUUGUGUUUUUAAGGCAGUUUUGAGUGUUUAGGUGCUGUUUUGAGUCUUUGGGUUUCAUCUCUCACCUCUUGCCGUGCCCAUCCUUCACCCAAAUCCAUAUUUUCUGACCCCUAAACCCCCCUAGCCGUGCCAUACACCCAUCCUAGACACUUUUCCACCAUUCUACCUCAUCCAAAACCAUCCCAAACCAUCUCCAUACCUUGUGUCGCAGCAAGAAGGAAGAAGGAGUGCCCUUGAUUGUGCUUGCUAGUCUAUUGCAGAUUGCUGGAACUUUUAGGUGUAAUCUUUCUUAUGUUUUCAAUGUUUCAAUUCAAUAAACCUUGUGUUGUGAGUAUGAGGAACUAAACCCCCUUAGUUGGGGGGGGGUGAUUCGAGACCAUGUACAUGCUUGCAAUAUGAUUUGAUUACAUUCAGUUGUUAUUUCAUAAAUUGUGGAUUCAAUUCGUUCAUCUACUUGAUUGAUAACUUAUUUGUGUAUGUUGAUUGAGAGUGCACGCUUAGUUUUCAUGCAUGAAUAUGAUGCUAGAUUAUGAGGGAGUUUCACCUAAUAGUUACAAUCUUAUAAUCACAAGUAGUGAAGGUCGCUUGAAAACGAUCGCGUUGAAUGAAUUCUUGGCACGAGUUUCAUGCUCAUCAUAGUAACGAAUGCCUCGUCAACACUUAUAGUUCUCAUUGUGCUUAAUGAUUCUUGAUUGUAUCUUUAUUGUGCUCAUCACGUAAGGAACCUUUGAGGAAUGCUUUGAAUUGUUGUAUGCGCUUUCCCAUCCAAUUCAUUAACUUAAGGAGAACUUGAAGGUUAAUUUAAGCGUAUCUAAUUAACUUGGGGUGUUGAGUUUCAUAAUUUAUUGGAAGAACAACUAAAAAUCGUUUUGUUUGCAAGUGUGUCAUGUGUGGAGAAGAACCUCCUAACUAGCCUUUUAUCCAUCCUUUUCAUCCGAAACGUUUUUACAAUCUGUUUGUUUUUAAAGUUUCUGUUUUGUUUUCAAUUUUCGUCCAAAACAAAUCCCCCUUUAUUUUGAAGUCUUAGAUUAGUUAGAAAGUGUUUUGAUUUGUGUUUUUAAGUGUUUUGAGUCAAGUUAUAACAUAUAUUCGUCCAAAUUUGUGUUAGUACUCAAAACUGCCCAGAUUGUGCUUCUAAGGCAGUUUUGAGUGUUUAUUUGCUGUUUUGGUUCCUUUGCUUUGUUUUGGUGUUUUAACUUUUAAUUUUACAUUCUUUGAGUCUAGUUUAGUGUUUUAAACUUUGUUUUUACAUUAUUGAGUAGUUUUCAAGAGUUUAGCAAUCCCUCCUAAUCCCCGGUUUAGAACGAUCCCUACUUACAUCUUUACUACAAUUUGACAAAAGAGGGUUUAAUUUGUGUGUUUAGUUAUUUUAUGCAUCAAUUUGAUCAAUCUCGUUUUAAAACCUAUUUUGUUUUACAAAGUUCUUGUUUUGUUUUCAAAUUCGUCUAAAAUCAAUCCCCCUUUAGUUUGUGUUUUUAAGUGUCUUGAGUCAAGUUAUAACAUAUUUUCGUUCAAAUUCUUCCUUAGUGUUCAAAACUGCCCAGAUUGUGUUUUUAAGGCAGUUUUGAGUGUUUAGGUGCUGUUUUGAGUCUUUUGGUUUGUUUUAGUGUUUUAAAGUAUAGUUUUGCAUUCUUUGAGUCUAGUUUAGUGUUUUAAACUUUGUUUUUACGUUUUCAAGUCAGUUUCCAAGUGAUUUAGCAAUCCCUCCUAAUCCCCGGCCUAGAACGAUCCCUACUUACAUUCUUUACUACAAUUGACAAAAAGAGGGUUUAAUUUGUGUGCUUAUAUAUUUCGCACCAACUAACAGCUAACAGCUGCCAUUUACAACCUGUUUUGAUUUGAAUUUCCAACACACCUCCUCAAAUCAAAACGCCUUCAUGCCUAGCAUUUCACGUAGCAACUUGAAUGGCUCAACUGGCAGGGGCUUUGUGAAGAUGUCAGCCACUUGUUCCUUGGUGUGACAAUAGAUAAGUUCGAUUGUCUUUUGCUUCACAUGGUCCCUCAGAAAAUGGAACCCGGUAUCAAUAUGCUUGCUCCUUCCAUGUUGGACUGGAUUCCUAGCAAGCUUGAUAGCUGAGAUGUUAUCCACAUGAAUCACAGUCGAUUCCACUUGUGGAUGACAUAUUGACUUCAACAGAUUUCUUAACCAAAUUGCCUCACACACAGUUGAGGCUACAGCAACGUAUUCGACUUCACACGAUGACAAAGCAACAAUGGAUUGCUUCUUUGAAGUCCAUGAGAAAGCUGUUGAUCCUAGAAAAACACAUAGCCAGUUAUGCUUUUCCUUUCAUCUUUGUCACCUCCCCAAUCACUAUCUGAAUAACCAAAUAAUUUUGCAUCUUCACCAAAAUUAUAAAAUAGACCAUAGUUUAGAGUACCUCUUAUGUACCUCAAAAUUCUCUUGGCGGCCAGCCAAUGAGACUCCCUUGGUGUUUCCAUGUAUCGACUCACGAGUCCAACAUCAUAAACUAUAUCAAGUCUUGUGAUUGUAAGGUACCUUAGGCUUCUAACCAAGCUUUUGUACACGGUUGAGUUUACAAACUCACCUUCUCCUUCCUUGGACAGCUUCAAUCCAGUUGCAACUGGAGUGUUGACAAUAUUGCACUUGUCCAUAUUGAAUUUCUCCAAUAUAUCUCUCAUGUACUUUUGUUGAGAGAUGUAGAUACCGUCACUUUCUUGCUUCACCUCUAUGCCAAGAAAGUAUGACAUUAAUCCAUUGUCAGUCAUCUCGAAUUCACUGAACAUGGAUUGCUUGAACUCACAGAACAUUGCUUCAUUGUUUCCUGUAAACAACAAGUCAUCUACAUAGAGACAAAUAAUUAAGAACUCCCAUUUUUCACCGUUCUUCAUGUAAACUGAAUGCUCGUAUGGACAUUUCUGAAAUCCAUUUUGGUGAAGGUAGUUAUCAAUCCUUGAGUUUCGAGCUCGUGGUGCUUGCUUGAGGCCAUACAAAGCCUUCUUCAAACGAUACACCUUAUCUUCUUCUCCUUGUACUUGGAAGCCUUCCGGUUGUUCCACGUACACUUCUUCCUCAAGAACUUCAUUAAGGAAGGCUGACUUGACAUCUAAUUGAUAAAUUUUCCAUUUAUGCUAAACGGCAAGAGAGAUUAGUAAUCUUACCGUGUCAAGUCUUGCAACUGGAGCAUAGACUUCAUCAUAGUCUACUCCAUACUUCUGUUUGUAGCCCUUUGCUACAAGCCUUGAUUUGUACCGAUCCACACUCCCAUCUGCAGUGCGUUUGAUCUUGUACACCCACUUGACACCAAUAUCCUUUUGAUUUGGUGAGAGCUUUGUCAACUCCCAAGUGUCAUUUUUCUCGAUGGCAUGGAUCUCUUCUUCCAUGGCUUUCUUCCAACAAUCUUCUUCCACAGCUUCAUUGAAUGAGAGAGGCUCAUGGUUUGCAUACAAGCAGAAAAAGUUGGUUUUUUUUUUCUUCUUGUCCAUAUAUCUCGGUGAGACUUCUUAGCCUCACUAGAGUUGAGGAGCUGCUUUCUUCACUUGAUGUAGGACCACUCAUUGCAGUUCUGUGCAAUGGAGUUGUUGUGUUUGUUUGAGCAGGCUGUUGCUCAACAGGUGGUACAACUUCUGGUUCUUCAAAAUCAGUGGAGACGAUCUUCUCUUUACUGACUUCUUUGUUGUUCCACUUCCAUGCCUCUUCCUCACUGAAGAUGACAUCUCUACUAACCACUAGUUUGCCAGUUAGUGGGUUGUAGAGCUUGUAUGCCCACAAACACACACUUCUCACUUCAAUCAUCGAGUUUCCUUCUCUUGGCUUCUGGAACUUGAGCAUAUGCAACACACCCAAAAACUCUUAGGUGUGCAACAUUCGGCUUGUAUCCACUCCAAGUCUCUUGUGGUGUCAUCCUCUUAACACUCUUUGUUGGACAUCGAUUCAACAAAUAAAUCGAACAAGCUACAGCUUCUGCCCACAAUUCUUUUGGCAAAGUCUUUUCUUUAAGCAUGGACCUUGUCAUGUCAAGGAUGGUUCAAUUCUUUCUUUCGGCUAUCCCAUUUUGCUGUGGGGUAUAGGCAGCAGUUAGUUGAUGCCUAAUUCCUUGCUUAUUGCAGUAUGCUUGGAAAACAUUGGAGGUGUACUCUCCACCUCUAUCUGAUCUCACAGCCACACAUUUGUGGUUGCUUUCAGCCUUUGUGAGUGCCUUGAACUCCUUGAAGAUUCUUAGGGCAGCCGACUUCUCCUUGAGAAAAUAAACCCAAGUCUUCCUACUAAAAUCAUCAAUGAAAGUAAUAAAAUACCUAUUACCUCUAUAAGACAUGGGAUCCAAUGGACCACAUAUAUCUGUAUGCACCAACUGCAGUGGUGCCUUUGCUCUCCAUGUAUCACCAAUAAGGAACGAUAGUCGUGCUUGCUUGCCAAGCACACAACCUUCACAUACUUGGCGUGUGGCUUCAAUCUGGGGUAGACCACGAACCAUUCCUCCACUUGACAACAACUUUAGGCCAUUGAAAUGAAGAUGGCCAAAUCAAAGAUGCCAUUUCCAUGACUCAUCUUCCAUUACACCGAUGUUGCAACUCCCAAUCUUUGUGUUCAACUUCAACGGGAACAUUCGGUUCUUUGACAUUUGAACACGUGCAAUAAGUUUUCUCCUUGCAUUUCUGAGAGUGAGAAACAUAUCCUCCAUAUGUAUAAUAUACCCUUUCUGGAGCAGUUGACCAAUGCUCAAAAUGUUGUUCUUCAUACCUGGUAUGUAGUAGGUAUCAGAGAUGUAUUCUUCUCUACCAUCAUUCUGGAUGAUCUUGAUCUUCCCUUUGCCUUCAACUGGCAACUUUGAGGAGUCACCAAGACUCACAGAUCCAUAAUGCCCAUCUUUGAGUUCGGCAAAAAACUCUUUCUUUCCACACAUGUGGUUGCUUGCAUCAGAGUCCAAAUACCAAACAUCUUGUUGGCUACUGAUACCAUGGUGUUCUAGUAAGACUGUAAAUUCCUCACCAGCAUUUCCACUUGAUUCUGCAAUGUUGACAUGCUCACCAUUUUUAUAUGAACAUUCAUUGGCAUAAUGUCUAUAUUGCUUGCAACUGUGACACUGGAUAUGCGCUUUUCCUCGAGUAGAUCUCCAUUCUUGAGAUUGACCUCGGUUUUGUGCAUAGCCUUAACCUCUUCCUUGGGCUCAUCCUUGGCUACGGUUAGAUGAACUCCCACGACGUGAGUUCCACUGCCCACGACCUCCAUUUGGUUUGUCAAUAUUCAACUUUGACUCCAAAGCUUGCUCUAGCGUUGUGGGGCUUGCAUUCUUCUGAAUGAGUUGCUCGUGAACUAGGAGGGAUCCUAGUAGCUCCUCUACGCUCAUCGCCUCCAAAUCCUUGGAUUCAUCAAUGGCAGUCACCAUAUGCUCAAACUUAGAUGUGAGUGAUCAAAGUAUCUUCUCCACAACUUGUACUUCAUCGAGUCUCUCGCCAUUUCUCCUCAUUUGAUUUACUAUCACAAUGAGCCUUGAGUGAUAGUCGGAGAUGCUCUCCCCUUCAUUCAUAUGAGCAGUUUCAAAAUCUGCUCGAAGUAAUUGUAACCUCACUUUUUUGACUCGAUCUACUCCUUUGUAGAUUGUACUGAGUGUGUCCCAUACUUGCUUGCUUGUUGUUGCUUCUGCAACUUUCUGGAACGUUGAAUCUUCCAGACCCUGGUAUAGAAGAUACAGCGCCUUCUGGUCAUUCUUUCGUAAGUCCUUGAGAGUGUUCCUUUGUUCUGCAGUAUAUGCGGCUUCUUGCUCGGUAGUGGGUACAACAUACCCACUACUGACUAUUUCCCAUAGCUCUUGUGAUCCAAACAAUGCUUUGAAUUGGAUGCACCAUCUUUCAUAAUUUUCUUUCUUCAAUGUGGGAACCUGGAGCUGCACUAAGUUGGACGCCAUAACUGCUGCACUUGCCAGAAUGGUAUUCUGGCUCUGAUACCAAUUGUUGGUAUUCACAAGAGUUUACUAACUCAAUACCAAAAUAUGUGGGUGAUAAGUUUACAAACUCUAUCACACCUCUCACCUUGCACUCUCAAUAAAAUUGGACAAACGAAAGGGAAAGAAGUAACAAGCUUGGUGAUAACAAACACUAUGAAAUAUUAGAAGAGUUUACAACUCUUAAAGCUUACAAGCUGAAAAUGAGAAUGGGAAUUGGAUUGAUGUUCUAAAGCCUAGCAAGAAGGCCUAUUUAUACAAAACAUAAAUUGAUAAACAAUACAACAACAUGCAAUGAAUGAUGGUGUUUACCAUCUUUACACCCUUUCAAACACAUGCAGCAACUUUGGAUAGUUGGCACACACAUGCAUUGCAUUAUUCCAGGUUGGAAUCACAACCUUUCGGCUAGCACACAGCAGCUCACAUCUCUGCUGUCUUUCAACACACUUUCAGCUAGCACAUGGAGGAAACUUUAGUCUUUGUAGUUGCAACAAGUGUGAAUACAACAUGUAAAGAAACUAACAGCUAACAGCUGCCAUUUACAACCUGUUUUGAUUUGAAUUUCCAACAGUUGCAGCACAAUAAUAUGAGAAAUCUUGCCAUACAACACUACCAAUUUUAAAGAUCAUACCAAUUUUAAAGAUCAUAACAUGCAGAGAGACAGUGACAUGAUAAUCUUCCAAACAACAAUGGGGUUUAAGGAAUGCAUUUUAGAAUGUUGAUUCCAAGUUGAGCAUAUAGUGAGAAGAAGCUAUCCACAAAAUGUUAACCACCACGUGAUAUUGGAAGAUGGUUUUGACGUAUUGGGUGAUCCAGUAACUAAAGCAAGUUAGAAUCUAAGUUUAAAUCCCUAUCAGCACUAAAGCAUUAUCUUUCAACAUAACUCAUGACUCAAGCUAAUAAAUUUAACAACUACUCUCAGCUCUAAAUCUUAAGAAUAAUCAGAAAUCCAACAACCUUAAAAUAUUUGACCCUCCCCACAACAUAGAAUUGAUGGUUUCCAGACGCAGUAUCAAAUUUAAAAUAGUAUUGCACCAGUAAACCAUUGACUGAUGUACACACAACAUAAAUGGGUGUGCUUGUGAGUGUGACAUAACAUUGAUCUAAGUAAACCUCAUAAACCAAAAUCAAAACCAGUAAACCAUUGCUCCAAUUUUCUCAAAACACAAAAAAUAUUCCUGUAUUUUGCUCUCAUAAAACCCCACACUAAUCUCAAUCUCAUUUAAAACUAUCCUAAGCAGAUAGCCUUGUUGAAAUUUAUUUGGAGAAAUUGAUCAAUUUCGAAUGGGUGGCCUUAUGAGUGUGUGACAUAACAUUGAUCUAAGAAAAUCAAAACUAAUUUAGAAAACACCAAAUAAUGUGGAACUGGAAAUGAUAAUGAGGGGCAGGCAACCCAGCUCAAAAGGAAUAGGCCUUUACAUUCCUUUUCAAUUUCUUUAACUAAAUAAUUGCAAAUGCAUAUUAAAUAUUCAGUGGUAUUUAAAUCACAGGUGUAUACGAAAUUCUAAUGAUCAUAACAAUAUAUCUUCGACCAAAACAAUACAUCAUUUCGUCUCAAAAAACAAUACAUUAUUGGUCAUAACAAAGGUUUUAAAUUCUAAUAAAAACUUAUAUCAAAAUUCGAUUCAAGCAGUGCAUUAAACAAUAACGACAGCACAACAGUACACAAAUGCUCUCAUAAAUGAAUUAAAGAAUUCUAGAUGUUGUGAUGCCUAACUUAGGAUAAGGUCUUGGAGUGGGACUAAUCAACAAAAUAAAUGAUCAAUGUUUAGAGGAGCUUACAUGGAUCUCACAUCACAAAAAUUAGAGCAUGCACCAAAAUCCACAACAAAUAUCACAAAAAUUAGAGAAUGCCCCAAAAUUUGAGGCCCAAUUCUCUAUUUCACAGAGGAGAAAAACCAAAAAUAAGGGUAACAAAAUCACAAUUCUCUGGUAAUAAAAAUUCAACAAUACAUUAACAAAAUUACUGUAACUGAAUAUACCUCAAAAAGCCAAUGGCCCAAUUGCUCCCUCCAACGAUCCAAAUUUCUGAAAUUCACAAACACAGCAAAUCCAUUAGCAAUUUGACAUGAUUAGUACAAUCAAAAUUCAUAGGAACAAACAAACUUUGCGAGCUAAUUAAAUAUUCACACACACUGCACUCACACACACUGCAUACACACACAAACUGAUUAUAGACACAAUGCACAACAUUCACACACACAGUCACAUAUACACUCACACGCACACCCGCACAUACUGUGUCAUACGUACACACACACAAUUCACACAUACACCCAGUGGCGGAUCCAGGAAUCUUACCCCAAGAGGUCGCAGUGUAAAAGUUCAAAUAAAAAUUUAGGAUGGAAAAACAUAUUGAAAAUGAAAUCAUAGUACUUUCAUUCAUAAUUCAUAAUGGAAACAAUAUUACAAACUAUAAUUGUCCACGACGAGGUUUCAUAUUUUGAAAACGAAGCAUUAUAGCUUCAUUUUCAAUACAAGCAAAAAUAUCUCUCUCAAUAUAAACAAGCAAGCUAUCACUCAACCAUUGAUCUCCCAUUUUGUUCCUAAGUAGACCCUUAACAAUAUUCAUGACAGAAAAUGCUCUCUCCACUGAAGCAGUUGCAACUGGUAAAACUAAAGACAAUGUAAUGAGCAAAUAUACAUAAUUGAAUACUUGAUGCAUCCUUGUCUCCACCAUUUUUUUUGCAAGAUCACCAAUCCCUUCCAAUUGAGAGAAAUCACUACUGGAACACACAUAAUGAAUAUAAAUUUCAAGUUGAUCUUCAAGUGCCAAACGAUCUUCAUCCGAAAAGUCUUGAGGAUAAAAUUGAGCAAGACAAAGUAACUUUGGUUUAUCAAAAGCUACAAAUGAAUCUUUCGGACUCAAACAUGCCAUACAAAUAAGCAACUCGGUAUUUUACCUCAUUAAAGCGAUCCUCUAACUCCGUAAUUUGCUCAUCAAUGACAUAAAUAAAGAGCUCCACACGAUAAUGAUGACGAUUUGUCUUUAUUGGAGCAUAACGCCUUGACCUCCCUGGAAGUAUAAAUGCCUCUUCCAUGUUAGGAACAUCAAUAUGAUGUUUUUCACAAAAAGAAGAUACUUCAUCAACCAAUGCAUCGAACCCAUUAUUCCUCAUCCAAUAUAGCUUUUCCUUGCAUGAUUUCACUAAAGCCAUUGCAUUCACAAUUUCUUGAUCUUUCCUUUGCAAUGCUUGUGACAAAUCAUUUGUGAGUCCCAAUAUGACUUUCAUCAAGAAAAGGUGAAACACAAACUCAAAAGUAAGUAUCACUCUCAUUAACUUAUUUGCUUCACCCGCACUUUCAUUGGGAUUAUCAUCAAUAACCAUUUGAAGCACAUGAACCACGGAUGAAAACAUAGAAAUGAUGCUAAUCAAGGUACCAUAGAGAGUUCCAUCGUGUGUCACCGGCACGUUUGAGACUUGUUUCUUGAUUUAAGCCUCGCCCCGUUAUAAGACAAUCAUUUUCAAAAGCUAUCACAAGCUCUUCUUGAAGUUGCCCUCUAAGUGAAUCACGCCGCUUACAAGAUGCUCCAACAUAAUUAACCACACUAUUAGCCGUUGCAAAAAAAGAGGCAAUGUCUAUAUUCUUCUUUGCUACGGCAACAAGAGCUAGUUGAAGUUGAUGAGCAAAGCAAUGAACAUAAUAUGCACAAGGUUGUUCUCUCAAUAUCUUUGUUUUAAGGCCAUUCAACUCACCUCUUAUAUUGCUAACACCAUCAUAACCUUGUCCUCGUAGCUUGGAAAUGCUCAAACCGUUGCGAGAAAACAAUGUGUCAAUAGCAUCCUUUAGUGAACUUGAAGUAGUGUCGGUAACAUGUUGGAUACCCACAAAUCUUUCAAUUACAUGCCCGUUGUCAUCCACAUAACGCAACACCAUAGCCAUUUGCUCUUUCACAGACACAUCACGUGCUUCAUCCACCAAUAUUGAAAAGAAUCUAUCUUUUAGACCAUCCAUGAUAGCAUCAAGUGUUUCAAGGGCACAUGAAUUCACAAUUUCUUUUUGAAUGGAAGGAGCUAGUAAUUUGAGAUUCCCCGGAGCAUUUUCCAUCACAACUUCUCUAACUUUAUCAUUAUUAUCUGCAAGGAAUUGCAAUAACUCCAAGUAAUUUCCCCUAUUGCUUGAAGUGGCACUUUCAUCAUGGCCACGAAAAGGAAGAGCUUGUCGCAAUAAAAACUUAGUGCACUUGAUUGAAGCAAUCAAGCAUGUGCGAUAAGCCUUACGAGCUUGGUCAGAGUGUUUGCUCACUGCCGUUUCAAUAUGUGUAGCUUGAUUCAUCAAAUUUGUAGCAGCUUCUCUAGCCUUAUUAUGAACACUCCCAACCGGUCCAACAUGCAUCUUAAAUCUUUCUCUCCCUUUCUUCCAAUUCUUAAAUCCAUCUCCAGUGAAAGCUUCACUACCCACUUGUUCAAAAUUGGUUUUAAAGAGAUAGCAAUAGAGACAAAAUGCCGCAUCUUUAGAUACACUAUACUCCAACCAAUCAAACUCAUCAAACCAUUGGGGAAUGAAGCGUCGAUUAAUUCCCGACAUAUUAGUUAUUGGGAAAUUAUGACCUCUAGGUUGACAAGGUCCUUUUUGUAGAUAUAAUCUUCGGACCUCAUCUCUCAUAUUAGCAUCAUAAUCUAUUAUUCGAGUUCUUAAUCCAGGAUCCGCUUGAAGAUUACCCAAAACAUCAUCUAACUGACUUUGUCUUGAACUUGGAGUUCUUGAACUACCAACAGUAUUUGAACUAUCAACAUUAUUCGAACUACCCGAACCCGAUGAUGACUUUCUCUUAAAAAACCGUUCCAUAAUAAUGCUACAUAUACAAAAUAUUCAAAAUAAAUACUCACAAUAUAAACAAACCAUAAACAUAAUCAAAAUAAAUAUGAAUUGGAUUUCAAUUAAAUUAAAUAUCUCAUCUUGCAUUCUACAUAUACAAAAUAAUGAAAAUAAAAACUCACAAUAUAAACAAACCAUCAAUAUAAUCAAAAUAAAUAUGAAUUGAAUUUCAAUUAAAUUAAAUAUAUUCUACAUAUACAAAAAUAUUCAAAAUAAAUACUCACAAUAUAAACAAACCAUAAACAUAAUCAAAAUAAAUAUGAAUUGGAUUUCAAUUAAAUUAAAUAUCUCAUCUUGCAUUCUACAUAUACAAAAUAAUGAAAAUAAAAAAUCACAAUAUAAACAAACCAUCAAUAUAAAAACAAACCAUCAAUAAAAAACAAACCAAUAAAAACUCACAAUAUAAACAAACCAUCAAUAAAAACUCACAAUAAAAACUCACAAAAUAAAUAUGAAUUGAAUUUCAAUUAAUUAAAUAUAUUCUAUAUAUACAAAAUAUUCAAAAUAAAUACUCACAAUAUAAACAAAGGGAGGAGAUGGAGUUGGAGCCGCCAACAGGGGAGCAGCAAGGGAGGAGAUGGAGUUGAGGGUUUGGGGGCAGCAGCAGCAAGGGAGGAGAGGAGUUGAGGGUUUGGGGGGAUUGAGUUAGGGUUGGAGGAUGAGAAAACAAAAGAAAUUGGGGCUAUUGAUUGUAUAGGAGUCGGGUAGGAAGGCUGGGACUGGGGGGGACACGGUGGGAAUUUCUUUUUUUUUUUUUUGUUCGGCCUGGCCCAAAACGACGCCGUUUUGGCCAGGUCAUUUAAAAAAUUUUCCUGGGCCAAAACGACGCCGUUUUGCCCGUCUGUUUUGAAAAAAAAGAAGCGCGCGCGAGCGCUGCUUCUUCUUCCUCUUCCUGCCGAGUCUUCGUUCAGGCUUUUUGUCGAACAGUUGGCGUGCGAGUCCGACCCCGACGACCCCAGCUCCAAGAGGUCGCAUAUGGGAGCUUCAAGGUUGUUUCCAUAGUUUCCAAGGGGUCGUGCGACCCCGACGACCCCACUGUGGAUCCGCCACUGCAUACACCGCCAUGAUAAACCACACUGCAUACACUUACACACUCACACAUUCCCACAUACAAUCCACGUGUAUUACUUUGCACACAAAAUCUUUAUCACACAUACACUAUCAUGAAAAACCAUUUUGCAGAUUUGACAUCCAUUAUAGCACAAAUUAGGUUAUGUUCGUAUCUCUUCAAUAAUAAUGUAUACAUUUCCACUUUAGCACAAUUUUGACAUCCAUUCUAGCACGUUACAAAAACUAUUAUCAACAUUUGUGUAUUAAGAGAUAAACUAUAUUCUUAAUCUGGUAUCAAAAUGGUGUUAAUUUGGGCAAAAACAUUUGUGUAUCGUAUAGUUUUUUUUAGCAAAAAUUAACUAUCCAUUCAUUUUAGUAUUUGUAUUAUCUACAGGAAACACAAUACCUAACCAAUUUCAUAAUCAAAUUCAGCAAUGUAUACAUUUCCCUGGUGAUUUUAGUUUACACUACUCUUAAUAUAACAUGGUUCUUUCUUUUUAAAGUACUUUGUAUUAAUUCUUUUGUGAACAAUUACUCAAUAGCAUCUGUCAAUACUUUAAACAAAGAAGGAAUCACUCGAUUUACCCUUCUAGAUUGGGUUGAAUGGUGGCCAAGUGGCCAUUACCUUUUGGCUAUUAAACAAAAAAAAAGAAAAAAAAAAAAAAGAAGGUGAAAGACAAAAUGAUAAGGGAACAUCAUGAUGAAGAGGCAUCAUGAUUAUGUUUGUUGAAAAGAAAAAAUGAAGGUCAUGAUGAUGUUUUUGAAAUUUUUAUUGGGUGUUUUUGUAUUGAUGAAGUUAUCAUCCGAAUGUGAGAGAGGUAGUGAAGGGUGCACCAUUUUUUGUUUUAGUAGCCCAUCUUUGAGAAAGCAAAGAGAGCUGCAGAGAGCAGAAAACUGAGAGCAGAAAAGAAGAAGAAGGUGCUCUUCUUUUUGGUUAGUAAUCACCCACCAAGGUAGUUGUUGUUGUAAUAGCUUUGAGCUUUGUAUAGAGAAGAAAUUAAUCACUAUAUUUCUUUCUCUAUUUGUUUCUUUGGUGUGUGAAAGCUAUUGAUUGUAUUGGGUUAUUUGGGUUGUGAGAUUGCCAACACUUUGUAAACUUCAAUUUGGUUGAUAGUGGAUUAUUAGGUGAGCUCUUACUGCUCCGAGGACGUACUCCAAUUACAUUGACUGUUGAGGAACCUCGUUAAAAUCUUUGUGUCUUUUAUAUUUUGUUCUUGCAUUUUCAUUUGAUAAAUUUCUUGUGGGUUAACUUGAGUUUGUUCCAUAAGGUUUGGUGCUAUCCUAGCACAACAAUUGGUAUCAGAGCACUGGUUGCUCUUGGGUACUGUCUAGUUGCCAAAGAUGUCAGACGGGCAAGAUGAGAAUCCUUUUGGAAGCAGCUCCGGGUUUGCAAGAACUACGGUGCAAAAUGCAAAGUUUGAAGUGGAAAAGUUUGAUGGCACAAACAACUUCGGGAUGGGGCAAUGUGAGGUCAAAGAUGUGUUGGCUCAACAAGAUCUACUUGCCGCUUUGGGAGAGAAGCCGGAAGCUAUGUUGAAGUUGGAAUGGGAGAAAUUAAAUUUGUGGGCUUGCUCUUCAAUUCGGUUGUGCCUUGCAAAAACUCAGAAGUAUUUUGUGAUGCGGGAGACAUUAGCAAGUGUGUUGUGGCAACAAUUAGAAGACAAGUAUAUGACAAAAAGUGCAGAGAACCGGCUACACUUGAAGAAAAAGCUCUACCGCUUCCAAUACAAAGAAGGUACAAAAAUGAUUAGACACCUUGAUGCUUUUAAUAAGUUGAUUGCCGACUUGUUAAAUUUAGAUGAGGAUAUUAAGGAUGAAGAUAAGGCCUUGAUAUUGUUGAAUUCCUUGCCAGACUUUUAUGAGCAUUUUGUUACCACUAUUAUGCAUGGUAAAGAAACUGUGAAAUUUGAAGAUGUGUCAAAUGCCUUGAUAAAUUAUGAAAUGAGGCAUAGAGAAAAAAAUCAUUAUAGUACCUCUGAAGCUUUAUUUGUUAGAGGUAGAUCAUCGGAGAGGAGGUCCUCUACUAGUAGGAAAAAAUCACACUCUCGACCUAGAGGAAACUCUAAAGGUAGAAAAACCUUGGAAAUGGAUGAAUGUGCCUUUUGUCAUAAUAAGGGCCAUUGGAAGAAAGAUUCUCCUAAGUUGAAGACCAAAGGAAAAGAAAGUUCUGAAGCCAAUGUUGCUGAGGUUGAAACAGAUAUUUUUUAUUUUGCUUUAACCACUUCCUCAUCAUUUGAUUGUGCUACUAAAUGGGUGUUGGAUACGAGUUGUACUCAUCAUAUGACUCCUCACAAGGAUUGGUUUUCAAGCUUGAAAGAGUUUGAUGGUGGUGUUGUGUUCAUGGGAGGUGACAAUCCUUGUACAACAAAAGGGAUUGGUACAGUUCGUUUGAAGUUGCAUGAUGGCAUGGUUAAAGAGUUGACAGGUGUUCGGUAUGUACCGAAUUUGAAGAAAAAUCUUAUUUCUUUGGGCACUUUAGAAUCCAAGGGCUUCAGGUUUCAUUCAGAUGGGCAGACAUUGAAAGUUACUUAUGGUGCACUUGUUGUGAAGCUCCUAGAUAUGGCCAUUUGUAUUUAUUGCAGGGAAGCACUGUGACAGGUGAAGCAUCUAUAGUCUUAGAAAAUAUGGGCACAUCCGAUUCUGAUACUACUAGACUGUGGCAUAUGAGAUUAGGCCAUGCCGGUGAGAAAGCUCUACAAGGGCUUGUGAAACAAGGUCUUCUAAAAGGUGCCACAACUUGUAAGCUUGAUUUCUGUGAGCAUUGUGUCUUGGGGAAGCAAACUAGAGUGAAGUUUGGUACUGCUGUACAUUAGACGAAGGGCAUUCUUGAUUAUGUGCAUUCGGAUGUUUGGGGUCCUACAAAGACUCACUCUUUGAGUGGUAGACAUUGGUUCAUGACCUUUGUUGAUGAUUAUUCAAGAAGGUCUUGGGUCUACACUAUGAAACACAAGAGUGAGGUAUUAAACAUUUUCUUGGGUUGGAAGAAAAUGGUUGAGAACCAGACUGGGAGAAAGAUUAAGAUUUUGAGAUCGGAUAAUGGUGGUGAAUACACAUCCAACCCUUUCUUUAAAGUUUGCAAAGAGGAAGGGAUUAUGAGACAUUUUAGUGUCCGGGGAACUCCACAACAAAAUGGAGUUGCAGAAAGAUUGAAUCGAACCUUGCUUGAGAAGGUUAGAUGUAUGUUGUCUCAGUCGGGUUUAAGCAAGUCAUUUUGGGCAGAGGCAGUUAAUUAUGCAUGUCACAUCAUCAACCGGUUACCCUCAGCUGCUGUUCAGGGUAAGACACCAAUGGAGGUAUGGACUGGAAAACCUUAUUCUGAUUAUGACUAUAUCCGUAUUUUUGGUUCACCUGCUUAUUUUCAUGUGACUGAAAAUAAACUUGAUCCUAGAGCCAAAAAGGCUAUCUUUCUUGGUUUUAGUAGUGGUGUCAAAGGUUACAGGUUGUGGUGCCCAAAGAUGAAAAAACUUGUAAUCAGCAGAGAUGUGACAUUUGAUGAAUAAAGUAUGUACAAAGACUUUGAGAAGAAUGUGAAAGAUGUCCAACAGGUGGAGCUUGAGAAGUUGCCUCUGGUACUUCAAAUCCUAUUUCCGCUGAUGUCGAAGCCACUACAAGUGAAGAAGUUGGAGACCAUGAGGAUGUUGAAGAAGUUGAACUUGAAGAUUCUAUUCAAGUUGAAGAGCAAGUUUCACCUCAAGAGUCUAUUGUAAAGAACAGAGGAAAGAGACAAAUUACCAAGCCAGCUCGGUAUAGUGACUAUGUUGCUUUUGCUCUUCCUAUUAUCAUUGAUGAUAUUCCAUCCAAUUUCGAGGAAGCCAUUGAGAGUGAGGAGAAGAAGAGGUGGUGCAAUGCCAUGAGUGAUGAGAUGAAUUCUCUCUUGAAGAACAAGACUUGGGAGUUAGCUAAAUUGCCUAAGGGCAAGAAAGCUAUCGGUUGGAAAUGGGUGUAUGCCAAGAAGGAAGAUGCUGAUGAGAAAAGCAAUGUAAGAUUUAAAGCAAGAUUAGUUGCUAAAGGGUAUGCACAAAAGGAGGGCAUUGACUACAAUGAAAUCUUUUCUCCAGUUGUGAAGCACUCCUCAAUUCGCAUUAUGUUAGCUCUUGUUGCACAGUAUGAUCUUGAGCUUGUGCAACUUGAUGUGAAGAUGGCUUUCCUAUAUGGUGAUUUGAAUGAAGAGAUCUAUAUGUGUGAACCGGAUGGGUAUACAGUGAAAGGGAAUGAGAAUUUGUUUUGCAAAUUGAAUAAAUCACUUUAUGGCUUAAAGCAAUCUCCAAGGCAAUGGUAUUUGAGGUUUGAUAAAUUUAUAAGAGGCCAAAAUUAUUCUAGAAGUCAAUAUGAUCAUUGUGUGUACUUCAAGAAGUUGCAAGAUGGGUCUUUCAUUUAUUUGUUGAUAUAUGUUGAUGAUAUGUUGAUUGCCUCAAAGAAUGUCGAAGAGAUUGAGAAAUUGAAGAAGCAAAUGAAGAAUGAGUUUGAGAUGAAGGAUCUUGGUGAAGCGAAGAAAAUCCUUGGCAUGGAGAUCACUAGAGAUAGAUUUGGGGGUUGAUCAGAAGCAGGUGGAGGUACAUUGUGAUAGUCAGAGUGCCAUUUAUUUGGCUAAGUAUCAGGUUCAUCAUGCGAGGACCAAGCACAUAGAUGUGCGUUAUCACUUUGUUCGUGAAAUUGUUGGUGAAGGGGAAAUCAUUCUCCAGAAGAUUCCAACUAAAGACAACCCCGCUGAUAUGUUGAAAAUGAUGAUGGAACAUCAUGAUGAGGAGGCAUCAUGAUUAUGUUUGUUGAAAAGAAAAAAUGAAGGUCAUGAUGAUGUUUUUGAAAUUUUUAUUGGGUGCUUUUGUAUUGAUGAAGUUAUCAUCCGAAUGUAAGAGAGGUAAUGAAGUGUGCACCAUUUUCUGUUUUAGUAGCCCAUCUUUGAGAGAGCAAAGAGAGCUACAGAAAGCAAAAAACUGAGAGCAGAAAAGAAGAAGAAGGUGCUCUUCUUUUUGGUUAGUAAUCACUCACCAAGGUAGUUGUUGUUGUAAUAGCUUUGAGCUUUAUAUAGAGAAGAAAUUAAUCACUAUAUUUCUUUCUCUAUUUGUUUAUUUGGUGUGUGAAAUCUAUUGGUUGUAUUGGGUUAUUUGGGUUGUGAGAUUGCCAACACUUUGUAAACUUCCAUUUGGUUGAUAGUGGAUUAUUGGGUGAGCUCUUACUGCUUCGAGGACGUACUCCAGUUACACUGACUGUUGAGGAACCUCGUUAAAAUCUUGGUGUCUUUUAUAUUUUGUUCUUGCAUUUUCAUUUGAUAAAUUUCCUAUGGGUUAGCUUGAGUUGUUUCCAUAAGGUUUGGUGCUAUCCUAGCACAACAGAUUGCAUUUCAAGUUAUACACCAUACCUGAAUGAAUUUUCUAGAUUGCAUUUCCUAUAUGAAUUCUGUAUUUAGGCAGUAAACUGUUGGAUAUAACCAAGGUCCUAAUUCCUAAUCACUUUAAUUGAUCAAAGUGGCCAAGCAAAUCUUCUUGCAGUUUGUCUUUGAAAAAAUCCUACUUGGAGUAAAAAUAAAUAGUAGUAAGUUAUAGCAUAACCAGUAAAUUGAAUUUGACCUACAAAAAAACAAUUUGACCACUGCACAUAUAACUCCAUAAAUUACUUACCACAUCAACCUUGAGAGGUCCAACAUGUCUAAAAGUCGCAAAAACUUUUCCAUGUUCAGCUCUAAUCACCUACAAACACUGAAAAGCAGAGGAAAACAUAUAAAUUCAUUAAAAUUCUCUACCCACGGAUAAGUUAAAAAUCGAAAGCACUGACCAUUCCAAGGAAAAGAGCAGCCAUUAUUAGGAUCCAAAACUCAUUCCUUAGUCUCCUCAUCUGGGUACUCGACUCCGUAAUCUUUGCUUUAUUUCCAUUAUAUAUACACACUUUGUCAUUAUAUAUUUUUCUAGAAAAAAACCCUAAAAGUUAGACGAUUCUAAUCACUGAAAUAGAAUGAAAAUUAAACUUUUUGGAGAAAUAAAUAUUUUAAUAUGUAUAAAAAAGAAAUUAAAAGAGAAAUAAUCAAUUUUUUUCUAAUUCUUAGAACACCAUCAUCAGCCUAAUUGGCAGAAAUCAAAGUAAUUACACGCUUGACCACUUAAUCAGCUUAAUCACAGAAUAAAAUUAAGAUCCCUCAAUUCCUUCCACCAUAUUUUUGCACACAUGCAGUUCUCCCUAUAAAAAUUCCAGAAAACUCAUUAUUAGGAGAGAAAUAGAAAAGGACUUUUAGAAGUUGUCUAUGAAGCAAAGGAAUCCAACCCAAAAUGUAUGUGUGCAACUCAUUGGAAUCAAAUCAAAUCCAAUAACAAUAAUAAAUGACUUCUUACCUAUAAGUGGUAAAACCAUUUUACCAACUUAGGAAACCCCUGCCCAAAUGAUUUGUAAUUGAUAUAAUUUAAAUGGAACCAAUAUGGAAUGAAUAGUAAACAACUUAAACCACUGGACGAAGUCAAAGACUAUGUACCUGUUUUCACGUUUCAUACUGGAUUCAGUAAAUCUCUUUAAUAAGCUGCUUACUCGCAAUUGGAUAAACUUAAUUUGGAGGCUAAAAAUUAUCUGAAAAGUAGUUUCAAAUGGCAUCUGAUAACUCAAACAAACAACGGAGAACACAUUCAAGAAAAAGAAAAAGAUGACAUGAGAGUCGAAGUUACCAAGUAUGUGCAGAUGGCAAGUAAUCUACGCCUUGUGCAACAAAAAUUUAUGUGAGCCCGAGAUCCCUUGAAGUGCACCAAAACCUUUUAAAAGCACCUGGACAAUAUGAGCAACACUGCUCAGAUUACAUCUUAUACAACAAAUACAGUAGAUAUCAUAAUAUAUAGCGAAAUUGUCACAGCCCGUCCCGGAGAUGUGCAUUAUUUUAUUCUCGAUGACGUGAAAUGACGGUUUUAUCCUUAGACGUUGAGACUAUAGUGUAUGUGUGUGACAUAUUAUGAGACUUAGAGGUUAUUUUUUAUUUUUGGAUUGGUGACCCACGUGGACCACACACACACCACACUCACUCAUUCUCUUCUCUCCCGUACUCUCUCAUCUAUCUCGGACUCACUCUCUCUUUCUUCUUCCUCGUACGGACCAAGCUCGAGGUGAGCUUCCCAGUCACAGAUCGAAGAUUCUAAAGGCACCAUUGCAUUCCUCGUGCCAUUUCGAGUUGGUUGGUACCCAUUUCAGGUAAGGAUUCCUUCGAAAUCUUGAGAACCCGAAACUCAUUUUUCAUGCACUAUUCAUGUGGACGUAAAACCUUAUGUUUCAGAGGAUUUCAAGCUCACAGGGAGCUUUAGGAGGUCCUAAGGAAGCUUAGGGUAGUUCGUUGGAAGAGUUUGGAUGUCGGAAGGCCGAGAUCGAAGUUUUUCAAAGUUGACCAGAUUAUCGAGCUUCCUCAGGUAAAUUCUAGUGGAUUUCAAGGCUUAAAAAUAGUAUAACGUGAUUCUACAUGUUAUUAGCUUCAUUUUGGUAACAAUUUUAUGAACAAUGGUGAAGAAAUGAAGGAGAAUAGUAGUUUUGAAGUUUUACCCAGAAACCGGCGAAGUCAUCGGCGACCGGCAACUCGCCGGAGAAGAAAGGAGCAUAUUCCGUUAAGGUUAACGGAAUAUGCUAACGCCGUCAAUUAGAGUUAACUGUUACCGUUAGGUUUUAAUGGAAUAUUCCUUAGAAUAUUUCUAACGGCAUUGACUGACGCCGUCAGUGUGCAUGUCACGUGGCCGCGCGUGGGGGCGCGUAGGGCCGUGCCCUUGCCGGAGCGUGGCGGCGCGUGAGGGGUCAGAAAAAUAUUCUAAAAAUAUAGGGAUGAUCCUGAGGUUGUGUAGGUCACUGUGGUAUAUUCAUAUACCCAUUUUGAGCAUGGUAUGAGAAGUUAUUAGCUAGUUUUGUCCAUACGCUCUAAAAUAACAUUUUUAUAGUUAAUUCACAUAUAGGUGCGACUUAUCCCAAGGACGAGCGUAUCCAAGGGCGACUCGGGGGCUACGACCCUUUGACAUACCAGUGAGUGGGCUUUUGGUUUUCAGUAUAUAUUUAUAUACCAGAUAUUUUCCCAGAAAUAUGUGUUUAAAUGAUAGUAUGCCAUAAAUGCCAUGCAUAUAAGUCUAUAAUUCAUAUAUGAAUUGGUAUGUGAUGCUUUAUAUAUAUAAAUGUGGUGCCGUGGACGCUCAGGUAAGCUCAGGUAAGUUAUGUUUGGUUAUGUGAAUCAUCGAUGAUGUGAUAUGGGAUUGAAUAACGUUGAGCUCAUAAAACUGCACCUAGAGUGAUUAUGAAUUAGCCAAAGAUAUGGCACAUGCCUAUUUAUUAUGUCACCUCCUGCACCAUAUGCUCAUAUUGGAUCCAAUUUAGGUGCACAGUUUUGUCGUACAGACCUUAUUUAUGGUUCUGACACGUAGGUGACUAGUGAUGUAUCGCCCAUCUAUUAUGUGAGAGUAGUAUUGAGCAUGAUUAUAUUACACCCAUUAUUGUCGUACAGACCUUUGCAUUUGGUUCCGACUCUUGUGCAGUAUAUUGCCGUAUAGGUCAUUGUAGUGACUCCGGCUAGAUUGACUUUGAGCUAUGAAUUUAGCCGUACAGACUACCACAUGGGUUUCGGCUAACAUGUUAUAUUUCUAUGAAAUUAUUCUUACCUGAAUUGCUUACUCUGUUAUAUCUUGGCAUGGCAUACAUAUGAAUAUGAUUAUGUGAAGCAUGAUUUGAAUUGAUAUAAUUACAUAUAUAUUUAUGUAUAUGCUUAUAUCUUGAUUCUGGGAAAAAUUAUACUUGUUUUACAGCGAGGGGUUAGAUAUGUUGAUAAAUGAAAUGGUUUUGUAAAACAUUUGUUUUGCCCCAUUCACGUUUUCUGUUUUACGCCCUUCCAGGUUUUAGUAAGCUUGAUGUUGGUGGCUUUGAGGACUUUGGCGGUUCUGACAUAUCUAAAUAAUUGUAGGACAUCUUAUGGUACUGUAUAACUAGUACUGGUCCUACUGGACUGCACCUAGACUUUCUAUGCUCUGAUUAGGAGUGUUUACUUCUGUAUCUUACUCAUAAUACUUUCGGUUUAGUAGUGCACUCUAGUAGUUCGGUUUUUAAUUAUUCAUAUAUUUCUUAUCAUUAUUGCUUCCACACUGUGCACAUGGCUACGUCACUCUCACGUGACGGCCAACAUGCCUUGAUCUUGGUCGGGGUGUGUCAGAAAUUAUGUCGAAAAAUUUAACGAAAAAUUCAUACAUAAUUGCAAAAAAAUAAAAAUAAUAAUAAUAGUAACAAUGUGGUUAUUUGACCUCUUUCAUUAUUUAAAGCCGCCGCAGAAGAGCUCUGCCGUUUAAGAUCCUCGCACCAGAGCCCUCUUCAUGUCUGCCAUCCUUUCGUUUUUGUCUCCAUUUUAGGGCAUUCACACAAAAACUGUUAUUCACAUAUUAGCUUUCAUAGUUUCACGGAUCCAUCUUAUUUGGACUUCAAUAUAGACAGAGGUGCAUAUCUGUACCUUUGACAUUCGGCCAUGAAAAUGAAUGAAAGGGAGAGGUGGACGUGUUUUACCUUUAUUGGUCUUGGGAUUUGAGGAGUCCUUCGUGAAGGUGGAGUCGUCAAUGAUGAGUGCAGAGCCGAUCUCUCUCUAGCCUUCCCCUCAACCUCACCCCCCGGGCAACCAUACCUCCCCAUCUCUCUCUCUGCAGCAAACACGCGUCACUCUCCUAGAACCUUACCCCCAAAUCGAUCAUGACCGCACCCACCCUCUCACCUUCUCUCCCCGUAAUCCCGCACCCAAACCCCACUCUGUCCACCUGGAACCCCUCCCGUCAACCCUUUCUCUACCUGCAACCCAUCAACCCCUCUGUGAACCAUGCCUCUACCGACGUCGACAGCAACCACCCCAAAACACAUAAUGACAACCCAUCAACCCCUCUGUGAACCAUGCCUCUGCCGACAUCGACAGCAACCACCCCAAAACACAGAAUGACAAAAGUGCCUCCAAAUCUUGUCCAUUGGAUUUGGAUUGAAGCGGGCAAAAAAGUCAUUUCGACUCUUUCUGUGCAACCCAGCCCAACACAUUGGACAACCCACUUCUGAAGCCCACACCUGUCCCAAAAUAGGCCCAAAUUGGGCCCAAGGCACCCAAACCUACGGACAAUAUUACCCUCCUAACUUUUAGUAAUUACCUCAGCCCAACACAGAUUUAGUGGCAGUAGUAUGCAAAUAAAGCAAAAUCAAGGGGCAAAAAAAUUGACUAUAGCUAAGCUACAGUCAAUUUCUCCUCAAUUUUAGAAUAGAUAAUUUCAAUAGUGUAGCUAACAGUUAGCAUCAUUUUAUACAUGUUGAAGAAUCUUCUACAAUUUCAGGACUCAGAAGAAUGGAUUGCAGACAAGAAUACGUUGGAAAAGAUAGGGAAGAGAUGAAGUUACCAUUGUUCGACUUGACCACCAUAGCUAAAGCCACUAACAACUUUUCAAGCUACAACAAGCUGGGAGAAGGUGGCUUUGGACCUGUGUCCAAGGUAACAUGAAUUCAUGCAACGAAAAUUAGCUAUAUUGCUAUAAAAAAUUUAAGUUUUUUCGAAAUGAUGGUCCACAGGGUACAUUGAUAGGAGGAAACGUAAUUGCAGUAAAGAGGCUUUCAAAGAAUUCUGGACAAGGAAUAAGAGAGUUCAGAACUGAAGUUAUACUCAUAGCCAGAUUUUAGCAUCGCAAUCUUGUUAAGCUUCUUGGUUGUUGCAUUAAAAAAGAUGAAAAAUUCUACUAUAUGAAUUCAUGCCCAGCAAAAGCUUGGACUUCUAUAUUUUUGGUAUGAUCCUUCAUUUUCAACCUUAUUUACCUAGGAUUCAAUGUGCCAUUGAAAUAACAGGCUUAAAGUUUUUUCAGACCAGAAGGGACAAAAAUUGUUCGACUAGCCUAAGUGCUUCCACAUUAUCGGUGGAGUUGCCCGAGGGCUUCUUUAUCUUCACCAAGACUCUAGAUUAAGGAUUAUACAUCGAGAUCUGAAACCUAGCAAUAUUCUGCUAGAUGAUAAUAUGAACCCGAAAAUUUCAGACUUCGGCCUGGCUAAAACAUUUGGCGGUGAACAAAGUCAGGCCAACACAAAUAAAGUGGUUGGAACCUAGUAAGCAUGCUUAGACUUGCUUUGUGGUUUAUAAUUUUCAUUGUUCUGCUUUUGAAAUUCUUUCUCACUGGUCACUACAUAUUGAUCUGGCAGUGGUUAUAUGUCUCCGGAAUAUGCAACAGAUGGAAUUUUUUCGAUGAAAUCUGAUGUGUUUAGCUUUGGAGUCAUACUGCUCGAGAUGUUGAGUAGGAGAAGAACAGGGGAUUUCGUCAUCUAGAUCACGACCACAACCUUCUUGGACAUGUAAGUUUAACCAACGAGGUGAUGAUAUUUUACUUUAAAAAGAAUAGUGAAUUAGACGGUGCUCUUCGAAGCACGUCUUCUAAUGACAUGCAUUUGACAAUACCCCUUUUACAUAUUAGCCCACUAACAUAUCAUACAUGUUUCAAUUUGUUUUAAGGCAUGGAUAUGAUGGAUUCAAGAUAAACCACUAGAACUGAUCAAUAAGACGUUUUGUGGUUCGUGCAACACAUCUGAAGUGGUAAGGUGUCUUCAUGUGUGGCUGUUAUGUGCGCAAAGAGUACCUGAGGAUAGACCAAGCAUGUCAUCUGUGGUUCUGAUGUUGAGCAGUGAUGUUGCCUUGCCGCCUCCAAAGCAGCCCGGUUUUUACACUGAACAAAGUGUCCCUAAAUCACCAUCAAGGACGCUUCUUUGUUCAGAGAAUACUUUCAGCACUACGUUGGUAGAACCUCGGUAGAUCAUCAUUGCAGUGCUUGUUAGUCCUUCAAUCUACCAUCACAAAACGUGUUUGGAAGGUUGACAUGAAGCUUUUAAUCUUAGCUGGCAAACAAUGAGACGUGUGAUUAUAACUCUGCAAGAAACAUAUUUAUGAUUACAACUUUAGGAGUUCCAGAUAAUAACUGAUAUAACAGAAAUGCCACAUGACAUUAUUCUAGUGGUUAAGUUUGUUAAUAUAGUUAGAAGGGUAUUAUUGUAAUUGGGAUAUAUGGCUAUAUAAGAGAUGGUAUAGCUAUCAUUUCUUUAAGUUCUUUUGUAUACAUUUUCUCCAUUUUAAUCAAUACAAUCUUUCUGGUUUUUCUCUCUAUCAUCUUCAUCUUCCUUUGUACCAAUUCUUCAUCUUUUACAAUGUAGUUAAUAUGGUAUCAUAGCCACCAAGGCUCACGCCAUGAAUCUUGGUGGUCGAUUCCUCUUCUAUUUUUUUUUUCUUCAUUACUUUCUUUCGUUUCCGCGUAUUUGAUCGAAGAGGGAAGACUUGAGAGAAUCGACGUUGGAGAGGAGAGAUCGAAGGUCGUCGACGUCCUCUUCCAAAGCGUAAACAGUGUCUUUGAGGCUGAGGCGGCUCUGCUCCUCAGCUUGGUGAGUCAGAACCUCGGUCAAUUGGUGAUUGACAAGCUUCGUCGGCGAGGCAGCAGGAAGAGGAUCUCCACCAGCCAAUCGCCGAACUCCUUAUUGACCUUCCGUUCGAUGUGCCACCGAAUAUCUGGAAUCUUCUUCUCCAUCAUCUGCUUGAGCAUAGAAUCGCUCCCUGCCCCUGUGAUGCCAUUCGAUUUCGCUCAAGAACUGCAGUUUCAGAUUUUGUCGUUCAGUUCAUUCUGUAUUUUCUGGGUAAAUUUUUGUUUUGGGUUGUGAUCAGAGAUCAUCGGUGUUAUGAUAUCUUGGUCUUUGGAAUUGUGGCAAAUUUUUCUUCGUCUGAAGCUUGAAUCUUGCUCCUUCGGGCCAAAUUAGAAGUGGGAACUUCUUGAUUCUUGAAUUCGGGAAAGGAAAAUUUUCUAGGGAAAUGUCAGAUUCCGGGAAAGGAAAAGCAUCAGCUUCUAGGCAAGUGUUCGAUUCCGUUGAAGGAAAGUAUGAUCGUUAUGUUCCUGGGUUGAAAGAAAGUACGACGGCGGUGGCCUCUCUCAGGUGCCGAUUCUGAAUUCUGCAAGUAUAAGAUGGGUCCAGACCAACACUCUAGUUCGAUUUAGCGAAAUGAAUUCUACAUCGGUGCUUAUAAAGAUGGUUCUAUUUGGAGGACCAACAAGUUUAUGGAUAUUUGCAUAGGGCUGAUGGUUGCGCUUGCUGAUGGCGGCGACGAGCAUUGCGGCUUGAUAGCGUAUGCUUGUUGAGAAUUUUUCGAACUGUUUUUGCUUCUUGUGAUAUUUUAGUGGAAUUGGCUGUGAAACAAUUUGGGUAUUGCAAAUUUUUUUGUGGAUUGUUUGUUCAAGAUUGCAACUAUUGGGAGCUCUUCCGGUUCUGAUUCUGUGCACUCCAACUGGUUGAAGAAAUGGGUCAGUGAAUUAUGUGAUCUCUACUCUAUUCUUUGGUACAGAAGAAAGAUUAGACAUGGGUGCAAUCCUGGUGUUUGUCGAAUUACCCAACUCAAAAGUUUCAUGUGAAGGUUAUAUUUGGUUUCUUGGUUAAUAGUAUUAGUUUUCUUGUCAAUUUAAAGAAGAAAGUGUCAUUCUUUCUAUGAAUUUUGGAGUUUCAUUCUCCUAAGUUGCCGUAUGAUUUGGAGUUUCAUUCUCCUACGUUGCAGUAUGAUUUGUGUUCAUGGAGUGUCAGUCUCCUUAUUUGGUAUUUUUAGUAGAAGUUUGAGAUUUGUGUUGUGCUUUGGAGUAUCAUUCUCCUUGGCUGAUUUGGUUUGUUGGAGUGUCAUUCUCCUUGGUUAAUUUGGUUUUUUUUGGAGUGUCAUUCUCCUUGAUAGAUUUUGUAUGGCUUCUCAGUUCACAGUCGAAAAUUUGUUGGGUGUGUUAAGGAUAAAGCUGGAUUGUACUUGUGGUUUUCAUCAUGGCUUCACCAACGGCAACAGUUGUAGUCUUGUGUGAUGAUAAUGGGGUGCGCAGAGGUUUUUGGUCAGCAGUUACAUGGGGUGAGCAGAGGUUUUUGGUCAGCAGUAACAAAGGUGUCAGUGGGUGCUUUCUUGUUUGCAGCAGGUUAAUUCUUGAAGCACAGAUCAGUCUCAAAUACUGGCUAGUUCAAACUUCACUUGGAUAUUCCAAGUUUAGUUUGAGGGGGAGUAAUAACUGAUAUAACAGAAAUGCCACAUGACAUUAUUCUAGUGGUUAAGUUUGUUAAUAUAGUUAGAAGGGUAUUAUUGUAAUUGGGAUAUAUGGCUAUAUAAGAGAUGGUAUAGCUAUCAUUUCUUUAAGUUCUUUUGUAUACAUUUUCUCCAUUUUAAUCAAUACAAUCUUUCUGGUUUUUCUCUCUAUCAUCUUCAUCUUCCUUUGUACCAAUUCUUCAUCUUUUACAAUGUAGUUAAUACCAGAAGCAAAACAAAGAAACGAUUUGGGGUCGUUAGGUUGAAGAAAAUUAAGUUAUAGCUAAAGUUGUGUUUAUUAUUUAUAUACUUUAUUUUAUUAUUUCAUAAGAAUAUAAAAAUUUCAUUGAGAAGUAGAUCAUGCAUAAGUACACAGGAAGUUGGAGACGAGCCUUCCUCCAACAACACUAUAAACUCCUCGAAAGGAAUUGCCAUAUUUGGCUAAGAUCACAAAAUGUAAAGCUUUAUGGAUCGCGGUCCAUGCACUUAGGUCUAGUUCGGGUAUUUGAUCGAACCAGGCAGGCUAUUUGUAAAUGGCUGGAAUUCACACUCGAGUCUGGUUCGAGACGUUUGAUGGUUAGAUUUGAUCAAAAGAUGUAAUUUGUGAAACAAAAGUGAGUAAUUGCUUCAUGAUACUGGGGAGAGAGGUGUUUGUCAUUUAAGCUUCUUUGCCAAUCCUCUAUUGGUAGAAAAAAUUCAGUACAGGCAUUUGGACCACAUGGCCAUCUUCCUGCAAACACAAAUAUCACACUAAACUAAGGCAGUUGUACCGCAAUUUCUCUCCAUCCGAGAAGUGGUUAAGUUCAUCGGCUAGCUGUCAACUUAGUUUAUCCUUGAGACCAACUUUUCAAACCAUGGGACCCAAAGUCUUACAAAAAAAAUAAUAAAUGGUAAAGGAAAAAAACCCUUGAAAGAGAGUUAAUAUUCUUCUUCCAACUCCUGUGCAUAAAUGAUGUACAAUUUCACUUGAUUUUCUAGUAACUUAUUAUUUAAGUGACUUGAUAUUCAACUAAUCUUGCAACCUCAAUAUAGCUAGAAUAAUAGGGUCUUAAGUCUGAUUGACCAAUUACGUAAUCACUGUUUAGUAAGACUUAUUAUGGUGGGACAUGAAAUAUAUAAUUGUGGUUAUGAGUAUUUCUCAUGUGAUAAUAGGGUUGAUUGAGUGAUAUCCUAGCAACUAUAUAGUUUGGAGAGAGUAGAAGACAUUCUUAUACAUGCGCCGAUUCCUCUCUACAUAUAAGUUAAUUGUAAUUCGUUUAUUGAAUUAUUGGUUUAUUAAAUCUGUGAUCCUAAUGUCUUAGUUAUUGUGAUUUCAGAAUAUAUCUUACACAAUCUUCAAUUAACACACAAUAUUUGUUUUAAUUAUUUUUAAGGCAUGGACAUUAUGGAUUCAAGAUAAAUAGCUUGAACUGAUCGAUAAGACGCUUUCAGAUUCGUGCAAACAAAUCUGAAGCUGUAAGGUGUCUGCAUGUGGGGCUGUUAUGUGUGCAAAGAGUACCUGAACGAAGUGUCCCAAAUCACAAUCAAGGAUACAAUUAACAAGAAAAUGUUUGAAUUGUGAAUAAUGUAAGAUAAAAUAUAUAAUGGAGAAGGAAAGUAGUUCAUGCUUAAACAACAUGUAUAGGAGGUUGGAGAAGCAAGACGAACAUUUAUCCAACAGCAAUGAAAUAUGGAGGUUCACCAAACCUGUCACUUUGUAACCCAAAGCAUGCAAGCCGGUGAGCAACUUCGUUGGCUUUUGGCAACAGAUAUGGAUAAAAUCUUCUCCAGUGAUCCCAAAUGACGUCGAGGUAAGACAAAUAAGAACCCAUUGAUGCGUCCAUAGAAAGAUGAAUAAGAACCCAAAUGACGUAGAGCUAAGACGAUCUAAAAGUAAAAGAGUAACACAAACACUGCUAAAUUUUUACACUUCAACUGUUUGAGUAAUUGAUGAACUUAAAUUUUAUACUUAAUCUAAAUAAAAAAGUUGACAAAACUAAUAAAGUUCUUAAAUUGUUAUAAUUAUUAAAAUAUGACCGAAGUGGAACAUAUCAACCUGAACGAGAUAUUUUUCUUGUACCUGAAACAUCGACAUUGAAAAAUAUACCUUAAAUGGAACAUAUCAAAUUUAUUGUCCACUUGUUUAUAAUAUGUGUUGUACCAUGGUUGUGUGGGAAAAUGCAUCUUAAUUUAUCAUGGUUGUGGGAAAAUGCCUCUCGUAUUUUAUUUUGACCUAAUUUUCACAAGUUGAGUACCGUUAUGUGUAUCCUCUGUUUGUUUUGUUUAGGUAUACAAUUUGUAGGUGUGGAAUUUGGACUGAUAUAUGCUGGCUUUGUUUUUGGGGUUGCCUCAGUUCAUAAUUAUGGUUGCUAGUUGCCUUAAUUCAUGGUACCUCGGUGUACUAUUAACCUCUAAUGCUUUUCUUGGUUACUUGCUGCCUCAAUACAUUGUUGCCUUUGUUUUUUUUCGCAAUUUUCCCCAAUUUGUUGCUCAGUUAUCCUGAUACCGGGAUUUAGGGUUAUCUCAGUAUAUUGUUGCUACAGUUUAUGGUUUUCUUGGGUUAUCUUGAUACAUUGAGUCAUUGUUGCCUUGGUAUAUUUUUGUGGAAGUCAAUAGUUGCCUCAAGUAUUUUGAUGCCUCAUCCAUGGUUGCCUCGGUUGUAUAGAUGCCUCAAAUAGUGCUUGUCUCUGUUUAUUGUUGGUUUCAGUUAUGGUUUCCUCAGUUGUAUUGAUGCCUCGAUUUAUUGUUGAUUUCUAUUAUAGUUGCCUCAGUGCUUCGAUUAGUGUAACACUUGGAUAUAUAUAUAUAUAAAUUAUAGGAGUAAGAUUAUUUUAGUUAAAAAAAAAAAACAAAGAAACAAAUAAGGAUGAGCUAACGUGUAGCCAUCCCCCAUUUUUCUUCUUCUUCCCAACCAUCACACGGUGGGUGAGCCAAGGAAUCAGAUUCUGUCCAUAAAUGUUUGGGGUGAUGUGGGUAGUCUAGGGGGUGUGAGUAAGCAUUCUAAAUCAGGAGAGGCAAUGAUAGGCUUAGAGGGAGUAUUUCCAACUCUCACUGAAGAAUUAGAGGAGAGUGAGAGGUUUUGGAAAGGGAAAAGUAGGAAAUCGGAAGAGGGAAGCUGAGAGGGUGCUGGUGUGUUCUUCAAUUGGUACAAAAGGUUAGCUUAAAUUUGUUAAAUUUCUAUUUUCUUACCUCUGCAACCUUGAUUUCUAGAAAACAGCAGUUUCGUGAACCUCACUUUGGCUCUUGUUUCUUCUCAAUCCAUUUCAUCUUCUUAAAGAGUCUUCUUAUAUAUUUGAAAUUAGAUAUGACAAGGAUCAAAGCCCAAUUUAUUUCAUCGUUUUUGGUUGAGAUCUUCUAUGGAAAAAUAUGAUUUGAAAAUGUGAAAAAAAUCUGGAAAUCUUCAGAUUUUCUGCAGAAAAACUGGUUGUGAACUCAACUUUGGAACUUGAUUAUUUUCUUCUCUUAAAUCCAUUUCGAGAAACUCUUGUAGAUUAGAAACUAGGUUUGUUAAGCUUUAAAAUCCAAGUAAUUUCAUCCUUUUACAUGGAUUUUUGAGGGAUGAAAAUAGGGUCACAAUAUGGGGACUUAAGCUUGGUUUUUCACGGGGUUGUGAUGGGUAUAUUUGGGUAAAUCUUUUGUUAGGCUGAAAUAGAAUUUUCAUUCCAGUUUUAUGCUAACUUUUACUAUUAUUUAUGUGAUGUUAGGCCUGGGAGUGACUACGGACACUUCAGAGGCUUAGAGAGGUAUUAUAGUUAGCUGGACAAGAGGUAGGGGCUCUAUUUCCCGAUGAUAGAUCUAUAUCAUGGUUAAUCUUUGUGAUAUUAGUAAUUAUAUCUAAUACAGUAGUAAUGAAAUGCUUGGGUGAAAUUGAAUCAAUUGAUUGUCUUGGUUGUUAGGGUUGAUGGUUUCUUUUUCGGUGUAUUAUAUAUAUUGACUAUGUUAAAUGUUGUUAUGUUUUGAUGAAUGGUUGAGUUAUAUAAAAUUGUUGGACUGACUAUGUUGAGGUUUACAAUUGUGUUUGUUAAAUUGAAAUGCUCAGGUUGCAUUAUAUGUUAUAGAGUUAAGUGUUGGGUUGUGUAAACUUGGUUAAGCAAAUUGUUGAAAACUUGUAUAUGUUCAAGCGUAGGGUGAAGGGCUUGAACGUAUAGUUGGGCGUCGGGAGAAAGGCCCAUGUUAAUGAAACUGAAACUACUAAUAAAAUUCGGGGUUAAGGGAGGAAUGGGAGUUAAUUUAUAUUUUAUGGUAUUCGGAACCAAGUGGUAUAAGCAUGGUAUGGGACGUGCAGGUUUGGAUGCCAUAAAUAUAAGUUAGCGGGAUUAGAAGGGAGUGAGUUCAUGUGUACUUCUUUGUCAUAUCAUUUGUAUUUUACCGGAUUAUUUGAUGCGUGGUACUUUGAUUAACUAUGAUAAAUGAGCUUGAAGGACAUAUGGUUCCUACUGGGCAUGAAAUGCUCACACCCUAAUAGGGUGACCUAUUAGCUAUUGCAGGUACCAUUAUGGAAGAACAUGAGGAUGACCUGUCUCUAAAUGAAUAGUCAUAUCAUAUGUGUGCUGGUUUCCUAGUUGUGCUUAAAAUAAAGCGUCCUAGUAUCUGAAGAGUGUGUUGUAAGAGUUGAUGUUAUACCCACCCUUAAUUUAGAUUGUAUUUUCACUAAGUUUGAUUUUAUCUUGUUUUUAAGAUUGUUUUUGGGUCUUAAUAGGUGUGCCAAGGGGCCCACCUUUGUUUGUUGUCCCCCCGAGUCCAAGCCCUUCAUCUCUCUCUCUCGGUCUCUCUUUCCCUCCCUCACUCUCUCUUCCUUUUUCCUCUUUUUCCCUCGAGGCUCUCUCUCUCUAUUCUCUCCUCUUCCCGUCGAAUACGCACACACACUCAGUCACCAACCACAACCCGUACCACCUGAGCGUGGUGACGUUGAAAUCAGGACCUGAAGGAGUGAUACUCCAACAGUGGCAGUGCCACUGUGCAUCUUCGUCCCUAAACAAACUCCGGCGAGUUUGAUAUGGGUAAGCUCCGAUAACACUCUAAACCUCCCCUUUUUUAUCCUCAUAAUUCAUUUCUGAUUGUAUCUAUGUGUUUUGGUCGUCGAAACUAGGAAGAAACACAUCGGGGAGACUUCCCCGGAUUCCUGGGAGGAAUCCGUCACUUUCGAGGCACUUUUUGGCCAAACCAUGGUGAGUUGGCCGGCGUAAAAGGUAUCAAUCUCUUCGUCACUGAGUACUACAACUUUCCUUUUUGUUUCACCCAAUUUCGUUGAGUAUUGAAGACGUUAUAUCCAUUUGAAUCUUACCCAAUUUCCGGCGACCUCAGUGGUUUCGAGGAGUUUUCUGGCCAAACAACGGUGAGUUAGACGUCAUGUGAGGUACCAUUCUCUUCCUCUCUUUGAGAACUACAACUUUUGUUUUUGAAUCACUCAAUUUCGUUGAGUUUUGAUAAAGUUAUGGUCGUUUAAAGUUGGUGUGGAUUUCUGGCCGAAUUUUGGCCUUCUUCAUCCUUGGGUCCGGUGACCCACCAAACCCAGGCCCUUUGGGCCUUUCUUGCCGAGCCCAACCCAAAACCCAUUUCAGUUUUAUUAUUUAUUUUAUUAAUUGUUUUAAGUUAAAGGCCUUGGGGCCAAAUUAGCUAAGGCCCUAAACCUUUUUAUCUAGAAACCCAAAACCUUUAGGCCUAAGGCCUUCGGGCCUUUUGAACCAGGGCCCUAAGCCCUCUCCUCUAAACCUAGCCCACCUAAUUAGCUAAACCCAAACCUUUUAUGUGGAAUAUUCUAAGGAUAUUUUGUUGACAUUUCACGAAAUUUAUCCAAGACCCUUCUUAGGGUAAUUCGACGUUCUAAAUCCGUUUCCAAUGUCCGUUUUCCCAAAUUCAAUUUCUAUUAUAAAGUUUUAUUAAUUUGGCCCUUUAUGUGCUUAGGGGCAAUUAUAGUGGCAUUUCUGUCUUCGCUAGUUGCGUGGCUCUUCGGCGGCGAAGUACUGUGAGUGGACCCCUUCUAAAAAUGCAUGUUUUAAUUAUAGAAAUGCAUACAUGAAAAGCAUGAUUUGAUGAUUACGUUUUAUGAAACGUUUUGUGAGAUAACAUGUUUAUUGAAGUUAUUUGAAUUAUUACUAUUUUUCCUAUAACCCAUGUUCUUAUAGAAUAUCCGAUGGAUGACGAUAUGAUAUUUAGAACAUGUUUCGAACACCUCUUUAUGGUAUAGAUGAUGGAUGACUUUAUACUAUGAAGUUGGUUUUCAAUAUAUAUAUGUUCAAUGGUUUUGUAUUUACCUAGUGGUCCUUUCCGCUACAGGACGAAGGGAUAGAUUCAGGUCCGUCCUGAGUGACGGUUUGGUGUUGGCAUAUGGCAUGGAGUGUGUUUGCUCUGGCUAUUUAGCACAGGGACGGGGAGCCAGCAUGGGGCCUGAAGUGUAUUUUCCUCUGACUGUCUGCUCAGAGACGGGGAGCCGGCAUGGAGCCUGAGAGUUAUCGGACAAUUCACUAGUGAUUAUUAUAUAUACAAGUUAUGGUUUGAGACUUUCACGGCAUGCUAGGUUUCGGAAAACUUAUGUCUAUCAUGAUAUAUAUGUGUUUUAUAAAACCUAGGGGUUAGUAUGUUGAUAACUGUUUUAUUUUAUAUAUAUAUAUAUAUAUAUAUAUAUAUAUCAACUUGGUCCACUCAUGUUUGUUUUGCGCCCCCUUCAGGAUUUAGAAUCGAGGUAUACAAUCCCGACGUCCAGGCAUUUCCGCAUCGGCAUCUUCGAGUCCUCUCGGUGUAGGAUCCAUCCUUUGUUUCAUUCAAUUUUAUAUUAUUUCUUUUAGUGUUAUAGUUAGUUGUAUGCUCUGAACAUGUUCCUUAAAGGCACAUUAUUCAUUCUCUUAUAUUUACAAGUCUAAGUGAACCUUUAGAUGGUUUUGGUUCUAUCAUACUUUCGUUGUAAUAUUUUAAAUUUUUUUUUUAAUUCUAUUCACGUCCUAAUUCGAUUAUCAUUCUUAUUUUCGAAUUUGGGGUGUGACAAGUAGUGAUUGCCUCAGUUUAUUGUUGGUUUUGGUUAUGGUUGCCUCAGUUUUUUGUUGGUUUCAGUUAUGGUUGGCUGGUUGUAUCGAUGCCUCGAUUAGUGGUUGCCUUGUUUUAUUAUUUGUUUCGGUUAUGGUUGCCUUGGUUGUAUCGAUGCCUUGAUUAGUGGUUGCAUUGGUUUAUUGUUGGUUUCGGUUAUGGUUGUCUCGGUUGUAUUGAUGCCUCGAUUAGUGGUUGUUUUGGUUUAUUGUUGGCUUCAGUUAUGAUUGCCUCAGUUGUAUUGAUGCCUCGAUUAGUUGUUGCCUCUGGUGAGAAUGAAUCUCACAUUGAUAGGGGGAGAAACUUUGCAAAGACUUAUAAGAGGUUGGGUUACUCCUUAUAAUGCCAAUUUGUUUUAUGGUAGAACCUCAACUUCUUCAUGGUAUCAGAGCAGGUUGUCACAUGUGUGAAGUCAAAUGCCCACACUCGCACAUGCGCUCCACGUCACCCUGUUGUAUUGUCCAUGUGUUAGGUUUGAAAAUUCACCACACAUGAGGGGGCAUGUUGUAAAUGAAUCUCACAUUGAUGGGAGAAGACACCUUGUAAAGGUUUCUAAAAGGUUGGGCUACUCCCUAUAUUACCAAUUGGUUUUAUGGUGGAACCUCAACUUCUUCAGCCUCGAUGCAUUGUUGGUUUCAAUUAUGGUUGACUCGGUUUAUUGUUCGUUUUGGUUAUUGUUGCCUCGGCUGUAUUGAUGCCUCAUCAUUAUUGCUUCAGUUAAUUGUUGCCUCACUUUAUUCUUGAAUAGUAUUGUUUCAUUGGUUUAUUGUUGCCUCAAAUUUUCAAGUGUGUUGUUACCUUGGUUCAUGAUUGCCUCACAGUUAUCUUAUGCAUUGCCUCAUUUUCCUUGUUGUUUGGAUAUCCCGACUCAUACUGUCAUAAUCAUUGGACGCAUUGUUACCCAUAGUCGACUUCGUAUAAAUUUUUGCCACUGAUAUUUGAUGACUAUUCAUGGUUGUCUUGAACUCUCAGUGUGCUGGUGUAUUGUCGUAUUGGUUAACUGUUGGCUCAAUAUAUAGUUCUCAUCACUCAAACUUUCGACGGUUAUUUGAUGUUUUGAUACAUGUUUGUCUCGGUUUUUUUUUAUUUCUUGAAUAAUAGUUGCCCUAAGUUUAUUCCUGGUUACACUUUUACAUAUUAGGCCACUAACAUUUCAUACAUAUUUCAAUUUGUUUUAAGGCAUGGAUACUAUGGAUUCAAGAUAAACCACUAGAACUGAUCGAUAAGACGUUUUGUGAUUCGUGCAACAUAUCUGAAGUGAUAAGGUGUCUUCAUGUGCGGCUGUUAUGUGUGCAAAGAGUACCUGAGGAUAGACCAAGCAUGUCAUCUGUGGUUCUGAUGUUGAGCAGUGAUGUUGCCUUGCCACCUCCAAAGCAGCAUGGUUUCUACACUGAACGAAGUGUCCCUGAAUCACCAUCAAGGACGCUUCUAUGUUCAGAGAAUACUUUCAGCACUACGUUGAUAGAACCUCGGUAGAUCAUCAUUGCGGUGCUUGUUAUUCCUUCAAUCUACCAUCACAAAAUGUUUUUGGUAGGUUGACGUGAAGCUUAUAGCCUUGGCUGGGAAACAAUGAGACCUGCGACUGUAACUCUGCAAGAAAAAUAUUUAUGAUUACCAGUUUAUCAGUUCCUAAAUCAGAACAAAGAAAGGACUUGGGGUUGUUAGGUGGUUGAAGAAAUUUAAGUUAUAGCUAUAGUUGUGUUUAUUAUUUUUUGAUUUUAUUUUAUUAUUUCAUGAUAAGAUAAAAUUUAUUGAGAAGGAAAAUAGAUCCUGCACUUAGGUCUGGUUCGGGUAUUUGAUCAAGUCGCCGGAAUUAACACUCUAAGCCUGGUUCGAGAUAGGUGCUUGUCAUUUAAGUUUCUUUGGCAAUCCUCUAUUGGUAGAAAAACUUCAGUGCAGGCAUUUGGACCACGUGACCAUCUUCCCGCAAACACAAACAUCACACUAAAAUGAGGCAGCCGUACUGAAGUUUUUCUCCACCGUCUAUUUGAGCAUUGUCAACGCCUGUUCGGUCUGCCCAUUAUUCAAGCACCCACCAAUAACAACAUUCCAUGAAGCACCAUCCAAUUUAACAUCUAUCCUUCUCAUCCUACAAAUUAAAGUUACACCUUUUUUUUUUUUUUUUUUUUUUUUAUCUUUUGAAGCAAGCAAAAAAUGUAUUAAAAGGAAAACCCCCGAGAACAACUGAAGAGCAUGAAGAGCAAAUGAAGGAAUACGGGGUGAUCCCAAAUAUGACAAUCAGUAAUAAGAAGGCCUUGGUGAGCGAAGACAUCCACCACAAAGUUAGCCUCUCUAAAAAUAUGUUUCCAAUCAAUGCAAGCAAAUUUGGUCGCCAUCCACUUGAUAUCUUCAAUAAUAGGAACCAUAUUCCACAGCGUCGCACCCCGGUCCAACACUGACUGAAUGACCAACUUAGAGUCUCGUUCUACCAUAAUCUUUGUAUAGCCCUUCCUUUGAGCAUAAAGAAGGCCCUCUUUGAGAGCCCUAGCCUCCACUUUAGAAAUAGUGGCACCAUCAAUAUUUAAAGUUCCACCGCCGAUGAGCUGCCCAAUAUGAUUCCUUAAGACAAAUCCCGCCGCAGCCUUGUCCCCAGCCACUGAGCCAUCAAAAUUUAGCUUAACAUAUGUCACGCCCCGAACCCAACAUACGUCCAGGAUCGACGCGUGACGUUAUCCAGCAUCCGUAUAUCUAACAAAUCCCACCUCCGAUAUAUUUACAAGGCAUAACUCAAGAUCCAACUGCGUAAUAAUUUUUUUUUCGUAAGCUUUAUGACUGCAUCUAACCUCCUCGUUAGACUACCUACGUACCCUAAUCAGGGAUCAAACCAUUCGUAGUUCAUCAAUCACUACCCAUCUACAUUUACCAAUGUACAUUCCAGCCGAAAGAUAUAACAUUCCUCAAUCAAUCAUUAGAACUUGACAAGUAUGGAAGUACUAGAUUCAAGGCUACAUAACAAUCCAAUAUGACAAUCAAGGUUUCCAUUCCACCCAUCAUAUAAGUCACUAUGUUUCAACAUGAAACCUUAAUCCACCACAUGUAAUGUAUCCAAGAACCAACAAAGCACAAUAUUAUUCUCAAGCCAUUUCGAGUAACGAGACUAAUCAUAAUAAUAACAAUCAUAUCCCACAUCAUUCCGCAAUCGUUCUACUUAAUCAAUCCUAAAAUCAUAGAUGCAUGAUAUCUACAAUUACUAUGCUAUUCAAUCAAUAAGGUCCCAUAUCAAUUCACAAAUUUUAAUAAAGGAUCCCUACAUAAUUCCCCACCUGGAUUUCAAGUACUAACAUGAUAAGUCUAAUCUAUACACAAUGUCUACUGUGAACAAUUCAUAUUCACUCGACUCUAAGGUCAGACUACCUUUACGGAAAUGAGCAAGAGUAGGGAUUCUAUACCACUCAACAAAAUCCAACCAAAAUACUAAGCGACCUCUUGUAAUCUCUUCAGACUUGACAUAUGUACAAUCAGUGCCUACAACAUGGGAAUGGUAUUGGCAUCAAGAAUUCAGAUAAGCUACAAAGAUCAGGUGAGUGACAAUAAUACAAGGAUGUGAUAAUAAUGAUAAAGCCAACCAUUAAUAACAGUUUACAUCUCUUUAAUAUAAAUCAUUCAUAAAGAAUCAAUACCAAGCCUUUGCAACUCCGAAUGAGUCACCCAGACAUCCAACGGUUCGUCUGAAACAAAUCACAACAGCUCACAAUCAUAAUCUCAUACAACACAAUGAAAAGUAGGGUUAGGGUGACACAGUUCAGUCGAAGUCUACAUCUCCGAAGCUAUCUCAAUCCAAAAUUUAUAACCCCAAGGUGAACACGAUCCUAGACCAUCUCUCAACGGAAUCGCGAAGUAGAAGGGGUUCCGGACCACUCAACUAAACCGAGCAUAAGUCCAACAAAUAUAGCAAUGCUCAAAGAAGAAAACAUGAAACAAGUACUCAAAAUACAAAAGCUCAAUGAAACAAGAAAUGAAAUAAUGAUACGAUAUGUGAAAUAAGUCUCGAAGUAACAAACCCCAUGACAAUGGGUUCAUAGUCCACUCAUAACCCUCACAUUUCAUCACAUCAGGCCAAUCAUGCAAAUCAAAUCUCAUUUCAAAUAUGCACAUCAAAUUACUUUCCAUCGAACAAUUCAUCAAGCACUUCAAAUCACAUUUCAUAGAUAUCAUCCAUACACAAGUCAAAUCACGACUAAUAAACAUAGAUCAAUGACUAAUCACAUUUCAAUAGAUUCACAUUAUAUAAUCAAGUGAUAUCCACUCAAAAUAUAAUCGCCUAUCGAAUGUACCAAGUACAACUAAUCCUUAUCACCCCCAGAAUGCGUAAGGUCCCCAAUCGCGGAUAUACCAAGCGGGAUCAUAUAUACUUUCUCUUAAAACCAAUUCCCUUCUUUGAACAUAUUAACCUAAUCUGUGCAAGUAGUAUUGGCCUAUUGGGAAAUUAGAAAUCCAUGAGUGAAUCAUAAUUCUCAAACCAUUUAAAUCAAGUGUAUGUUAUGAACAGAUUAUCACUUUGAUUCAAAAGGAACUAUAAAUGGCAUAGUCAUUUCAACUUUUAUACCAAAGCAGCCCCUUUAGCUUUUGUGUAUAUAAUAGAUAAAAGCAAGCAUCUGCAUAAUACUAGUCUUGAAAAAAAAACGUGGCUAAUAUAUGACAUGCAAUUGACUCCACCCAAUUAAUUAUGUUAUACAAAUAUCCCUUUCAGGUAUUAUACCAAAAUAGGGUUUAGGCAGUUGUGUAUAAAACUAGCUUUGUAUCAUAUAUCAUAUAAAAAACUUGCACAUACAACAACUGCAUAUAAAACUAAUUUCCCAUAAUAGCAUCCAAUAAUGACCAUAAAAGAAAUUUAGAGUAUCAGAGAAUAAUUACCAAAGCUUUCCACCCAUUGGAUAACACAAAUGAAAUCAUGUUUAUUUCAUGAUUCAAACCCACCUUCUGAGACCCUCUUCUUUCUUUUCUCAUCCCUGCCUUCUCUGUUACCCUCUCUCCUUCCUUUCAGUUCUUGUUGUCCCGUGUCUCCACUUAUACAAUUGGAUUUAAGCUGGGGUGGUAGAGUUGGUUUAUACCAUAGGGAGAUGAGGUUCAUAGAUAGAGGAAAGCAAGAUGUCAUGGUGAUCAAUCGUGAGAUGAAUUUGAAAGAGGUGGUGGGAAGUGACGACCUCCUUCCCUCUCCAACCCCCUUCUAAAAAAAAUGAGAUACAGAGGGAGGAGAGGGUGCUCUAGAGUCUUCCCCCUUCUCUCUCUAAUUUUUUUUUGCCCAAUUCCACUUAUAAUAUCCGGUCCCUUUAAUCCCAAUAAAUGUUGGGCCUUUUAGCCAUAAGUUGAAAUUAAAAUAAUUCCCACAAUUUAUAGUUUCACAAUUUCAAACGUCUGUAACUAUACCGUUAUAACUCGGACUCGCAAACGCCCUUUGCCUAUGGGCUCGUGGCUUCGAGACUUAUUCGAAAACAUUACUUGUGACCUCAAAAGGUCAACGAAUUUUAAAUAAUUAUUUUCCAAACUUCACUCUUCGUAACUAGUUUAAUUAAAAUCUAAAUCCAAACGAUUUAAAAUAAAUUCUCUAGAAAUAAUAUAAAAUCUCAAUAGUACAAAUACGUAGAUUAUACCAAUGAAAUCCAGGAACGGGAUUUCACAACAUAACUUUGAUCCGGAGGGUGCCAUUUAAUAAUCCUGGAAAUAUCUUCAGUAUUUCUAUUUAAACCCUUACAAUUGGCUUUAAGAUAUCGCUUACCCAUGGACAUAGCUGACCCAUAGACAUAGCCAGCAAAAGUUACACCCUUUUUUGGUAUCUCUGUUCGAAAAAUACGCAGUUAGAAGUACAUUCCAGGACACGAAAUCUCGUUUAGACAUCAUAUCAAAUACCAACUGAGCUUGUUUAAUGCUCAGACAACUAGCAUAGAUAUUUACAAGGGCGCUGCUAACGAAAACAUUCUCUUCCAUUCCAUGUCUGACCACAAACCCAUGAAUCAGACUUCCCAAAUUCAAAUCUUUCAACUCCGAGCAAGCAGGUAGGAUUGAAGAAACUGUUACCACAUUGGGUCUCACUCCAUUCAACCCCAUCUCGUGAAAUGCCUCCAAACCUUGUCUAGGCAUCCCACAGUUAACAUAACAAGAACAAAAAGAGGUCCAAGAUACCACAUCUUUCACAGCCAUGGCAUCGAAAACCAGUCUCGCCAGAUCAACAUAUUUACAUUUUCCAAACAUAUCGACCAUUGCAUUGCCCAAAGAGACAUCCAAAUGAAACCCAAAUCCAAUUGCAUCAUCGUGAAGCUGUUUAGCAUUUCAAAUAUCACCAAGAGCAGCACACGCCUUAGCAACUGACAAAAGCAGAAGAUUAUCGGGCACAACGGGCCGAAAUCUGAGCGAAGCGUAAAGAUUUAUGGAUUCCUUGAGGAACCCAUGUCGUGUGUAGCCUGAUAUGAGCAUGGUCCACGCACGCAGGUCUUGUUCGGGAAUUUGAUCGAACAGGCGGCGUACACAUUGCAAAUCGCUGGAAUCACAGUAGAUUUUCAAGAAGCUAAGGCUCAGGCUCAGGUGAGGCGGGACGUUGGUGUGUAGUUUUGAAAGCAUGUCGUCUAUAUAUAUAAAGGGAGAGGGCCAGUUUCGUGAAACAUUUGAAAAUACCAAGAAAGCCCCUUUGUUUUCUUCAUAAUCCAAAUUCAGAAAAAUCGUAAAAUGAGGACAAAUUGAUAAAAACACCAUAACUGAACAGAAAACAAAUAAAUAAAAAAAAAUCUAUAACAGAUGUGCUUAACCAUUAACCCUCACAAACUGCUGGGCAGUUUAAAAACAGAAAUUACGAAAAGAAAAAAAGAAAAAAGAUAUCUUUACCAUAUAUGUAAAAAAGAAAUAUAAAAAAGGUUACAGUAGAUAGAAAAUAUAAAAAUAAAAAUAAAGCAAAUCCAAAAAAUAUUGGAAAGGAAAACAGAAAAUUAAAAAAAAGAAGAAAAACAACCCGCAUACCUCUCAAACUGCUAAGUAGAGUAAUGGGCAGUUUUCUCCCCCAAAGAUUUCCACGCUAUGAGUUUGGUGGGAGGUUGAAUACUAACCACCUGCAUACCACCAGUAUUUAGAGAUGAGUAAUCGGAAGGAGGCUAAUUUUGGUUUUCAGGAGUUUGCUGUGCGGUUUCAGUUCAUUCCAAACAAAAAAGGAUCGACAAACUCAGUGACAGAAAUUAGUAAAACAUUUGAGCUUUCAGAACAAAGGCAUGUCCGAAAAUCGAAAAAUUUCAUCGGCGUGAUGAUGGUGGCGGGCAGAGCAAAGGGCAAAUAAUAAGGAUUUUUGUCGAGAGGGUUAUCGCAUUGCGCUAAUGGUUUCUCUGAGUUCCGACCUCAAUGACCUUUUUUCUUUUCUUCAGUAAUCACUUACUGUACUAUACAUGCUAAUUAAAAAAAUUAUUUGUUUUUAUUCUUAGGAUAUUUACAAGAAUACUCACAAGAAAUGAAGAAGGAACUACCUAUUGAUAAGAUUCCAAAUAGACGUGUUUCUAUUUUUACACCUGGUUGGGAGAUAUCCGUUGGAGUAAAAACUACUGAUCUAAGCCAACUGAUUCUCAAAGAGUGGAAAAAAAAGAAGCAUGAGCAGUAUGUAUUCUAAAUUUUUUAUUAAAUUUGUUAUAAGAAAUCUAACAUUAUAUAUACUUUUAAUAUAUAGGUGGCGUAUGAAAAAGGCGGUAGAAGAAUUAAAACCUUCAACAACUCCUCACAUCAUACGCAUUUGGAAUAAAGUCCAAAAAAUUAGGUACAACACCAUUUCUUACCUAUUUACGUUUAAUUGCAUUCUCCAUAUCAUUCUACAAAUUAAUUAUCAAAUUUAAAAAAAAUUUAGAAAACAAUUUAUGGGUGCAGAAAAAAGAUUAAUAGUGAUCAAACAACUUUUCUAAAUACGGUAACUCUUCUCUUAUUUUCAUAUGAAUGUAUACUAUGAAUUCAAAUUGCAUUCAAUUUUCAAAUAGAAAUAAAAUUGCAUUUUUCUAUCAGUUUUACAAGCAUCACACCCGUCUCAAAGUACAAAGGUUGAAGUACAAGAUUAAGGUAACAUUUCUUACUAUUUAAUUUUGUAAACAUGAUUACAAUUAGUUACUUCAAACUUGACAAUUUAUUUAUCUUUCAGUAUUCUAAAAGUAACUGGAGUAAAAGUAUUGCUAUGGGAAAAUUAUCGAAGUUAAAGGUAUUUAGGUUAAAUUGCUUACAAUCUUUAUAUUUGGGAUUGUGCAUUAUAAUGCAUUAUUCACAUCUUAAUCAAUUAGACUUCUUAAUUUAUCAUCAUUGCUUGCAGAUUAACCAUGAAAAUCUAAAGCAUCAAGUGCAAGCAAACGGAUGGCAAGCAUGGCGGAAGGACGAAAAACUUGACAACUAGAUAUUCAAUAUUCGUGAAAUCAAGAAUGUCUUUAUUCGUGAAGUCAAGCAUUAACUAGAUAUUCAUUAUGUAAAACUAAAUUAUUGCUCCUAUCAGUUGUGUCCAUUCUUGAUUUGAUGAAAUCCACUUUAUUUAUUUUUCUUCGUAUUCCUACACAAACCCAAAAAAGAAAGAGAACGCAAUAUUUUUUUUUUUGACAAAAGAAAAGAUAACAUGGGGAAAAAAUAUAUGCAAUAACAGUAACUUGCAUAUUAAUAUCAAUACAGAGAAGAGCUACUUAAUGUUUUUAUCUACUCUUUUUUUAUUUACAUCUACUUACCAUUGUUCAUGAACUUUAGAUAGGAACUUGCAUCCAAAUAUCUCAUGUUGUUUGACAAUUGCAUGAAUAACAUUUAAAACAUUACUUUACGCAAAGUGAAAACAAAAAACUUGACAACAUUUUAGGACAUGCCUGAUAAAGAAAAAGUUCAUCUUUGCACAAUACAAUUAAAAUAUAUCUUGACAAUUACAAUGAAAAAGAAUAACACAAUACACUUUUAGGGCCGCGUAGCGCCCGUGAUGCAAAAAUGCCUCUCGCACGCACGCUAGUGCGUGCGGAGAGGCUAAUAUAUUGUUUAAAUGGCUUUUGCAUCUUGUAAUAUGCAGGGACAAGCUUCGAGUUUUGCAAGUGCUUUUGAAAAGCAGUUGAGAAGUACCGUUUCUUGGCGCCAGGGCAUGUAAUAGCGGACGAUGUGUCUAGGCUUGAAACGACAUGCCCCGUAUGUUUAUUAGCUUUAUUUUAGGCAUGGAACAUUCCACCUCGUUGCAUUUUAUUUUUGUUCUUUUUCUAUUUUGUAAGACUUUGUAAUGGCUAAAGCUUAAUGAACUUGAGAUUGGGAUGCUUUCCUUUUCGUCCUGCAAUAUUUGCAUCAUGAUUCGAAUAAUUUAUUUUUUAGUUUAUUUAUUUGAAAAUCAUCUUUAUAAAAAAUUAAUUAAAUAAAAAAUAGUUUGGUUGUCCAAUUAAUAUUGUUGACCACAGCAAAUGCCCUAGUAGUAAGGGAAUUACAGCAAAUGCCCUAGUAGUAAGGGAAUUACAGCAAAUGCCCUAGUAGUAAGGGUCAGGUGAGGCGGGAAGUUGGUGGGUAGCUUUGAAAGCAUGUGAUAUUAUUGUUUUAAUGGCUUUUGCAUCUUGGAAUCUGCAGGGAGCACUACAAGAAAAAUGGGCUAAGAACACAAUUCAUUUGUGCCCUUUUCAUUAUCAUUGAGCACAAAUACAUAUAUGUGCUUUUUAAAUAUCAAUGAGCACCAAAACCAUCUCAAAUGUGCCCUCUAAACAAAGGGCACAUUGGUUGGUGUCCUGCAUUUGUGCCCAUUAAAAUGUUUGCACCAAAAUUUGUGUCACUGUUUAUAAAUAUCAGUAAUCAUAAUUUUUUAUUAAUUUACGUACACACAUAAAUAAUUUUUGUGCCCUUUGAUUUAGUAUAUUUAAAUUAUUUAAUUUUAUACACAUAAGUAUCUUGUCUUACUUCAACAAUCUGAAGACAAAAUCUUAUUUUAAUAUAUUUUUAUUGAUCAAAACCCACCAUACACUCCCUUUCUUUGACUUUACUGUCUCAUCUCUCUCUCCGUCUCUCUCAUUUCUCUUUUCCUGUCUCCCAUCUUUCCUUCUCUUUUACUUUCCUUAUCUCUCUCUUUCAUCUCUGCUUCCCCAGAUUAAGUCCAACCACCCUAUAUAUAUUUUUAUAGAUGUAUGAUUUGGUUAUUCAUUUUUGUAUGAUUAUGUGGAACUCGUUGGAAAACAAAUAAGAUGGUGGGUAAUUUCGUCUUUUGUGGGGCUUUCGAGUUCAAGACACUUGGUGGUAAAUAUUAUAUUUUAUUUAAAUACACUGUCACAGUUUCAACCACGAGCUAUGGCCGUUGUCUAAUAUGAUGCAACCACGGAUUGUGCCCAUGAUAGAUUGAAAUCUAACACCACGUGACCACAAACAAUGCCCGUUAUAAAACAAUUCCCAAAAAUUUAAAAAAAAAAAUAUUCAAUAAAAAUUAUAAAUAUAUAAUAUUUAUAUACAAAUUGCAUAUUUACUGCAAUAUAAUGAUUACGUAAAAAACCACAUAUUCAAAAUACAAAUAUUACAAGUUGUACACUAAAACUAACAACAAAACCAAUGAGUUAUACUAAGUGCCAAAUAUACCUCUAAUAACAAAGACAUUGUUAAUUGAAGACUACACAUUUCUUUGAACACUUUCGAACAAAAGACUUGAGAGUGAAAUACUGCCUCUAAUGCUUGAGCUUCAGAAAUUGGUGCCUCUCUCUAUCCAUCUGUAUAGACAUAAGCAUAUGGAUGAAAAUAGUGAAUAGAUAAACAAAACUUGAAGCUAAAUUAACAAGUAAAAAUUUAAAUAGACGAAUCUCUAAUGGUGCACACAUGACGCCAAAAAAUUAAUCAAUAAAAACUUGAACAUUUAUACAGAACUAACCUCAACAAGAUUAUGUAGUGCAAAAUUAGCAUUGCAUUACAGAGAAUGGAUCAAAUGUAGCCAAGAACUUAAAUUACAAUCAUCAAAUUUCUAAGAUAUUCUUCCUAUCCGCUCCACCUCUAAAGCUAGCAUUUCUUCAUUGCUCCGUUCCAUCUCCCAAUUGACCGAAGUCACUAGCUCAUGAUCAAUCGCUUACACAUUCAGGUUAUCUUAUGCACAUAGACCAAACACAAUAUAUAAUUACUUGAUUAAAAAAAUGGAAGAAUUGAAAUUUAUAAACAUUAAAACAAUAAAAUAAAAAAGAUGAAGCUUAAUUACCCCAAGUGAAAAGCAACCCAUUUGAUGCAGCAGAGGCGGUGUGCUCCUGGUCGCAAGCAAUGUCCAACCACUGCCAAUUAGUCCUCGCCGUGCACCCAAAAAGCUCCAGAGAACUGCUUCGGGAUCCUCAACCACUGCUCCUUCCCAUUCCGACCGGUCUGCUCAAACUUGCAAUAUCCCCACACGUAAAUCGCCAUCUUCAUCGGAAUGCUCACCGGCCGGUUGCGACCCAGAAGCUCAUCAAUGUCAAUUUCCAUAAAUUCCCUUCACAUACUGAACCACAAAGUUGCAAGUCAACAAAUUUGACAAAAAAAUUAACAAAUCUUAAUCCAAUUGAAGGAGAAAGUUGGGAGCUUCACAAAAUGGGUUCUCUAUUUGGUUACCUGGGAAAUGGAAUAGUGGUGAACUGGGAAUUUGUCGGCAGCCAAACAGAGGAGAGAGAGAGAGAGAGAGAGAGAGAGAGUGGCGGAGAUACCUGAGGACUCAAAGUGGACGAGGAAGAAAACUGAAAAAUGGUUGUCGUUGGUGAAAUGUUAAGAGAGAGAGAGAGAGAGAGAUCUCCUGAGGACUCAAAGUGGACGAGGAAGAAAACUGAAAAAUGGUUGUUGUUGGUGAAAUGUUAAGAGAGAGAGAGAGAGAGAGAGAGAGAGGAGAGUGACAAAGGUCGGUUUAAUUUCUCACGAUUUGAGGAGGGGGAGUUUUGCAGUUACUAGCUGAUGGGAUGAGAUAAACCAAUAAAUGAAAUUUGAACCUCCUUUAUAUUUUGAAAAGCAUGUGGGAGUGUUGUGAAAUUUUCAAAUUUAAAAGAUGUUUGAAGUUUUACAAAAUUCUUGUCCCACCUCCUCUAGAUUUUUUAGUUAAGUGUGUGUGAUUCCAUCACAUAUUAUGUCUGUGAUAGAUAACAAAAAGACGAUGUGGAUGUUAAUAAUAUUAACCACAAGCAUUGUCCGUGAUGGUUUUAGUAUAUUUAUAACGUUCAAUUUUGCGCGUGGUCAUUUGCUGUUAUUUUACAACGAGCUAAGAUUUGUCUGUGAUAAAAAAAUUGUUAUUACUAUGUGCUUAUUAUGCCCAUGGUAAAUUUGUACUUUUUAUAACACGCUCAUAAAGUCCGUGGUAAAAUUGUCGUGGUUGAUGAACUAUUAUGUUGUAGCUUAUCGUAAUGAACGCGUUGUCACAAAUGGAUAUGAAUUCGAAGUUAAAACAAUAAGUUACGAAUUUUUAAAGUUAGAAGGCAAAAUGGUAAUUUUGGGACUGAGAGUAUUUUAGAAGCCAAAGGCUUCUCCCAUUUUACUUUCCCAGCAGGCAGCUGCACCACCCACGUGGGUCUUCACCCUUCCCAUGUAUAUAUAAUUAUUUGUUGAGUAUUAAUCCAACAGUCUUUUCGUCUCCCUCAUGGUUAUGUAUAUAAUUAUUUUAUUAAUUUUCUAAUGGGUUUUUGUGUCCCAUGGGACCCACCCACGUGCGUCUUCACCCUUCCCCGUGCUUCUACUCCUCUCUGCACGCCAUCACUCUUUCCGUCUCACUCAUUCACGCAAUCAUCUCUCUCUUUCUCUCUCGACUUCUUCAGACUUUUCUCUGUCAUCUCCCUCACCAUCUCUGUGUGCUCACUACACAAAAAAAUGCAGCAUCCAUCUCUAUCUAACUAGCCACUCCGAUGAACCUUGCCACCACCCAAACACUACACUGCCACCCUUGCUCUCUCACAAUCUUUCUAUCUCUCCCUCUCAGUUUCUUCCUUGACACAGAGAAGCACAUAAGCAAUGACGACAAUGGAGUUGGCAAUCUCCGGUGAGGCAACCACCAGCAUCACCUUCCUCUCCUCACUGGAGACUCCCCAUUACCUUUUGCUUUCUGGAAAUCGAAACCGAUGCGACGAAAUGACAAGCUCCAUUGUGGCUUGACUCCCCGGCGAGAUUUUCCGUCGAAUCCUGUAUGGGUGAGUCUCGAAAACACCUUAGUUAGGUUCUUUAAGUUGUUUAGAGACGUUUUUGUGCACUGCAUGCCUGAUUUGGUUAAGUUUGGAAGCAGUUUCAACUCAAGGGACAAAUUCCCCAGAUUUCCAGUGAGGGCUAUGAUUUUCAGGCUGAUUUUAGGCUAUCACCGGCCACCUAAUGGCCCUGAAGAAGGUAAAUUUUGAAUACUUACCUUUGUAGCUUUGUUUUAGCUUUGAAUUGUUGAAAAUGGUUGUGUUUUAGACCAAAAUAGACUUUGAAACCCCUGGCGUGGUUGCAGGUCGCAUUGUUGCUGCUUGUGGUACUGUUGUGGAUGGCACGUGGAGCACAGGCACCUCCACUGGAAGGAUGACUGCCUUUCAAGGAUGAAUAUACAUUUUCAAAUGUUUGUUUCAGAUUGUAGGGUAUUUCGAAUUUGUUAUUUUUAUUUUAUUUUUUUUUAAUUUAAUUGAUAGGGCACAAUUACAAAAAUUGUGGUAACAUGAAUCUGAAAUGGCAUCUGACACAAGUGUCAGAACAGGGCACAAUAAAAACCUUAUUUGUGCUCAACUCUUUGAGCACACAUAGCCUUAUCGUGCCCUCUAAUCAAUGGUGACGCCCAUAGAGGGCACAUACUUAAAUAUAGUAGUUGCAUUGUUGCUAUUGGUCUAUGGGCACAAUUGUUGGUGCUCUUUGGUCUUAAAUGGCACAUAUAAUUUAUUGUGUGCAGUGCCCAUAUUUUUUUGUAGUGGAGAAGCUUCUAGUUAGCAAGUGAUUUUGAAAAGCAGUUGAGAAGUACCGUUUCUUCGUGCCAGGACAGGUAAUAAGCGACAAUGACUCUCUGUAGGCAUGAAACGACAUGCUCCGUGUGUUUAUUAGCUUUAUUUCAGGCAGGGAACGAUAUUCCAUCCGAAUGCAUUUUAUAUUGAUUUGUUUGUUCUUUUCCUUUUUUGUAAGACUUUGUAAUAGCCAAAUAAAAAAUAGUUUGUUUUUUCGUUUACCUUGUUAAAAUUUCAGUGUAUAAUAAAUAUUAUAGUUCGUUUAUUUAUUAGAUAAUUGUUAAAUAACUAAACGAUCUUAGAGUUUGUUGAGUUUUAGCAAAUGAGAAAUGCCAAAAAUACUUUUAAAAGUGGAACUCUUCAUAGAAUUUAAAGAAAACUAAUGAAAAUAACUUGAAAAACCUCAUAUUUUUUAGACAAUGUUAUAUAAUAUUGGCAUGAGAAUUAAAAAGUGACUUAAAAAAUCAUUGCGCAACAUUGCAGGAUGAAAAAAGAGUGACUACUAUAGAAUAAAAAUUCAAAUACAAAGAUUGCCAGCAUUCAUUUUUAAAAAUUUGAACACGUUUCUCUUUGAGAUUUGAACGCGUAACCUCCCAAAUAAAAUGAAAACAAGAUGCAAUCAAAUAAUGAUUUGCAUAACCCUAUGGAUGGUCAUUUACUUAUGACACGUAAAAGUUUGACAUGUGUACAAAUAUAUUAUUUAUUUAUUUUCUCAAAUACAGACACAUUUUUUUUCAUUCAAUUACAAACACAUUUAAUGAAUAAACUUGGUACAAAAAGUUGGUUCCCUUCACCCAAUGAUUUGAUUUUCUCGCUAAUACUUGCCAUCAUAUUUGAGGUAGGUUUUAUUAGCUAAUGCUUGAAUUCCAUAUAAGAUUUGACAUGCUUGAUGGGUAUUUUGUUUCUUUUGAAGAUGAAAGUUUUGCUUUUGUUUGUCUCCCUUAAAAUUCGAGGACUAAAAAUUUAACGGUAAUUUCCGCUAACUGAUAUCAAGUGAAUUAUUGUUUCAUGACAGCUGGGAGAGAGGCAUUUAUCAUAUGAAUUUCUUUGGCAAUCCACCAUUGGACAAGUGAUCACUGUUAUUAUCAGCUGUCAAUUUAGUUGGGUCUUGGGUUAAUUAAGAUACCCAAGUCCUUUGAUUUUUCUUUGGGUCAAUGGUCCAUCUUCUCUGCAUGAUUUUUGUAUUAAUUUCUUUGGACAAAGUGUACAAUCUCAGAACAACCAUGCAAUCAUGCAAAGCCUUGAGAAGCUUUUUUAUGUGCUUGUUCUUCUUAUUCUCCCUUCUAAGAAUCUCAGCUGCAACUGCACUGGGCACAAUCACUCCGAGUCAAUAUAUAAGAGAUGGUGAAACUCUGGUUUCAGUAGGUGGAAGCUAUGAACUGGGAUUCUUCAGCCCUGGUAAAUCAAAAAGCCGGUACUUGGGAAUAUGGUACAAUUUUUCUACUGAUGCAAUUGUGUGGGUAGCCAACAGAGAAACACCACUUGGUGAUUAUUCGGGACUUCUGAAGCUCACCAAGCAAGGAGUUCUGGUCCUCCUCAAUAGCUCAAACAGCAUUGUGUGGUCAUCGAAGGCUUCAAGAAUCGUGGGGAAUCCAGUGUCGCAACUCUUGGAUUCUGGAAAUCUUGUGGUGCAAGAUGCAAACGAAACUAACCCGGAUGACUUCUUGUGGCAGAGUUUUGAUUAUCCUUGUGACACACACCUACCGAAAAUGAAGAUUGGUUGGGACUUGGUUACUGGUUUAGAUAGAUCUCUCUCGUCUUGGAAGAGCACAGAAGAUCCUGCUCCAGGAGAGUUUUUGAUACGAAUGGAUUAUCGUGGCUUACCACAACUUCUUCUUAUGAAAGGAGCUAAGAUACUGGCUAGACCAGGGUCAUGGAAUGGCCUUUAUUUGACAGGACUAGGAUAUCGUUUUAGAGAACCAAAUCCAAUAUCUGCUUUUGAAUUUGUGUUGAACAAGGACGAGGUCUAUUUUCAGUACAGCCUCCGAAGCACGUCAGUGUUCUCGAGAACUGUAUUGAGCCCAUCAGGGGUCGUAGAGCAGUUCACAUGGGUGCACCAAAAACAGAGUUGGGAUCUUCCCGUUACAUUCCUAGCAGAUCGGUGUCAAAGUUAUGCCUUGUGCGGUCCAUUUUCUAGUUGCAGUAUCAAUAACUUUACACUCCGAUAUGUGCAUGCUUUAAGGGAUUUGUACCAAAAUCUUUGAAAGAUUGGAAUUCGGGAUAUUGGUCUGAUGGAUGUGUUCGAAGGACUCCGUUGGCCUGCAGCGAUGGAGAUGGCUUCAUAAAGUACAGUGGGAUGAAAUUGCCAGACACAUCAACCUCGUGGUUUGAUAAAAGCACGAGCCUUAAGGAAUGCAAGGGAUUAUGUUUGGGAAACUGCUCAUGUACUGCGUGUGCAAAUCUGGACAUCAGGGAGGGAGGAAGUGGCUGCGUGCUUUGGUUUGAUAACCUCACCGACAUAAAAGAAUUCACUCCCAACGGUGGUCAAGACCUCUAUAUACGGGUGGCAGCUUCAGAACUAGGUACGUCUUCGACCUUUAUCUGCAGUAUGCAAAGUAGGGUUUAAAUAAGUUAGUGUUAAAAUCACAGUUACUGCAACACGACGAGAUCACAUGAAAAGUCUGUUUUAAAACGGAGAUUUCAGAUCAUGCUAAGAAAAAGAGCAAUUUCAACAAGAGACGGCUACUAGCAAUUCUCCUCAGCUCUGCAGUUUUUCUCAUGGGAUUGCUUGUUGGAAUGAUAUUGUACGUACAGAAGAAGAAACUCAGAAAUGAAGGUAACUAUUUUCGGACACAUUAAAAAUGCAUUAGAUAAGGUAGUUAGUAUUUAACUAGCGAUGGUGCCCGCACGAUGCUGCGAGUUUUUAAACCAUAUAAAACAUAUCAAAAGUUCCACGUAUAUGUACGAUAUGCAAUAUUUAUGCAUGUGAUUCAUGUCUUCUUAACCAUUAACAAAACAAACUGAAAAAAUGAAAGUAAAAAACUACACUUAAGUAUAAAUCAAUGUAUUAAAAGCGUGAGGCGUGGGCGAGGCUUCCGAGGGAUAGCCUAGCCUAGCCUAGGCGUGAGGAGUGAGGCAAAGCCUCACGGGACCUAAAUUUUUUAAUAUAUACACUGAGUGUACACAUAUAUUAUAUUAAAAAAAGAUUAUUAAUCAAUAAUCACACUGAGUACACACAUAUAUAUACAUAUUAUAUAUAUAUAUAUGUAAUAGAGGAUGAAAAGCACAAUGAACACACAUAUAACAAUGCACGUAGACAGCACACACAUCCAUUAUAUAAAAAAAUAAAAAUCAGAAAAAUAAGGUGGAGAGGCGAUAAUGCAAGUAAGAGAUAUGAGGCAGUUAUGGGUUUGGGAGUUAAAAAAAAAAAAAAUCCCCUAAGGCGUGCCUAGGCAGCUCCGACGACGCCUUCCGCCCACUCCAGCAAAACAGUGGCGUUAGCCUUCGCGCACAGCCUCAAAGGCACCCUAGGCACGCCCUGAGGCUAGUUUUUUAAAACAUUGGUAUAAAUAUACAUGCGGUUUGCAAAUUCAUUUCUAAGUUCUACAACUGCCACUUAUUCCAAAACAACUACUUACUCAUCCUCUCCUUCCUCUUCCUCUCCCUUCAUAAUCCCUGUCAUUGUCUUUUUGGAUUUUGGCAGCUAAACAUGCUCAUUUUAAUAGUCUCUGCAUCCACAUCAUGAGGACCUUUUUGUACCUGAAGUUGCAGCACAAUAAUAUGAGAAAUCUUGCAAUACAACACUACCAAUUUUAAAGAUCAUAACAUGCAGAGAGACAGUGACAUGAUAAUCUUCCAAACAAACAAUGGGGUUUAAGGAAUGCAUUUCAGAAUACUACAUACCAAAAAUGUUGAUUCCAAGUUGAGCAUAUAGAGAGAAGAAGCUAUCCACAAAGUGUUAACCACCACGUGAUAUUGAAAGAUGGUUUUGACGUAUUGGGUGAUCCAGUAACUAUGCAAGUUAGAAUAAUCUAAGUUUAAAUCCCUAUUAGCACUAAAGCAUUAUCUUUCUGUAUAACUCAUGACUCAAGCUAAUAAAUUUAACAACUACUCUCAGCUCUAAAUCUUAAGAAUAAUCAGAAAUCCAACAACCUUAAAGAUAUUUGACCCUCCCCACAACAUAGAAUUGACGGUUUCCAGACGCAGUAUCAAAUUUAAAAUAGUAUCGCACUAGUAAACCAUUGACUGAUGUACACACACAUAAAUGGGUGGGCUUGUGAGUGUGACAUAACAUUGAUCUAAGUAAACCUCAUAAACCAAAAUCAAAACCAGUAAACCAUUGCUCCAAUUUUCUCAAAACACAAAAAAUAUUCCUGUACUUUGCUCUCAUAAAACCCCACACUAAUCUCAUCUCAUUUAAAACUAUCCUAAUCAGAUAGCCUUAUUGAAAUUUAUUUGGAGAAAUUGAUCAAUUUUCGAAUGGGUGGCCUUAUGAGUGUGUGACAUAACAUUGACCUAAGAAAAAAACCAAAAUCAAAACUAAUUUAGAAAACACCAAAUCAUGUGGCACUGGAAAUGAUAACGAGGGGCAGGCAACCCAGCUCGAAAGGAAUAGGCCUUUACAUUCCUUUUCAAUUUCUUUACCAAAAUAAUUGCAAAUGCAUAUUAAAUAUUCAGCAGUAUUUAAAUCAUAGGUGUAUACGAAAUUCUAAUGAUCAUAACAAUAUAUCUUCGACCAAAACAAUACAUCAUUUCGUCUCAAAAAACAAUACAUUAUUGAUCAUAACAAAGGUUCUAAAUUCUAAUGAAAACUUAUAUCAAAAUUCGAAUUAAGCAGUAUACGUAUUAAACAAUAGCGACAGCACAACAUACAAAAAUGCUCUCAUAAAUGAAUUAAAGAAUUCUAGAUGUUGUGAUGCCUAACUUAGGAUAAGGUCUUGGCGUGGGACUAAUCAACUGAACAAAUGAUCAAUGUUUAGAGGCGCUUACAUGGAUCUCACAUCACAAAAAUUAGAGCAUGCACCAAAAUCCACAACAAAUAUCACAAAAAUUAGAGAAUGCCCCAAAAUUUGAGGCCUAAUUCUCUAUUUCACAGAGGAGAAAAACCAAAAAUAAGGGUAACACAAUCACAAUUCUCUGGUAAUAAAAAUUCAACAAUACAUUAACAAAAUUACUGUAACUGAAUAUACCUCAAAAAGCCAACGGCCCAAUUGCUCCCUCCAACGAUCCAAAUUUCUGAAAUUCACAAACACAGCAAAGCCAUUAGCAAUUUGACAUGCUUAGUACAAUCAAAAUUCACAGGAACAAACAAAGGAUUGAACAAACAAACUUUGCGAGCUAAUUAAAUAUUCACACACACUGUACUUACACACACUGCAUACACACACAAACUGAUUAUAGACACAAAGCACAACAUUCACACACACAAUCACAUAUACACUCACACGCACACCCGCACAUACUGAGUCAUACGUACACACACACAAUUCACACAUACACCGUCAUGAUAAACCACACUGCAUACGCUUACACACUCACACAUUCCCACAUACAAUCCAUGUGUAUUACUUUGCACACAAAAUCUUUAUCACACAUACACUAUGAUGAAAAACCAUUUUGCAGAUUUGACAUCCAUUAUAGCACAAAUUAGGGUUAUGUUCGUAUCUCUUCAAUACUAAUGUAUACAUUUCCACUUUAGCACAAUUUUGAAAUCCAUUCUAGCACGUUACAAAAACUAUUAUCAACAUUUGUGUAUUAAGAGAUAAACUAUAUUCUUAAUCUGGUAUCAAAAUGGUGUUAAUUUGGGUAAAAACAUUUGUGUAUCCUAUAGUUUUUUAGCAAAAAUUUACUAUCCAUUCAUUUGAGUAUUUGCAUUAUCUACAGGAAACACAGUACCUAACCAAUUUCAUCAUCAAAUUCAGCAAUGUAUACAUUUCCCUGGUGAUUUUAGUUUACACUAUUCUUAAUAUAACAUGGUUCUUUCUUUUUAAAGUACUUUGUAUUAAUUCUUUUGUGAACAAUUACUCAAUAGCAUCUGUCAAUACUUCAAACAAAGAAGGAAUCACUCGAUUUACCCUUCUAGAUUGCAUUUCAAGUUAUACACUAUACCUGAAUGAAUUUUCUAGAUUGCAUUUUCUAUAUGAAUUCUGUAUUUAGGUGGUAAACUGUUGGAUAUAACCAAGGUCCUAAUUCCUAAUCACCUUAAUUGAUCAAAGUGGCCAAGAAAAUCUUCUUGCAGUUUGUCUUUGAAAAAAUCCUACUUAGAGUAAAAAUGAACAGUAGUAAGUUAUAGCGAACCAGUAAAUUGAAAUCGACAUACAAAAAAACAAUUUGAUCACUGCACAUAUAACUCCAUAAAUUACUUACCACAUCAACCUUGAGAGGUCCAACAUAUCUAAAAGCCGCAAAAACGUUUCCACUCUAAUCACCUAAAAACACUGAAAAGCAGAGGAGAACAUAUAAAUUUCCUAUGGGUUAGCUUGAGUUGUUUCCAUAAGGUUUGGUGCUAUCCUAGCACAACAGAUUGCAUUUCAAGUUAUACACCAUACCUGAAUGAAUUUUCUAGAUUGCAUUUCCUAUAUGAAUUCUGUAUUUAGGCAGUAAACUGUUGGAUAUAACCAAGGUCCUAAUUCCUAAUCACUUUAAUUGAUCAAAGUGGCCAAGCAAAUCUUCUUGCAGUUUGUCUUUGAAAAAAUCCUACUUGGAGUAAAAAUAAAUAGUAGUAAGUUAUAGCAUAACCAGUAAAUUGAAUUUGACCUACAAAAAAACAAUUUGACCACUGCACAUAUAACUCCAUAAAUUACUUACCACAUCAACCUUGAGAGGUCCAACAUGUCUAAAAGUCGCAAAAACUUUUCCAUGUUCAGCUCUAAUCACCUACAAACACUGAAAAGCAGAGGAAAACAUAUAAAUUCAUUAAAAUUCUCUACCCACGGAUAAGUUAAAAAUCAAAAGCAUUGACCAUUCCAAGGAAAAGAGCAGCCAUUAUUAGAUCACCCAAUACAUUAAAAAUGCAUUUGAUAAGGUAGUAUUUAAUUUCGAUAGUGUAGCUAACUGUUCACAUCUUUUUAUCCAUGCUGAAUAAUCUUCUAAUCCAUGCUGAAGAAUCUUCUACUAUUUCAGGACUCAGAAGAAAGGAUUGCAGACAAGAAUACGUUGGAGAAGACAUGGAAGAGAUGGAGUUACCACUGUUCGAUUUGACCACCAUAGCUAAAGCCACUAACAACUUUUCAAGCUGCAACAAGUUGGGAGAAGGUGGCUUUGGACCUGUGUACAAGGUAACAUGAAUUCAUGCAACGAAAAUUAGCUAUAUUGCUAUAAAAAAAAUUUAAGCCUUUUUGAAAUGAUGGUCCACAGGGUACACUGAUAGGAGGAAAAGAAAUUGCAGUAAAGAGGCUUUCAAAGAAUUCCGGACAAGGAACGAGAGAGUUCAAAACUGAAGUUAUACUCAUAGCCAGACUUCAGCAUCGUAAUCUUGUUAAGCUUCUUGGUUGUUGCAUUCAAAAAGACGAAAAAAUUCUAAUAUAUGAAUUCAUGCCCAACAAAAGCUUGGACUUCUAUAUUUUUGGUAUGAUCUUCAUUUUCAACCUUAUUAUACUAGGAUUCAAUGUGGCAUCGAAAUAACAGGCUUAAAGUUUCUUCAGAUCAGGAGGGACAAAAAUUGCUUGAUUGGCCUAAGUGCUUCCACAUUAUCGGUGGAGUUGCCCGAGGGCUUCUUUAUCUUCACCAAGACUCUAGAUUAAGGAUUAUACAUCGAGAUCUGAAACCUAGCAAUAUUCUACUAGAUGAUAAUAUGAACCCGAAGAUUUCAGACUUCGGCCUGGCUAAAACAUUCGGCGGUGAACAAAGUCAUGCCAACACAAACAGAGUGGUUGGAACCUAGUAAGCAUGCUUAGACUUGUUCUGUGGUUAUAAUUUUCAUUGUUCUACUUUUGAAAUUCUUUCUCACUAGUCGCUACAUAUUGAUCUGGCAGUGGUUAUAUGUCUCCGGAAUAUGCAGCAGAUGGAAUUUUUUCGAUGAAAUCUGAUGUGUUUAGCUUUGGAGUCAUACUGCUCGAGAUGUUGAGUAGGAAGAAGAACAGGGGAUUUCUUCAUCCAGAUCAUGACCACAACCUUCUUGGACAUGUAAGUUUAACCAACGAGGUGAUGAUAUUUUACUUUAAAAAGAAUAGUGAAUUAGACGGUGCUCUUCGAAGCACGUCUUCUAAUGACAUGCAUUUGACAGUAUAGAAGGUCCGCAACAAAGCCCCUUUUACAUAUUAGCCCACUAACAUAUCAUACAUGUUUCAAUUUGUUUUAAGGCAUGGAUACGAUGGAUUCAAGAUAAACCACUAGAACUCAUCCAUAAGACAUUUUGUGAUUCGUGCAACAUAUCUGAAGUGGUAAGGUGUCUUCAUGUGGGGCUGCUAUGUGUGCAAAGAGUACCUGAGGAUAGACCAAGCAUGUCAUCUGUGGUUCUGAUGUUGAGCAGUGAUGUUGCCUUGCCGCCUCCAAAGCAGCCCGGUUUUUACACUGAAAAAAGCGUCCCUGAAUCAUCAUCAAGGACGCUUCUUUGUUCAAAGAAUACUUUUAGCACUACGUUGAUAGAACCUCGGUAGAUCAUCAUUGCAGUGCUUGUGAGUCCUUUAAUCUACCAUCACAAAACGUGUUUGGAAGGUUGACAUGAAGCUUUUAAUCUUAGCUGGCAAACAAUGAGACGUGUGAUUAUAACUCUGCAAGAAACAUAUUUAUGAUUACAACUUUAGGAGUUCCAGAAGCAAAACAAAGAAACAAUUUGGGGUUGUUAGGUUGAAGAAAAUUAAGUUAUAGCUAAAGUUGUGUUUAUUAUUUAUGUACUUUAUUUUAUUAUUUCAUAAGAAUAUAAAAAUUUCAUUGAGAAGUAGAUCACGCAUAAGUACACGGGAAGUUGGAGACGAGCCUUCCUCCAACAACACUAUAAACUCCUCGAAAGGAAUUGCCAUAUUUGGCUAAGAUCACAAAAUGUAAAGCUUUAUGGGUCGCGGUCCAUGCACUUAGGUCUAGUUCGGGUAUUUGACCGAACCAAGCAGGCGAUUUGUAAAUCGCUGGAAUUCACACUCAAGUCUGGUUCGAGACGUUUGAUGGUUAGAUUGAUCAAAAGAUGUAAUUUGUGAAACAAAAGUGAGUAAUUGCUUCAUGAUACUGGGGAGAGAGGUGUUUGUCAUUUAAGCUUCUUUGGCAAUCCUCUAUUGGUAGAAAAAAUUCAGUACAGGCAUUUGGACCACGUGGCCGUCUUCCUACAAACACAAAUAAGUGAAGCAGUUGUACCGAAGUUUCUCUCCAUCCGAGAAGUGGUUAAGUUUAUCGGCUAGCUUUCAGCUUAGUUUAUCCUUGAGACCAACUUUUCAAACCAUGGGACCCAAAGUCUAACCAAAAAAAAAAAAAGUAAAGGAAAAAGACCCUUGAAAGAGAGUUAAUAUUCUUCUUCUAACUCCUGUGCAGAAAUGAUGUACAAUUUCACUUGAUUUUCUAGUAACUUAUUAUUUAAGUGACUUGAUAUUCAACUAAUCUUGCGACCUCAAUAUAGCUAGAAUAAUAGAGUCUUAAGUUUGAUUGACCGUAAUCACCAUUUAGUAAGACUUAUUAUGGUGGGACAUGAAAUAUAUAAUUGUGGUAAUGAGUAUUUCUCAUAUGAUAAUAGGGUUGAUUGAGAGAUAUCCUAGCAACUAUAUAAAGAUUGUCUCUGCUUUUACAAUAAUCAUUCUUUUAUGUACUAAAGAACAUAUAGUUUGGAGAGAGUAGAAGACAUUCUUAUACAUGCGCCGAUUCCUUAAGUUAAUUGUAAUUCGUUUAUUGAAUUAUUGGUUUAUUAAAUCUGUGAUCCUAAUGUCUUUGUUAUUGUGAUUUAGAAUAUGUCUUACAAAAUCUUCAAUUAACACACAGUAUUUUUUUCAAUUAUUUUUAAGGCAUGGACACUAUGGAUUCAGGAUAAAUAGCUUGAACUGAUCGAUAAGACGCUUUCUGAUUCGUGCAAACAUAUAGCUGUAAGGUGUCUGCAUGUGGGGCUGUUAUGUGUGCAAAGAGUACAUGAGGAUAGACCGAGCAUGUCAUUUGUAGUCCUACACUGAACAAAGUGUCCUCGAAUCACAAUCAAGGAUACAAUUAACAAGAAAAUGUUUGAAUUGUGAAUAAUGUAAGAUAAAAUAUAUAAUGGAGAAGGAAAGUAAUGGAGAAGGAAAGUAGUUCAUGCUUAAACAACAAGUAUAGGAGGUUGGAGAAGCAAGACGAACAUUUAGACUAUCUCCAACCCUGACCUAAAAGUUAAAAUUUACCAUUUUUCCCCCCUCAAAUCCACUCCAACCCAUGACUUAAAAUAAACCUAAAACCUAAAACCCAAAUGAAUGUCAAAUUCCGGCCCAAUUUUAGGCCACAAAGUAAAAUGGGCUCCACCAACUGAGAGUGAAACCAGGGCUGUGUUGCCCACUUCCCAUCCUCCACCCGCCAACGCGCCACACGCGCCUGGCAUAUUGUUGAAAGCAGACAGCCCUAUGUGGGGGUGUUCCCUGCUGUUAGAAAACAAAAGCAGCCCAACGGCUACUUUUGGUGAUCCAAUGGUUGUGUUUAAAUGGGCUGUUGGUUAAUCCAACGGCCCAGGUUCAAAUUAUUAUUUUUUUUGUUUUAUAUUUAUAUAUUUAUUGAAUCCAACGGUUUAAAUCGAAUAUAAUAAAUCUAACGGUAAAAAAAAAGAUCUAACGGUCCAAAUUUAAAUCCAACGGUUAAAAUAAUUUUUAAAAAUUAUUUAACUUAAAAUUCAACCAAAAACUCUAUAAAUACCUAUGUAUUUGUUCAAACAUCCACACAAAACUCACUUUUCUCCUACAAUUCUUCCAAUUUUUCUUUCUACCAUUUCUUCUCAUUUCCAAAAUUUUCAAGAUGGCAAAAGAGCAUGUUAGAGGUCGUAAUUGGACCUUUGACGAAGAUAUUGCUUUAUGUUUGGCAUGGAUUUCUGUUAGUGAAGAUGGUGCCGUCGGCACCAAUCAAAAUAUAAAGGAUUUGUGGGGUAAAAUCGUUGAUAAGUUCCAUGAAAACUCCAACGCCGGUCGAAGGGAAGCUGGUGGUGUUUAUGAUCGGUGCAAGAUUAUCAACAAAGCGUGCACUUUGUGGAAGGGAAGCUUGGAGAGAGCCAUGGUUGACAUGCCUAGUGGAAGGGGCGUCUCAGAAAUUGUGAGUUUCUUUGUUGAUAUUUUUGUUGUCAUGUACAUAAUAGUAUUUUGCAACUAAUUGUUUUUAUGUAUUUGUUGCAUAGGGUGACAAAGCAAUGGCAAUUUACAAGACAAGAACUACACCAAAAAAUCAAGCUUUUAAGUUGCAUCAUGCUUGGAACAUCCUCAAGAUUGUCCGAGGUGAGGAAUCAAUGCGAAUCAACAAUGUGGAAGAUUAUUUCAUAAUGAAGCCCCACCUCCAAAUGAUGUCAAUGAAGGUGUGAAUUUUGCCGACAAUGAAGGUGUCAACCAAAUGAGCCCAACUUCUUCUUUGCCAAGGCCCUCAGGUAGAGAUAAGCAAAAGGAAGCAAAGAGAAAAGGGAAGUCCCAAGAUCCGAUACGUGAACAAUUUGCUAGCGAAAUGGCAAGAAUGAACGAAAACCAGUGUCGUUGGCAGGAAGAAUCGGCCCAAAUGUUUUUGGCCAUGAAGCAAGAAGGGGAUAGGGAGCAAGAAAGAUACGAAACUAAUUUGAUAAUGGCGGACCUCGACAAAUACACUCUAGAGAGGAAGAGAUACUUACAUGGUAAGCAAAAAGAAAUUUUACGAAGGAAUGCCACAAGGAGUAUAUUUCAAGAUGAUAAUUCAUCGCAAGACUAUCACCCAAGUCCACCACCAAGUCAAGAUGAUGGAUAUCAUUAUUAGGUUUAUGUAGUCUAUGAGUUUUCGAUUGUAUUAAGUUUAUGUGGUUUAUUAAUUGUCUUUUUUUUUUAAGUUUAUGUGGUUUAUCAUGAUUUUCAUGUAUUGAUUUAGUGAUUUUUCAAAAUUUAUCGGAAUUUAAAUAUUUUUAGGUUAAAAUGUUCAUAAAAUUAAUUUAGGAUAGUCUACAUAAUUUUUUUUUUUAAAAGUUAAUUUAAAAAAAAUAGCCUUAAUUCAUUUUUUGAUAAUCUGGGGCUCAAAUUUUAGGCUAAAAGGGUUGGAGUAGAAAAGCUGUUUCUGGGCUAAAACCUAAAUUUUCUGGGCUAAAUAUUUUUAGGUUUUAAGUCAGGGUUGGAGAUGGUCUUAUACAACAACAAUGAAAUAUGGAGGUUCUCCAAACCAAAAAGCGCAACUGUCAUUUUGUAGCUGUCUCAAGUAGCUGUCUCUUGUUUUUGCGGUGCGGGGAAAAAAUUGCUUGGCUCUAUAGUCCCCAUUAUUCGUAUGAGUGUCUUGAAAAAAAGGAUGUAUCGGUGGAUAUAUGGGUGAUCACUGCCUUGAAUCAUGACAGAUCUUAAUGCGUUGAUAGAUGGCUGCCUUCGUAAUUGUUUCCUUGAUUAUUUUGAGGCAUUUAUUUACAGAUGUUUUCAUUUCUUAUUUUUCUAUUCAUGGUUGCCCGUGUUCUUGUUGUUGAAUGGUGGCCAAGUGGCCAUUACCUUUUGGCUAUUAAACAAAUAAAAAAAAAGUGAAAGAAAAAAUGAUGAGGGAACAUCAUGAUUAUGUUUAUUGAAAAGAAAAAAUGAAUAUCAUGAUGAUGUUUUUGAAUUUUUUAUUGGGUGCUUUUGUAUUGAUGCAGUUAUCAUCCGAAUGUGAGAGAGGUACUGAAGGGUGCACCGUUUCUGUUUUAGUAGCCCAUCUUUGAGAGAGUAAAGAGAGCUGCAGAGAGCAGAAAAGAAGAAGAAGGUGCUCUUCUUUUUUGUUAGUAAUCACCCACCAAAGUAGUUGUUGUUGUAAUAGCUUUGAGCUUUGUAUAGAGAAGAAAUUAAUCACUAUAUUUCUUUCUCUAUUUGUUUCUUUGGUGUGUGAAAGCUAUUGGUUGUAUUGGGUUAUUUGGGUUGUGAGAUUGCCAACACUUUGUAAACUUCCAUUUGGUUGAUAGUGGAUUAUUGGGUGAGCUCCUACUGCUCCGAGGACGUACUCCAGUUACACUGACUGUUGAGGAACCUCGUUAAAAUCUUGGUGUCUUUUAUAUUUUGUUCUUGCAUUUUCAUUUGAUAAAUUUCCUGUGGGUAAGCUUGAGUUGGUUCCAUAAGAUUUGGUGCUAUCCUAGCACAACAAUUGGUAUCAGAGCACUGGUUGCUCUUGGGUACUGUCUAGUUGCCAAAGAUGUCAGACGGGCAAGAUGAGAAUCCUUUUGGAAGCAGCUCCGGGUUUGCAAGAACUACGGUGCAAAAUGCAAAGUUCGAAGUGGAAAAGUUUGAUGGCACAAACAACUUCGGGAUGUGGCAAUGUGAGGUCAAAGAUGUGUUGGCUCAACAAGAUCUACUUGCCACUUUGGGAGAGAAGCCGGAAGCUAUGUCGAAGCCGGAAUGAGAGAAAUUAAAUUUGUAGGCUUGCUCUUCAAUUCGGUUGUGCCUUGCAAAAACUCAGAAGUAUUUUGUGAUGCGGGAGACAUUAGCAAGUGUGUUGUGGCAAAAAUUAGAAGACAAAUAUAUGAUGAAGAGUGCAAAGAACCGGCUACACUCGAAGAAAAAGCUCUACCGCUUCCAAUACAAAGAAGGUACAAAAAUGAUUGGACACCUUGAUUCUUUUAAUAAGUUGAUUGUCGACUUGUUAAAUUUAGAUGAGGAUAUUAAGGAUGAAGAUAAGGCCUUAAUAUUGUUGAAUUCCUUGCCGGACUCUUAUGAGCAUUUUGUUACCACUAUUAUGCAUGGAAAGAAACUGUGAAAUUUGAAGAUGUGUCAAAUGCCUGGAUGAAUUAUGAAAUGAGGCAUAGAGAUAAAAAUCAUUAUAGUACCUCUGAAGCUUUAUUUGUUAGAGGUAGAUCAUCGGAGAGGGGGUCCUCUACUAGUAGGAAAAAAUCACACUCUCGACCUAGAGGAAACUCUAAAGGUAGAAAAACCUUGGAAAUGGAUGAAUGUGCCUUUUGUCAUAAUAAGGGCCAUUGGAAGAAAGAUUCUCCUAAGUUGAAGACCAAAGGAAAAGAAAGUUCUGAAGCCAAUGUUGCUGAGGUUGAAACAGAUCUUUUUUAUUUUUCUUUAACCACUUCCUCAUCAUUUGAUUGUGCUACUAAAUGGGUGUUGGAUACGGGUUGUACUCAUCAUAUGACUCCUUACAAGGAUUGGUUUUCAAGCUUGAAAGAGUUUGAUGGUAGUGUUGUGUUCAUGAGAGUUGACAAUCCUUGUACAACAAAAGGGAUUGGUACAGUUCAUUUGAAGUUGCAUGAUGGCAUGACUAAAGAGUUGACAGGUGUUCGGUAUGUACCGAAUUUGAAAAAAAAUCUUAUUUCUUUGGGCACUUUAGAAUCCAAGGGCUUCAGGUUUCAUUCAGAUGGGCAGACAUUGAAAGUUACUUAUGGUGCACUUGUUGUGAUGAAAGCUCAUCGAUAUGUUCAUUUGUAUUUAUUGCAGGGAAGCACUGUGACAGGUGAAGCAUCUGCAAUCUCAGAAAAUAUGGGCACAUCUGGUUCUGAUACUACUAGACUGUGGCAUAUGAGAUUAAGCCAUACCGGUGAGAAAUCUCUACAAGGGCUUGUGAAACAAGGUCUUCUAAAAUGUGCCACAACUUGUAAGCUUGAUUUCUGCGAGCAUUGUGUCUUGGGGAAGUAAACUAGAGUGAAGUUUGGUACUGUUGUACAUCAGACGAAGGGCAUUCUUGAUUAUGUGCAUUCGAAUGUUUGGGGUCCUACAAAGACUCCCUCUUUGAGUGGUAGGCAUUAGUUCGUGACCUUUGUUGAUGAUUAUUCAAGAAGGUCUUGGGUCUACACUAUGAAGCACAAGAGUGAGGUAUUAAGCAUUUUCUUGGGUUGGAAGAAAAUGGUUGAGAACCAGACUGGGAGAAAGAUUAAGAUUUUGAGAUCGGAUAAUGGUGGUGAAUACACAUCCGACCCUUUCUUUAAAGUUUGCAAAGAGGAAGGGAUUGUGAGACAUUUUAGUGUCCGGGGAACUCCACAACAAAAUGGAGUUGCAGAAAGAUUGAAUCGAACCUUGCUUGAGAAGGUUAGAUGUAUGUUGUCUCAGUCGGGUUUAAGCAAGUCAUUUUGGGCAAAGGUAGUUAAUUAUGCAUGUCACAUCAUGAACCAGUUACCCUCAGCUGCUGUUCAGGGUAAGAUACCAAUGAAGGUAUGGACUGGAAAACCUUCUUCUGAUUAUGACUAUAUCCGUAUUUUUGGUUCACCUGCUUAUUUUCAUGUGACUGAAAAUAAACUUUAUCUUAUAGCCAAAAAGGCUAUCUUUCUUGGUUUUAGUAGUGGUGUCAAAGGUUACAGGUUGUGGUACCCAGAGAUGAAAAAACUUGUAAUUAGCAGAGAUGUGAUAUUUGAUGAAGAAAGUAUGUACAAAGACUCUGAGAAGAAUGUGAAAGAUGUCCAACAGGUGGAGCUUGAGAAAGUUACCUCUGGUACUUCAAAUGCUAUUUCCGCUGAUGCCGAAGCCACUACAAGUGAAGAAGUUGGAGACCAUGAAGAUGUUGAAGAAGUUGAACUUGAAGAUUCUAUUCAAGUUGAAGAGCAAGUUUCACCUCAAGAGUCUAUUGCAAAGAACAGAGGAAAAAAGACAAAUUACCAAGCUAGCUCGGUAUAGUGACUAUGUUGCUUUUGCUCUUCCUAUUAUCAUUGAUGAUAUUCCAUCCAAUUUCGAGGAAGCCAUUGAGAGUGAGGAGAAGAAGAGGUGGUGCAAUGCCAUGGGUGAUGAGACGAAUUCUCUCUUGAAGAACAAGACUUCAGAGUUAGAUAAAUUGCCUAAAGGCAAGAAAGCUAUCGGUUGCAAAUGGGUGUAUGCCAAGAAGGAAGAUGCUGAUGAGAAAAGCAAUGUGAGAUUUAAAGCAAGAUUAGUUGCUCAAGGGUAUGCACAAAAGGAGGGCAUUGACUAUAAUGAAAUCUUUUCUCCAGUUGCGAAGCACUCCUCAAUUCGCAUUAUGUUAGCUCUUGUUGCACAGUAUGAUCUUGAGCUUGUGCAACUUGAUGUGAAGACGGCUUUCCUACAUGGUGAUUUGAAUGAAGAGAUCUAUAUGUGUCAACCGGAUGGGUAUACAGUGAAAGGGAAGGGGAAUUUGUUUUGCAAAUUGAAGAAAUCACUUUAUGGCUUGAAGCAAUCUCCAAGGCAAUGGUAUUUGAGGUUUGAUAAAUUUAUGAGAGGCCAAAAUUAUUCUAGAAGUCAAUAUGAUCAUUGUGUGUACUUCAAGAAGUUGCAAGAUGGGUCUUUCAUUUAUUUGUUGAUAUAUGUUGAUGAUAUGUUGAUUGCCUCAAAGAAUGUCGAAGAGAUUGAGAAAUUGAAGAAGCAAAUGAAGAAUGAGUUUGAGAUGAAGGAUCUUGGUGAAGCGAAAAAGAUCCUUGGCAUGGAGAUCACUAGAGAUAGAGAGAAGGGUUUGGUCAAUUUGAAUCAAAGACAAUACCUUGAGAAGUUGAUUCGGAAGUUUGGAGUUCAUGAUUCAACCAAACCGGUUAGUACCCUUUUGGCUCCUCAUUUUAAAUUGAGUUCUCUACAAUGUCCUAAAACUGAUAAAGAGAAGCUGCAAAUAAAAAAUAUACCAUAUGCAAAUUUGGUUGGUAGUUUGAUGUAUGCAAUUGUAUGCUCUAGACCGGAUAUUGCUAGUGCAGUUGGCAUGGUGAGUCGAUAUAUGCAUAAUCCAGGUAAAGAGUAUUGGCAAGCAACUAAGUGGAUAUUGAGGUAUCUCCAUGGUACUCGAGACGUUGGUUUAUGCUUUGAGAGAGAUGACUCUGGUAUUGGUCAUUUUGCAGUUGGUUAUGAUGAUUCAGAUUAUGCAGGUGAUCUAGAUGGAAGGAAGUCUACUACAGGCUAUGUGUUUACUAUGGCUAAAGGGCCAGUUUGUUGGAGGUCCAUUUUGCAGUCGUCUGUUGUCUUGUCUACUACAGAGGCUGAAUAUAUGGCAGUUGCUAAAGCUAUAAAUGAGGCCAUUUGGAUACAUGGGCUGAUUAGAGAUUUGGGGGUUAAUCAGAAGCAGGUAGAGGUACAUUGUGAUAGUCAGAGUGCCAUUUAUUUGGCUAAGUAUCAGGUUCAUCAUGCGAGGACCAAGCACAUAGAUGUGCGUUAUCACUUUGUUCGUGAAAUUGUUGGUGAAGAGGAAAUCAUUCUCCAGAAGAUUCCAACUAAAGACAACCCCGCUGAUAUGUUGACUAAGGUUAUUGGUGUAGCCAAGUUUGUUCACUGUUUGAACUUGGCUCACAUUAUGCCUAUAUAAAGAAGGCGUUGAGCAGUAGGAGUUUUGGAGCAUUUAGCUCGGCAUGAGUUGUUCUCUUGCUAGUGUUUGGGAGUGAUUUUUUGGGUCAAUUGUGUUGGUUGGCUUAUCAUGGCGUUUUCGGAACUUGGCCAAGGUGGAGAUUGUUGAAUGGUGGCCAACUGGCCAUUACCUUUUGGCUAUUAAACAAAUAAAAAGAAAAAAAAAGGUGAAAGAAAAAAUGAUGAGGGAACAUCAUGAUGAGGAGUCAUCAUGAUUAUGUUUGUUGAAAAGAAAAAAUGAAGGUCAUGAUGAUGUUUUUGAAUUUUUUAUUGGGUGCUUUUGUAUUGAUGAAGUUAUCAUCCGAAUGUGAGAGAGGUAGUGAAGGGUGCACCAUUUUCUGUUUUAGUAGCCCAUCUUUGAGAGAGCAAAGAGAGCUGCAGAGAGUAGAAAACUGAGAGCAGAAAAGAAGAAGAAGGUGCUCUUCUUUUUUGUUAGUAAUCACCCACCAAGGUAGUUGUUGUUGUAAUAGCUUUGAGCUUUGUAUAGAGAAGAAAUUAAUCACUAUAUUUCUUUUUCUAUUUGUUUCUUUGGUAUGUGAAAACUAUUGGUUGUAUUGGUUUAUUUGGGUUGUGAGAUUGCCAACACUUUGUAAACUUCAAUUUGGUUGAUAGUGGAUUAUUGGGUGAGCUCCUACUGCUCCGAGGACGUACUCCAGUUACACUGACUGUUGAGGAACCUCGUUAAAAUCUUGGUGUCUUUUAUAUUUUGUUCUUGCAUUUUCAUUUGAUAAAUUUCCUAUAGGUUAGCUUGAGUUGGUUCCAUAAGAUUUGGUGCUAUCCUAGCACAACACUUGUUGCCUCUGUUCGUGUUGCUUUUUCUAUUUUGAUCCCUUGGUUCAUGGUUGCCUUUGGUUACUUGAAAUUGUGCUGCCUCAAAAUGUUUGGGUUCAUGUAAUGGUUUGCUCGGUUUAAAUGUUUUAGUUAUUUAUAAUUUCAAUUUAACCUAGUAUCCUGCACAUAGAAAAUAUGAUAAGCUUCUCAUAUAUAAUCUCAUGAUAAUGGAGAAGCUAUAUAUACAACCUCUGAGAAAUAAGCACGGCCAUGUUCACUUGUGUCGACGUCUGUGGGGGGUUUCUGUGUAAAAUAAAAUAGAAUAAAGUGAUCUAUGUGGGAGAUGAAAGUUCAGGAUUCAGAAGAACAAUUAAGCAUUUUCUGGAAGAGGCAAAGAGAUAUCUUUUAAGGUACCUUCCUUUUCUCUAUUUUCUCAUUCAUUCAAACACAGCCCACCCGUGGUUUGAGUUACAGCUUUAUCUGAGUUCAAUUUUCGAGUUUAAUUUUAAUCGGUUUCCAUGGUUGAUCUAAUAUUUUAAUUACUUUGAUUUGGUUCCUUUUGAGGGUUUUUGUUUCUCUGAAUCUGACUUUUUGGUUGAUGUGUCUUGAUCAGACCUCCAUCCUAAUAUUUCAAUUUUUCCUCAUAGAUUUUGAGCUAGCGUUGCUGAUACUAGGCUCCAUUCAUCUGUUAUCUGCUGCCUUAGACAAACAAAUUCAGUGGGCUGGUAAAUUCAUUGUCCAUUUCCUUUUGAAACUUGUGGAUUGGACAAACAAAUUCAGUAAAGGUCGUACCCAGUGCACAAAGCUCCCGCUUUUCAGUGGCAAAAUAAUAUAUUAUCUUUUGGUUUAGGACUCAAAACUGAAUUAUAUGCUCUUUUGGGAGGAACGUUUGCCAAUCUACUCGGCUGCGUGAAAUGUUUAAUAUUAGUAGCAAAAUGCACUUUUUGAAAGCAAGGAAUUAAUUCAGUAAAACUACAUUAAUGUAGAUAGAUGCCCUUUUGGAGGAACAUAUGCCCAUCGGACAUCUAUGUGAGAAUGUAUAUCAUAAAUAGCAUGACACGCCCCGACCCUGAUAUUCCCUGAAUACCAGGAUGGACACAUGUUGGCCGACACCCGAGAGUGACGAAAACCAUUAAUUGAUACAAAAGCUAAGAAUAAGAAAUAAAUAAGGGUUAGAAAUUUAGAAUACAAUGAAUUAAAAAUUUUAGGAACGUGCUCAGAAUAUACAACUAAACCUAAUCACUAAGAAGAAUUAAGAUGAAAUUGAAUGAAUAAAGAAGUGGGUCCUACAUCGAGAGGAUUCAAAGAUGCUGCUGCAGAAGUGUCUUGUCGCCGGGAUUAGGUGCCUUGAUCCUAAGUCCUGAAUGGGAGCGUAAAACAAAGGUGAGUGGACCAAGUUCAUAUAUACAAUAAUAAUAAAACAGUUAUCAAGAUAAUAAUCCCCACAGUUAUAUAAUGAAAACUACUAGCAUAAAAAGUGAUAGGUUUUUCUGAAACUCUAGCAUGCCAUAAAACAUCUCAAGAGGUAUAACGCAGAAAAACAUCAUAUAAAUCAUCGCGUAAAUCAUCUCGUAGAUCGUCUCGUAAGCGCGGUGUGCUGCUAGUAAGAUCACUGAAUAAAUAUCACUCCCAGCCCAAUGCCUGCUCUGUGGUCUCUGCGCUCGUAGCCAGAGAUUACCAACUCCCGGCCCAAUGCCUCUUCAUGUCCCUCAACCCGUAGCUAGGGAUUAUUUCUCCCAGCCUCAAUGCCAACACCAGAUUCUCGCCCCAGGCGGCAUAGUGUCCAUUAGGUACGCACAAAUAGUUACACCUCUCAUAAAUAACCACUUCAUAGUAUAAAUGUCGUCCAUCGUCUAUACUAUAAAGAGGGGUUUCAAAAACAUGUUCUAGCAUCCUAUCGUCAUCUAUCAAAUAGUCUACCAGUUUAUGGUUUUCAUAGAAAAUCCGAUAUAUCAAAAUAUAGCUCAAUAUAGGCCAACAAUUGAUUCCUCACCAAAAACACGAGACGAAAAUCAAUAUAUUUAAUAAACAGGCUUCACAUAAAUCAAAUCAUAAACUCGUAAGCAUGCUAAUCAUUUAUGCAAUUAAACUAUAAAAUCAUGUAAUUUUAGAAGGGAUCCACUCACAAGUACUCCUUAGCAGUAGAGUUGUGCAGAUAAGGAUUAAGAAUUUCUUCACUAGCAACUUCACCUAAACACAAAAAUGUAAUAAAUGAAUAAAAGGGUUUCCAAAGGAUUUGGGCUUGAAUUAAAAUAAAUAAAGGAUUUAGGUUGAAUGGGUUAAGGUCUAAUGGGUUUUUAGAAUCCUAAGGUUGUAAGGUUAAAAGGGUUUAGGGAAAAGAAGAGUGGUUUGGGCUUAAACCCAAACCCACACUCACACAUACGCCAGCCCACAUACACACACCUGCACAGCACAUACAUACACACCCACACGUACACAACACACGCACACACACCACACAAACAUACACACAUGCACAACAUGCAUAUGCAUGCACGGCAUGCACACACACUCAUGGUACACACACACACACACACACACACAACACACACACGCACUACAUAACACACACACCACACAACCCACACACACACAUACAUGGGCCAUGCAGGACACGGCCCAAUCACACACACACUCCACACAAACACGGCCCGCAGGCCAAUUAAUCAAAAAGGGAGAUGGGCUAGUUCCAGUAAGGGCUAAGACCCGAGGUUAAUUGAGAAGGCCGGGUGGCUUGGUGGCUUUGGGUGCAGAUCGGGGAAGAACACCGGAGCUGUAUAGCUCCGGUCGACGGCAAACGAUUACACCACUACUCAAACCAAGUACUAAAAUGAAGAGGGAAGAAAGUAUCGUAUAUUUCAUACCCUAGCUUCGCCGUGUACGGCCGUGAGAGCUCGGAAAGAAUCCUCGAAAGUCACGGGUUCGCCGGACAAUAUGGGUGAGUUUCCCCCGUGCCGUUCCCGUCCUCAAACCUUGGAAGAACAACAUGGUUUUCAUCAUACAACGUCCAGAAACCAACAUGGUAAAUUAAAAAGGUAAUUGAACUUACCUAGUCGGAAGAAAUGGAGAAAUCCGUCGGAGGUCCCUUCUCUGAGUUCCUCGACCUCACUGCGACGGAGAGGGAGAGACACGGUGCAAGGGACAUGAUGAUGAAGAUGGUCUAAAUAGAGUUGCAUGCAGGAUGCUUGGCAGGUCACGAUGCAGAGAGUGAAGGAUAGGGUUUUGAGAGACUGGAAAGUGUAGAGAAAGAGAGUUAUGGGAGAGGUGAGGGAAAAGAAAGAACUGAGAGAGGAGAGACCGGAAAACACAAAAAUAAAACAAGGUGGGCCCCACGAGCUCACCAAUUAAGGUCUUAAAACAACUUUUAAAUAAAAGUAGGGUUGGGAUGUUUCAUGGAAAAAGCACUUUCAGAAGUUAGUGACGUUUUUUGGAAACCGUAAUGGACUAAGCAUAUUCUUGCUCUUGCUGGAAGUCUUAUUUUUCUAAAUUUAUCGGAUGUAGAGACUUACGGAAGUGAGGACCAAUUCAAGCUAACACAAGGCGUGGUAACAGAUAGUAUAACCAGAUAGUAACAGGCACACGCUCCUAUCGUACCACCGGUGAAUGAAUGUCGGUCAAAUAAUUGCUCGAAGAUGCAUAGAGAACCGUUGUUUAAUGCAAGUACAAGUGGUUGUAUUUGGUUUCUCUAGUACAAGUUUAAAAGAGAAGAAUGUAAAGGUGCACUUAUCUACAUUAUGAACAAGUGUUAUAGGGCUGGGUUCGAUUCAAAACGGUUCGGUUUUUUGUCAAAAUCGAAACCAAAUCAAAAUUUUCAGUUCGGUUUCGAUUUUUUCAUGAAUUUUUUUUUAAUACCUGGAGCUUGAAGCACAUUUCUUUUUUCCGCAUUCGGCUGCAAAUUUACCCUUUCUCUCCACACUCCGCAGAUCCAGAGCCAUCUUAAGCAUAGAUGAAGGUGGUCGCUGCAUACUUGUUGGCUGUGUUGGGCGGCAAGACCACCACAGCUGGUAGAAGUGGUGUUGUUGCAGUUGUUGCAACUGAUUGUGGUGGUGGUGCUGCCGCUGCCUUAAAAGAGGAGAAGCAAAUAAUGAUAUCAGGGGAGAAAAAAAAAAAGGGAAAUAAAUGGGUGAGACUCUCACAACACAAAAAUCAAACAAAUCGGCAAUACGAAACAAAAAAAAACCCAUAAAUUUACACCAAAAUUUCAGAUUCCCUCCAUGGAAUUUACUCUAAAAAAAACCCAUAAAUUGACAAAAUAAAUAAGAGAGAGUGGAGAUCUUACCCUGGAGUGAGAAGAUCGAGAAACAGAGGGAGAAAAUGGAGAAGAAUGGAGAAAUUUGAGGUAUGGACAAGGAGGGAGUCUGGAGGCGCAGGGGACAAGAGAGAGAAGACAAAUAGAAAAGGUAUGGCUGCUACUACUAGUGGCUAGGGUUUUGUUAAUUUCUAAUUCCACAAAAGACUAUAAAUUUAAAUCUUUAUAAAUAGUUUAUUCAUACAAUCAAAACAAAGUAAAACCUAUUGCCAAGUUGGUUUCAGUGAAACUUUUCAACCUGGAGCACAUGGGUUCGAACUCUCCUUCCAAGAUUUUAGAGAUUUUUUUAAUUUUUAUAAUUAAAAUAUUAUAAAAAAAUAAUUAAAUAUAUAUAUCGGUUUGGUUCAAUUUCCGAACCUCAAAAACCGAAACUGAACCAGCCAUAUUCGGUUCGAUUCGGUUUGACAAUUUUCGGUUUCGUUUUUUUCGGCCUAGGUCUGGUUUGGUUCUCUGUUUUUUUCGAUUUUCGAUUUUUUGAACCCACCCCUAAAUUGUUAUUUUGAUAAAGUGCAACAUUGAAUGGAUAACCGUCACGUAUAUUUCAAGUUUACAUCGAGAAAAACAGAAUACAUGAUUUGCCCGUAAGAACAUCUGUUGAAAGAUGGAAAAAUUACACAAAACUACCUCAACUAUUAGGGUCACGACAGUUUCAUACCUCAUCUUUUAAAAUUGAAAAUGUCAUACCUCCGUCAAUUUUUCUGUUAGUUUUUCUGUUAAGUGCUGACGUGGCAAGAGACGAGGACCACUCACUAAUCGAGCUGGAUUAAAAAAUAAUUAAAUAUAUUUUUAAUAAUUAAAUAUUAAAAAAUUAAGAAUAAAAAAACAAAAACAAAAAUUCCUAGGGGUGUGGCACGACAUCCCCUUCCCUUUACCCGCACCAACAAAUUUUUAUGUUCUUCUCUCUCCUCCUUCUUCUUCUUUAUCUUCAUCUUCUUCUUCUCCUGGGCCGAAACUGGAUUUGUCACUUUUUUUUUUUCGUUCUUCUUGGGCCGAAAUUGGGUAUGAAUUUUUUUUUUCUUUUUUGUUUUUUGUUUUUGUUUCUGGGUUGCAAGUAGAGGGAAAAGGGGACAAAGAUGAAGAUGGGGAGGAGACAGAGAGGGUUCUUCUUCUUCUUGGGCCGAAACUGGGUUCGAAAUUUUAUUUUUUUAUUUUUUUGUUUCUGGGUUGCAGGUAGAGGGAAAAGGGGAAGAAGAUGAAGAUAAGGGAGGAGAGAUGAGUGUGUGUUGGGUUGGGGGGGGACAAACUGGGUUGGGUUGGGUUUUUUUUUUUUUUUUUCUUUUCUCCUUCUUCUUCCUCCACAGGAAGGGGUGUUUUAAUUUUUUUUCUUCUUCCUCUUCCUUCUUCCUUCUUCCUUCUUUUUCUGGGUUGCAGUUUGGCUUUUUUUUUUCUCCUCCUCCUCCUCUUCUUCCUCUUCGCUUCCUUCUUCUUCUUCCGCGGGCAGGCCGGGAGGGGGGGGUUGAGUUGAUGGGUUUUCUUCUUCCUCUUCCUCCUUCUUCUUCCUUCUUCUGGGUUUUUUUUUUCUGGGUUGCAGUUUCCAUUUUUUUUUCCUCCUUUUCUUCUUCCUCCUCAUUCUUCCUUCUUCUUCUUCGGUUCUUCCUCCUUCUCCUGGGGGGGGGGGGCGGAGGGGCCGGUGGGGUUGGGGGGUUGGGUUUUCAAAUUUUUUUUUUUUUUGUGUGUUAAAGAUUAAGCAGGGAAGAAGAUGAAGAUGGGAAGAGAGAGAGGGGGGAAGCGAUGACUAAGGUUUUUUUUUAUAACUUUUAUUUAUUAUUUUAAUAUUUAAAAAAUAUUAAAUAUUUUUUUUAGUUUUUAAUAAUAUUUUAUUAAUUUUUUAAUAGAAAGUGGGCUCUGAAUUAAGCCACGUCAGCACUUAACAGAAAAAUUGACGGAGGUAUGACAUUGUCACAAAUUCGUAAGAUGCGGUAUGAUAUUAUCAAUUUUAAAAGAUGAGAUAUGAAACUGUCGUGUCCUCAAUAGUUGAUGUAGUUUUUUGUAAUUUACCCAAUUAUUUUUAUUUCUUUAUGUCAUAGAGUGCAAGCACCAUAAUACAAAAUAGAAAGGUAAAAACAUCACAUAAAUAUAGUACCAUCGAACAUCAUAAAAUAUCCUUUUGAAAACAUGCCACUUUCAAUGCAAUUGCUACACCAUCACCUGUUCUUUUAAAAAAAAUUUAAGAAAAUCUCGAAAGUAUGAGGGGAAUUUUUAUUAAUAUAUAUAUAUAAGGUACACCUAGUCAUGGAGGAUAUAAACUUAACCCCUUAUAAUACAAGAAAAAAGGAUAAAAAAUACAUGAAAACAAGGGGGGACAUAUACCUUACCCUUCUAGAAACAAAGUCAACAAAGAUACAAGAAAUUGCUACCCCAUCACCUUAUCUUUGAUGUCAUCAAAGAAUCGAAAAUAGGCAUACCUCCACGGUGUUUUUAAGACCAAUGUACCGUAAACACCCCAAAAGCCUACGAUAAAGCCAAGUACCACGCUGACAUAGAACCACAACUUAUCAUUUCCAUCUUCAUUCUUGUCCUUUGCAACCUUCAAGUCAUCUCCAGGGCACUGAGUUGAAAGAGGAACGCCACAUAGCAAUGGAUUAUUCAUGUAAAUGGAUAAAUCAUUCAACGUUUGAAGUUGGUUUCCUGAAAGAAUUCUUCCGGACAAGUUGUUGUAAGACAAGUUCAAGUGGCUUAAAAAGUUUAAAGAUGACAAGCUUUGAGGCAUCUGUCCCGAAAGGUGAUUGUGGGAGAGAUCAAGAGUUUCGAUCAAAUGCAUUUUUCCGAUCUUGGAGGGUAUCUUUCUGAUCAAUUGAUUCAUGAACAAGUUCAACGUACCCAAUAAAACAAGGCUACAUAUCUCUUCAGGAAUCUCACCUUCUAACACAUUCGAUGAAAGAUCAAUGCUCUUUACCAAUAUGAGAGUCUUGUUAUACAAAUAUUGACCCCCUUUUAGUGUCCACUAGCAAGAGUGCCCGCACGGUGCUGCGGGUUUUCAAACUAUACAAAACAUGUAGAAAGUUUUAAAUGUAUAUAUGAUAUGCCAUACUAUUUACAUACAUGUGGAAAAUGUACUUACAACACUAUAUACAAUAAGGAACAAUGAGUAGGAUUGGACUUUGUUAAUCUGAUGGGCUUGUUUUCAUUUUGCUUAGGAUAGUUGACUGAAAUUAGGAGAGAAAUAGAAAAAGAAUUUCAUAAAUUGUUUAUGAAGGAAACAAAUUCAGUUCAUAUUAUAUAUAAUAGAUGAUCUAUUACCUAUAAGGAAGAAGAUUCAUAAAAAUGAAAAUCAUAGACCCUAAAACUUCCAACAUGGUGAAAAAUAUAAACAUUGCGAAAUUGGAAUAGAAAUCAAUUCUGAAAAGAAACUGAGAAGAGGGAUUACAUUGAAUGGAAACCGUAAACACUAACUGAAACAAUUCUUAUAGAAUGAGUCAGUCGAAUUUACAACAUAGUGAGGAGUGUAAUCUUGCUGCCAAUUGCUAAACCAAGACUACCGACACCAAAUCAGAACAUUUUAAUCCUUCAAUCAGUUAUAUUGGAUGAUGCUAAGCAUGCAUGGUUAAAUUAGACGAUGACUUGGAACAUCUUCUUAAAGCUUAAAAGUACAUCACUUCAAUUAAGCAUAUGUCGAGACUAUCUCUAAUCCUUGGUUAAACCAUGACUUGGAACAUGUCCUUAAAGUCCCAAAUUUUAGUUGGUAAAACAGCACAAAGAACUUAUAGCUCCAACCAGUAAUCAAACUCUACUGAAAUCAGCUAGGAUAAUAACUGAAAUGAAAAAGAAACAAAAAUAUAGGAAUACCAUAUUAAUUUUCAAAUCUUACCACCAGUCUGCAGGGUGUGCCGAAAGCUUGUGUCUCACCAUGGCUCAGUCCUUGCCUUGUUAGUAACUUUGCCGUCAAAUCUUUCAACUGCAAUGAUCAAUUGAACAUGAUCAGAGAAAAACCACAUAUGGCAAAGCACACAACUUUCAAAAUGCUCAUGGAAUCCACAAUCAAAACUUUUCACUUUGCUUCUAUCUGCAAGAUACCAAAACGAUAUUAACAAUGAAGGGAUCAUAACAAAUCUCAUUAAAGAACACACUGCAUUUAUUACCAAAGUGUUAACCAGGUGAAAGUAUAAAAUAUUACGGAUUUACAGAGUCAAAUUCUACAUUUGUUGAUUAUAAUCAGUGAAAUAAACAGUAAUCUAUACAACAAUAAAUAUAAAAAUAGUUAUUGAAGUUGAUUUCGCAAUUUCUGAAGGUUUAAAGACUGGAGCAUCAGAUAUUUGUUGAAUUUAAAACUUUAUGUGAUCUUAAUCCACUUAUUAAAUACAAAAUACAACAAUGUAAUUACUUUGCUAUCACAUUAUGAAGUACAGUUAAACGCAUUGGCAAGAUAUCAAUCGUAUAGGAAACAAAAUAAAAAAAAGAUUAUGGAAUAAAUCAGUAACUAAAAUCAGUUAGCAUCUGAAUUAACAUCCGAAUUAUCAAACAAUUCCUAAGAAUCAAUUCCAAUGCGAAAACAACGAUUCGGAUAAAGAAGAAAUCCCAGAACGGGCUGCAAUUAAAUUAACUUUUAUGAUGAGGAGAAGACAAACUAAAAAGCAACUUUUCGAUUACAUUCAAAGGAAAAAAAAAAAACAAUUGAAGCAGAACAAAAUUAUCUUGAAAACAAUAAUAAAUUAUUGAAGAUCAUAACAUUAUGCAAUUGCAAACCCAUCAACGUAAAUUGAAUUUACCAGUUCAAGAUAUAAUAAAAAAAAAAUUAGAAACUUCAUAAGCAAGCAAGGCAAUGGACAAAACCCACAAAGGAUCCCAAAACCUCUGGGAAUUCCGAAAUUUUUCGUUUUUUGGCGUACCGAAAUAAAACUAAAAGGCGUGAUCUAAUCAAUUUGAAAAAUAUCUCAAGAAUUCACAUAUCAUUACAAAACAAAAUUCAUCGUUAAGAUUAAGAGCAACCGAAUAACACAAUAACAAAACAGAAAAAAAAAUUAUAAAUACCUUUAUCAAAUCUCUUGGGAUUCAAGUCCAUUGACUUCACCCCCAUACUACGUGGUGCCCCAGAAAUUCUUGUAACUUUAGUAGCCUUGAUCAUGCAUGUGUCAGUACAAAUACAAAAAAAAGAUAAAUGCAAUUUAUUAGACUAAAGAAUUUGGUAUCAAUAAACUUACAGUGAUGCCAAUAAAUAGCGAUUGAAGAUAAUUUUUCGUGUUGCUACAUUGAGAGGGGCACCCAAACCUGAUAUUUAAAAAACAAAAUAUUCAGUACAAUGUAAACAAUUCAAUAUUAUUGAAUGUUUUAUGUAUAUUUCAUGGUUCAAGAUCCAACAUAUAUAGGAUAAGAAACGGGAAGGAGAGUGGAGAUACAAAAGGUGGAGAAUAAUGGCAGCUAAGCAAGCAUCAUUGUGGCCUCCACUCUCACUAACUUAAACUACUAAUUAGCUUUACAAUGAUGAUGAAUAACAACCAGCUAACACUAGCACUAAGCUGAGCUGUUAUCCAUCAAAAACUUAAACAAAGGGUUGCAUUAUUCUUCCAACAUUGAACCCUACUUCCACCUGCAUUAUUUCCACUUGCAUUAUUCUUCCAACAUUGAACCCUACCUUCCAAUACUCCCCCUCAAGCUGGAUCCAGAAGGUUGAUGGAUCCAAGCUUGGAGAGGAGCCUUUGAAACUGAUGAGAAGCCAUAGGUUUGGUGAAUAUAUCAACCAGUUGAUCGGAGCUUUUUACAUAAUGCGUCUGGAUCACCUGCGACUGUACUUGUUCACGGACAUAGUGGCAGUCGACUUCAAUAUGCUUCGUCAUCUCGUGAAAGACAGGGUUUGAUGCUAUGUGCAUGGCAGCCUGGUUGUCACACAAUAAGGUCAUUGAUUGAGCCGUGAACACACCUAAGUCACAUAAAAGUUCUUUUAGCCAUAUCAGCUCACACGCGGUUGAGGCCAUUGCACGAUAUUCAGCUUCGGCACUUGAUCUUGCGAUGACAGUUUGUUUUUUGCUCUUCCACGUGACCAAAUUUCCACCAACAAAGGUACAGUAACCAGUGGUGGACUUGCGAUCGAUGGCGUUUCCUGCCCAAUCUGCAUCGCAGUACCCCAUUAUUUGAGUGUUGUCAUUCUUCGCCAUGAGGAUGCCACGACCAACGGACCCUUUUAAGUAACGUAAGAUCCUUUUUACAAGGUUUAGAUGCUCGAUGGUGGGGGAGUGCAUGAACUGACUGGCGAUACUUACUGAAUAUGAGAUGUCCGGUCUGGUGAUUGUUAGGUAGAUCAGCUUGCUGACAAGCCUCUGAUAGAAGCUUAUAUCCGAGAGUGGCGUGUCUCCCAAGUCAAGUUUGAGCUUGCUAUCGAGAGGGGUAAGUGCAGGCUUAGCCUCACUCAUAUUAGCUUCCUUGAGUAGGUCCAUGAUGUAUUUUCGUUGAUUAAGAAAUAGUCCCUUGUGUGAAGAUGCCAUUUCGAUUCCAAGAAAAUACUUCAACACCCCAAGAUCUUUAACAGCAAAUCUUUGUUGAAGUGACUGUUUGAGUGUGGAGAUUUCUGCAACAUUAUCACCUGUGAUUAUUAAGUCAUCCACGUAUAUCAACACAACUAAUUUUCUCAAAGCUCCCGUGCGAACAAAUAAUGAUGAAUCUGCAUUACUCAUUUUAAAACCAACAUUACGAAGAACGGAACUUAGUUUUGCAUACCAAGCACGAGGCGAUUGCUUCAAUCCAUAAAUCGACUUAUGCAAUUUACACACCAAAUCAGGUUCCUGGCUUUGAGAGUGUCCUGGUGGCAAUCUCAUAUAGACCCCUUCUUCAAGAUCACCAUGUAGAAAGGCAUUCUUCACAUCCAUUUGGUACAUGGACCAAUCCUUAUUGACAGCAACAGACAAUAGAACCUUAACUGAGUUCAUUUUUGCAACAGGAGCAAAUGUUUCUUUGUAAUCCACCUCAAAUGUUUGAGUGAAUCCUCGAGCCACCAACCUGGCUUUAUGCCUCUCAAUUGAACCAUCAGAAUUAAACUUGAUCUUAUAGAUCCAUUUGCAACCCACUGCCCUUUUUCCUUUUGGAAGUUUGGUGAUGCUCCAGGUGUUGUGUUGGUCUAGUGCUUUGAGUUCAUCUCGCAUUGCUUCUUUCCACACAGCUUGGUUAUUAGCCUCAUGAAAGUUUUGAGGCUCACUGUGACUUGAAAUGGUGUUAAGAAAAGCAGCAUGAGAUGGAGUUACCUUUUGAUACGACACGCAAUUGGAGAUUGGAUGCCUAGGUUUAUAUGUGACAAAAUCUUGAAACCUUAUGGGAGGUUGUCUAUCACACCGAGGAUUGCGUCGAGGUACUAGGGGAGUUGUCUCAUCCUCAUUCAAGUUAUCAGCCACACUUUGAAGAUUUCCUUGAUUGCCGUUGUCAUCAUCAUGCACAGAACCAUCAGGAUGAGUGCCUUCAUUGUUGACUUCAGUGAGAGGUGUAGGAGAUUCAUCGGUGUUGUCAUGGUUAUAAACUAUGUCAUUUAUAACAUCUUGAGUGCUGAUUCUUGGUAGAGGAAGCAGGCCUAAGAUACACUCCCCCUGACUUGUGGCUUCAUGUGAUUUACUGAAAAAAGGGUUAGCUUCAUGGAAUCGAACAUCUUUGGAUACAAUUAUUUUCCUCAAUUGAGGAUCAUAGCACUUAUAUCUUUUUUGUGUUGAUGAAUAACCAAGAAAAACACAUUUGAGAGCUCUAGGGUCCAAUUUAGAUGCUCGAUGGUGUGGCUGAACAUGAACAAAACAGACACAACCAAAGACUCUAAGAUGUGAAAGGUCGAUUUUUCUUCCUUUCAUACCUUCAAGGGGAGAUUUAAACUCCAAGACUCGGCUAGGAAGUCUAUUGAUGAUGUACACAGCCGCCAUGACUCCUUGGGACCAAAAUCUCUUUGGUACAUUCAUUUGUAACAUUAAUGCUCUUGUUUUUUCCAGUAUGUCACGAUUUUUUCUUUCGGCUACACCAUUUUGUUGAGGUGUGCCAACACAACUUGUUUGAUGCAUGAUACCAUGCUUGCUCAAAUAUUGUGACAUGAUAUGGGACAUAUAUUCGGUGCCAUUGUCAGAUCUUAAGGUUUGAAUUUGAGAGGAAAAAUGGUUCUUAACAAGGUUGUGAAAAUCCUUAAAAACUUCUAUCACUUCACUCUUAGACUUUAAAAGGUACAACCAUGUGGCUCUAGAGAAAUCAUCAACAAAGAUUACAUAAUACUUAUAACCAUCAAAAGAUUCAAACGUUGGUCCCCAUACAUCUGAGUGAACUAGUUCGAAAACUUUACUAGUCCUAGAUAAGGAUGAGUUAAAAGGCAAUCUAGUGGCCUUAGACAGAUGACAUGUUUCUCACUGAAUUAAAUCAUUCCCUAAGUUUGGAAACAAAGAUGACAGAAUAGGUUGGGAAGGAUGAGCUAAACGUUGAUGCCACAAUUGACUAUCCUGGGAUGAAUUGGACUUGGCUUGAAAUCCUCUGGGACUGCUCUUUGAUAUGUAAUAGAGACCAUCUAGGUAAAACCCUUCACCAAUCGUCUUCUUGGUGAGACAAUCCUGAAAAAUGACAUUGUGAGGAGAGAAGAUGGUUAAACAAUUUAAGGUGUUGGUGAUUUUUCCCACAGAUAGAAGUUGAAAUGGAAAAGAAGGAACAUAUAAGGCUACUGACUCAAUUUUGUCCGACAUUAAGUUGAUAUUUCCUUUGCCUAAAACCUUAGAACUCUCACCAUUGGCAGUUGAGACUUGAGAAGGUUGUGAAAAUUUUUCAAAUUUGUGAAACUUAGAAACAUGGUUGGUCAUAUGAUCUGUGGCACCCAAAUCAACAAUCGAAAAAUCAUGCAUCAUAUUUAUAUUAAGAGUAGUUUUGAAAGCAGCCAUGAUACCUAGCAUGUCAUCUCGGGGCAUGUGUUGUGUGUCUGUUAAGAAACCAGUGAACUUGCCUAGCAAAGCUGUUGAGUUUCCAUCUUCGAAACCAACCGUUUGAUCACUCUUAAUCCCUUCUUUUUUGCUUUGAAGAUAUGCUGCAAAAUCAUUUAUGAGUGCAGCCAGAUUUGCUGUGAAGCUUUUGAGUGCAUCAGACCCAUGUGAUGUUGAGGCAAAUGCUUUGUAGGCUUUGUGUGGUGCACGAUUUAGUCUUUGUGAGCCCUUGUUAUCCUUCAUGAACUCCGACUUUAAUUCUGGAUGUAAGAUCCAGCAUGUCUCCUUAACGUGACCAGUAUAGUUGCAAUGUUGGCAUUUCAAGUGUGGAUUCUUUACUUUGUAUUUUCUUUCGUUGGUUAGGUAAGCCCUUACUUCAAUUACACUGGUCUUUGUGCCAAUGUUCAUGACUUUCCUUCGUACUUCUUCACGUUGGAUUGUUGCACAUACACUGGUGAAGGAAGGUAGUUCAAGGUUCAUGAGUAUGUGGCUUCGCAGGUCUUCGUAUCCUGAAUCAAGGCUUGACAAGAGUUGGAAUAUCUUGCUUCUGCCCUUUUCAGUAGUACAGACGCUUCAGUUGUAUGAGGCCGAUACAUUUCCAACUCAUUCCACAUGCUCUUCAUGCUGCCUAGAAGUUGAACAAAGGGCUUUCCUUCUUAUUGUAGGUUGGAAAUGUCCUUCUUCAAUUGAAACACACAUGCAGCAUUGUUCUGACUGCCAUAUAUCUCCUUGACUGUUUCCAUAGCUUGAAUGAUGAUUCAGAAUAACUGAAUAUUUCAACUAGUUUACGUUCCAUGGAAUUUAGGAGCCACGACAUAACUAACUGAUCUUUGCAAAGCCAGGAUUCAUAUGUUGGUGAGGGCGCAUCAGGAACUUCGAUGCUUCCAUUUAUGAACCCUAGCUUGGACCUUCCACCUAGGGCAAGACUCACUGCUCUCGACCACGGCAAGUAAUUAAACUCAUUUAACAAGGCCGAGCUUAAUCUUUGAUUUGGGUUGACAUCCACCUCAGACAAGGUUGAGGAGGAAAAUAUCUGGGAAUUUUCAGCUUCAGACGAAGAAGAAUUUUCUUCCGCCAUAUCGGAGAUUGUAGGAAUGCAGCAGCAGGUUAUUUUUCCUGCUCUGAUACCAUAUUGAAUUUUUUAUGUAUAUUUCAUGGUUCAAACAGCUACAAGAUCCAACAUAUAUAGGAUAAGAAACGGGAAGGAGAGUGGAGAUAGAAAGGUGGAGAAUAAUGGCAGCUAAGCAAGCAUCAUUGUGACCUCCACUCUCACUAACUUAAACUACUAAUUAGCUUUACAAUGAUGAUGAAUAACAACCAGCUAACACUAGCACUAAGCUGAGCUGUUAUCCAUCAAAAACUUAAACAAAGGGUUGCAUUAUUCUUCCAACAUUGAACCCUACUUCCAUCUGCAUUAUUUCCACUUGCAUUAUUCUUCCAACAUUGAACCCUACCUUCCAAUAAAUAUGUAGUAUCAGUUUAGGAUGCAUAAUUCAAGGCUCUAAAACCCUCAAAAUCACAGGAAAAAAAUUCAAACACAAAAUCUACCCGCAAAUCGAAAACGACAAAAAAGAAAGUAAAUUAGGCAACAUUGAAAAAGACCUAAAACUUACCAGAAAAUGCUAGAUCACGCGAGGAAAAAAAUGAAUUUCAAUGAAAUCGAAAACAGCAAAAACCUGUAGCCACCCAAGGGUUUCGAACCAAAGAAGUCCGUUGGUAUGAAAUUUUAUGCACCAUUUGACAAACCAAAUCAAGCAGUGUCCAAAGAUCAGAAAAAUAUGUUAAAAAGUAGAAAUUGUAUUUGAUAUAGAUUAAAAUGAUUGAGUAAUUGUGAGCGACUUACGACAAAAUGAAGAUGAUUAAGGGAGGAGAGUAAUCAAAUUCGAUGACUUCAAUUGUAACAAAUGGAAGGCCACCAUUGAAAAGGUGUUAAAAAGCUGAGAAUAUAUGUCAAAAUGAUAUUUGAACCAACAUUUUUUUGGAGUGUGAUGUUCUAUAAUUAGAAAUUAUGUAAAUAGUUAUGUAUAACUGAUUUAUUGUGGAAGAGUGUGAUUGAGAAACAUAUUGGAUAUAUUGAUCUAUGACUGGUUGGUGAUGCAAGGAACAGUAUUGGAGGAUUGUAAAAAAGUGGAAUAUGUUGAAAUGAAGGUAAUUGCAAAAGAAGUUAAUAGAUUGCAUGACUGAAUCAAAUUGGAAGCAUAGUAAUGUCAUUAUUUGGUUUCAAAUUUUGAGAUCAUUGUUUACAUAUUUUAGUGUAAAGGAUAGAAUUCAAUUAAACAGAUUGAUUAAAAUGGUGUAAAAAGAUGGAUCAGACAUAGUUAGUUUGGUGUCUUUGUGUAGUACAGAGAUAUAGUUUGCUGAGUUAUUUCAGCCUCCAUUAUUUGGAGAAAUAAUCAUCAUUUCCAUCUUUUCUCUUCAGAGGAAUGAGUUGCUACCAAUUUAUAUACAGAGGCUUUCUCAUUUUGACCUGUUGUAAACACAUGGCUAAUUUUCUGGUUGUUCAAUGAGGGGUUUGAGUUGGACAUGCAAAAGUAUAAAUCUAGAUGUUCCCAUUGAAGAUACUCUUACACAUGUUCAAUUUAACUCAUCAGUGGACAAAUAAGGAAUUAAGCAUGUAUUCAGAGCAGGUAAAAAGAAGAUAGUUUGUAUAUAUAUUGGUAGCAGCCAAUUCCCUUGAAGAGAAGGGUUAGUAAACAUUGAAUUUAAAUGCAAGACAACCAAGAAAAGAGAGUUAAGAAAACAUACCAUUAAAUUGUUCCAUUGUGGUUGAGGAUUUAGAUAUCGUUAGGGUAGGAUGUUAACAUCUCACUCCAUAUCUAAAAAGCAAUUAUAAAAAUUUUGUUUAUUAGAACAUCUUUAAUCUUUUUGAAAAUGCUUAAAUUUUAAUUUUUUGCCAAAAAUUUGAAAUGGAUAAAUGUCUAAUUUUUUUUGUAAUAUAUUAAAAAACAGGAUAGGUAGAGAGAAGAAGAUAUUGUUUAGUGUGUACAGAGCAGAAAGAAUGUAGUGCAAAUUGUAAUCCAUAGCAGAAAAAGUACAUAUAAAACGUGUUGUAUAAGUAUUUAUUAAGCUGUAAAUUAAAGGUGUUAAAUUUAUGUAAACAUCUAAAGCAUGCGUGUAACAUGCUAUAAACCAAAUGUAGACAAAACAUGCAAAAGAAAGAAAAACGAAGAAGGAAAGAAUAAGUAAAUAUAGUUUUUUUUUUUUUUUCGAAAGUUAAGAUUGUAUUGAAAUCAAUAGGACUAAAGCCUAACCAUUACAUUGGCAUCCUCUGCUAAAAUAUUAAAUAAGAAUUCAGGACCUAAUUCAUCCCAGCCAAAUCUCCCGCCAUGCUUAACAACGUACGCCGCGAUCGAAUGGGCAUCACGAUUGCAUUGACGAGGGGUAAAGCAAAACCGUACCACCGGAAAAACACAAGUCAUCCUCCAAAUAUCUUGGAUAUAGACCUCAAGCUUCACAUCAACUGUCGUCUCCUUAUUGAGCAUAUUAAUCAAGCCUUUAGAAUCCGAUUCCACCACCAAACAUGUACUUCCCGCCCAAACCUCACUCCCCACCACCGACUCCAAGCCCCGUCUAAUUGCCUCUGCCUCCGCCAUAAUGGCGUCCCCGAACCGUUCCCCUCCCAUUCCUCUUGCGAGCAAAGGAAGACCAGCAAAAUCCCUAAGGACCCACCCAACUCCUCCCUCUCCCGUGGCCUUUUUCCAAGCAGCAUCACAAUUCAACUUCAACGUACCAAACAGCGGUUUUUGCCACAAUAGUAGCCCUACCUCUUCUCUCCUUUCCCCCACCACGAUACCAUCGCCAUGCCUCACCCCUCCCUCCCCGCUACCUACCCUACGUCCCCCCCGUACCCUAUCCCACCUAUCACUGCCCAAGGCCCCAGUGCCCCAUUCCGAAGUAUCCGAAGCCGUUCGAAACUCCUCCACAUGCCGGUGCCAAAGCUCCACAGCCACCCGUGGCUCCGUCGUCACCCCCUUGAAAACCAAGUCAUUUCUGCACUUCCAGAUACGCCAGAAUCCAAAAACCACCUGUUGCAAGAUCAAAUCCGCAUCCUCCACAUUCUCCAGAUGCUUCACAACCAACUUCCAACCCUCCAAGAAAUCCUGGACAUCCAAAGCCGCCAUAUUCAAUUGCAUCGACGUUCCAAACCAAAAGCUACGGCUAAACUCACAAUUAAAGAAUAGAUGAGCCUCAGUUUCAUCAUUGACUCCACACAGCUCACAUCUAUUUAAAAUAUGAAUUCGCCGACGUUCCAAAUUAUGCCUUACCGCCAACGCCCGCCUACCAGCCUUCCACAUAAAAAACUAGAGCUUUGGCGGAACAUCGAGAAGCCAAAUCGUCUUCCACAACCCCCCCAAGGAACCCAUAGAACUCGACAUCCCCCUCCCUUUCCUCCCAAACUCUCCAUUUUUCAUCAUAUCCAUUGCAACAUGGUAACCCGACCUUACCGUAUAUACUCCGGUCUUUGUGUAGUGCCAAAUUCUUUUGUCCGCACACCCAUACCGACUAAACGGAAUAGCGCGGAUCAAAACCAUAUCCUCUGGUGCCACUCCCCUUUCUAACGCCUCCAAAUUCCACCCUUGCCUAUCCACCGUCAUCAACUCACACACCCUAGUAUUAGGAUCCAAACUCCGCAGCACCGGCUUAAACGAGUGGGGUUUGGGAACCCAUGGAUCAGCCACCCUAACCGUCUCUCCAUUACCCACCCUCCAUCGAAGCCCCCGAAGCAUAAUUUGUCUCCCCAAAAGAAUCCCUUUCCACCCCAAGAAGAGUUCUUCUGUUGUCGGGCCUCCACAAACGAAGAAUGUGGAAAAUAUUUAUCCCUAAGCAUCGACUCCGGUUUAUCCAUCACCCUCCACCCAAUUUUCGCGAGCAUGGCCAAAUUAAACCCAACAAGGUCACGGAAUCCCAACCCUCCCAUCUUCUUGCUCUCAGUCAAUUUGUCCCAUGCCACCCAAUAGCAUCCCCUAGUGUUCGGUUGAUUCCUCCAAAAGAAAUGAGCAAUGACUCGCUCCAUCUCUUUACACAAAGUCACCGGCAAUUUAAAACAUGCCAUAACAUGGUUCAGCAUCGCCAUUGCGACCGAUUUGAUCAAUACCUCCUUACCUGCCGGGGACAAAAACUGUUCCGCCCAUCCAUCAAUGCGACUUUCCAUACCACGUCGUACAGAUUCAAAUACCGCCUUCUUCGAAUGCCCAAAAUCUGCCUGGAUCCCCAAAUACUUACCAAAGCCGUCUCGUGCCUGAAUAUUCAUUCUAGACACAAUACGCUUUUUAGUCUUCUUAUAACACCAUUUCCCGAAGAAAAUAGAACUUUUCGCCAAGUUAAUAAUUUGGCCAGACUUCCGCCCAUAGUUCUCCAAGAUCCGAAUAACAGUCCCCACCUCAUUUUCAUCCGCUUUACAAAAAACCACCGAGUCAUCUGCAAAAAACAAAUGCGAGAUGGCGUGUGCUCCAAGUGCCACCCGCACCCCACUAAUAAGCCCUGCCCUUUCAUUUGCCCGAAUAUACGCAGAUAAUGCUUCUGCACAUAUGAGAAAAAGAAAAGGUGACAACGGAUCACCCUGCCUCAAACCCCUCUGGGGUCGGAAGAAACCCGAGGGAACACCAUUGAUUAGCACGCUAUACGACACCGACGAUAUACAUUCACGAAUCCAAGCGCAAAAAGAUGGAUGAAAACCCAUAUUCCUCAUAACGUCAAGGAGAAAAUGCCAUUCCACACGAUCAUACGCUUUUGCCAUAUCCAGUUUGACUGCCAUCCUACCAUUCUCGCCUUCCACACCUUGUUUUAGGGAAUGCAACAUUGCAGCAUAACUUUUUAAACCAAUAUUUCACCUGUUUAAUCGCAGCCUCAAUUGUUUUGGAGAGUGCGAAGAUGAUAUGUCUUCUUAAGUGUUCAUACGGCAUCUGCAAAAGAAAGAAAGCAAUGGAAGAAAGUUAAUGAUAAGUGAAAAAAAUGUAAAAUGUGAAUGGACAAAAGUGGGAAAAUAAGGUAGAAUUUAGUAAAAAAUACUAAGUUUUUUUGUCAAAGCAUUUUAUCCUAAUCAAAAUCCCAAACUGAAACAACAUUUGUAAUUAGAUGUAAGAAAAAUUUGGCCCAAGCAGUUGAGUAUGGUACCAACAUUAUUAUACUACUAUUUUAAUCACAUUGAAUAAAAAAUGUAAACGUUUAGUCAUAGGUUAGUAAAAUAAACAGUCUGCUCAUAAAUUUUGCAAUACAUCUUUAAACACUAUGUUUGCAGUAUAGUUGUUUACAUUAUUGUCUCCAUCUGGAAUCAAAAUCUUCAAACCUUCUUUUGAUGUAACUCUAGAUAAUGCUACAUAUAAUUGACCAUGGGUAAAAACAGGUUCAGGAAGAUAUAAACCAACUUGUUUCAAAGAUUGACCUUGACUUUUGUUGAUGGUCAUUGCAUAACAUGAUCUAGCAGGAAAUUGGCGUCUUUUAAAAUAAAAGGUCACUUAUUUUCCGUUGUUGUCAAAGUGAUUCUCGGAAUGAAUACUUUGUGACCAAUAUUGUUUCCAGCAAGUAUUUUAGCUUCAAUAAUUUGGUUGAAUAAUUGAGUAACUACUAAUCUAGUUCCAUUACACAAACCCAAAGACUGAUUUAAAUUUCGUUACAGCAUAAUUGGCAUUCCUAUUUUCAAAAUUAGGUUAUGUGUAGGUAAACCAUUGAAAUCGAGCUUAUUCAAAAAUUUAAUAGGAUACAAUAUUUCUAAAUUUUCAUUAUUUCCAUUUGAAGAACACAAAGAAUCAUAGCUUAGAAACACAUGUUAAUCUCCAGGCAACAAAUGGGUUAUAUAAUUGUUUAUAUCUGUAACAGUUGUGUUUCAAGGUGUUAUAAUAGCACGUUCUCUCAAGUAGGCAAAAUCUUGAUAAGAAUGUUCAAAAUUGGGAUAAGUUCCAAGAAAAAUUGAUAAAAUUGGGUUGCAAGAAGAAUUAACUAUUAAAUCUUUAGGUAUUUCAAUCAGAGAUGUAUCUUUAUCAUUUGAAUUGUUUUAACCGAUUUUUCCAUCACCUAUUUGUAAAAUCCAAUUUGCAAAAUCACUUAUUGUUCUCUUUUCAUCAAUGUCUAACCCAUUUUUUGAUAAUCUCAUGUUUUCUUUUAAAUAAAAUAUUUUAAAAUGUGACCAUAAAUAAGAACUAUUUAAAGAAGCAUUUAUUAUGUCCUCUUUGCUUCCUCCAGGUAUAACAGGUAAUAUUUGUCGAAAAUCACCACCUAAUAAAAGAGUUUUACCACCAAAUGGAGUAUUGCCUUGUGAAUCAUUUAAAUGGGACAUAAUAUCAUAAAGUGAUUUAUCUAAUGCUUCAAAACAAUGUUUGUGAUUCAUCGGUGCUUCAUCCCAUAUAAUCAAAUCUGUUUUUUCAAUUAAUGUUGCAAGAUGAGUUUUUUUUUUAUUGCACAAAUUGAAGAAUCAGUAACAACCAAGGGAAAUUUAAAUCUGGAAUGUGUUGUUCUACCAGCUGGUAAUAACAACGAAGCUAUCCCUAAUGAUGCCACAGCUAAAACAAUUUUUUUAUCAGAUCUAAGCUUACUUAUGAUAACAUCCCAUAAGAAAGUUUUUCCAGUGCCUCCAUGGCCAUAAACAAAAAACAAACCACCUUUUUUUCUUUCCACGGCAUCUAUAACACAAUCGUAGAUAAGUUUUUGAUCUUGAUUAAGUUGCAAUUUUAAAUUUGCGUGUUUUUUUUACAAUUGUUCAGAAUCAUAGUUUAAUUCUUCUCUUAGAAGCUUAUUUUUAAUUUUUAACAUUUUUCUUGCAUCAUGUAUUGGUAAAUGAUACUUGGCUAAAGAACUCGAUGCAUUGUUAAAAAGCAAUUCUAAUUCAAAUAACACAGAAUUUUUUAAUUCAUCUUGUGGUAUGAUCAUAUCAGGAAUUGCAAAAGUUUUUCGCAAGUUGUACAAAAUGUCAACAUACAUGUUUUGCCAAUGAGUAUCAAAAGGAGUUUCAGGUUCUACCACAUCACAAUAUAAAAUGAUUGUAACAAAUAAUUGUCUCAACUGAGGAGAUGACGCUACAUUUACAGCACUUGACAAAGCCUUAAUCCAUUAUUUAUCAUCUCCUGACAAUCCCAAUGAUUGACAUGCAGCAUGAUAUGAAGGAUGUACAAUACCAUUAACAGUUUUGAGAUCAUCAAAGUUUAAUGCACCUUUUUUCAAGUUCAAAAGCAUUCAUAAAUAAUAUAAUUCACCAGAUACAGGAUGCACAUACGCUCUUCUACCUAUUGAACCUUUUUGUUUUCUAGGUUUCCACAUUUUUUCCCGUGUGUCAUAUAACAAUUUUGAAGGAAAUUGUGCAUAAGUGAGUGAGCACGCUUCACUAUAAAUUUUGUUAGUUUUAAACCAACUUGUUAACAUUGUAUGGUUAGAGGCUUUUUGUUUGAUAAUUGAAUGGAGUGAUUAAUCACCACUGAAAACAAUAUUCUAUUCAAACGGUAAAUGCACUGGUAAUCGCUCUACAGAAGGUUAAAUUGUUUCUAUUCAAACGGUAAAUGCACUGAAAACAAUAUUCUAUUCAAACGGUAAAUGCACUGAAAACAAUAUUCUAUUCUAUUCAAGUUUGCAAAUUCACUCGGAAAAGGACUGGUUAAAUUGUUUCUGGCUAGAUUAAGCUCUUUGAGGCUAGUAAAAUUAAAAAGCCAACUAGGAAAUGCAGAAUUAAUCUUAUUAUCUGACAAAUCAAGGAUCAAAAGGGAUGUGAAAUUAAUCUUUUGCAGUGAGAGUGGAAUGCUUUUGAUUUGGCACGACGACAAGUGUAACUCUAACAAUGAAGGAAGCGUGUUAAUAUCAUACGCCCAACUGACUCUUGUGCUGCUAAGGUCAAUGCCUUCGAGAUUAAGGUAUUUUAGGGAAGAGAGGUGAGAAACCCAACUCAAGUUGCUGGAAGAUAAAUUGUAAUUAAACCCGAGAUCAAGAAAAUUCAGGCUUGACAGGUUACCAAGAGAAUAGGGAAUCUCUCCCCCGAACGAUGAAGAGGAAAGAUUGAGAUAUUGCAAACUGUUAAGCUGCCCAAAGAAGUUUGGAAUGGGAAUAAUGCCGUGGAAAUUAUUCAUGCUCAGGUCAACGUAAUUCAAAUAUUUCAAGGUUAACAAAGAAGCAUUUAUCUUACCUCCCAAGCAAGACUGUUCAUGAGCCAACUCGUCCCACCGUUCAUCAGAAUAUGAAAAUGGAUAAGGAUAUGGAUUGCGGAGGUUCAUCUUGACGACACGACCAGUGCUGUUGUUGCAUGAAAUUCCUUCCCAUCGACAGCAAUCAUGUCCCACCCAAGAAGAAAGCCUACCCGAAUGAUCAACAAGCUCGUUUUUAAAGCUCACAAGCGCUCUGCGUUCUUCCUCAAUGCAUAAUGAUUUCACAACACCAGUGGUCGGAGUUCCGAUAUCACCGGAGCAAAGUAUAGCAGCGGGUAGAUAAAAGGAUGCCAUAAACAAAAGGUGAAAACAGAGGGAAACAUUGAGGUAAAUAGGCUUGAAUAAAAAGCUUUUUGCAUGCAAGGUAUCCAUUGGAUAAAUCAGGUAUGAGAAGUGAGAACAACGUAAACGUAUAAUAUAUAGGAGAAAUUUUGCCAAAAUAUCUGGUAUUCAAGCCACGUGUCAUAACACGAUAGGAUUUAUUUUUUAUACGUACAAUAAUAGUAUUAUUAAUUAAUUAAUGCACGUUCAUGACUUUGGUAACCAAAGCAAUAACGUCGACUCCCAAGUCCCAACUACAUCGACUCCCAAAUCCCAACUACUUUUUUGGGUGAAGGAGCUUGAACAAUGUGAAUUUUCAAAAUUUUUGUUUUUGUUUUUUUUUUAGAAAGGUAUUUUUAUUACCAUCACAAAAUAAUUAUAAAGGAGGAAGCUCAAAUACAAUUUGCACAAUGCUUACCCGCUUACACCCUAACAUUGAUCAUGUAUGUUGUGCAUAAACAUUUCUUUCAGUCUCCUUUUAUCUGCGGAACUAUCAAAUUAGAUAGCUUAUUUGUCCGUGCUUAUUUUUUAGUUUUUUUUAGGUAUUUGAUUUAUGUCCUCCUGAUCAAGUGUGUUUUAUAGCGUUUGUUUCUCGCAUACUAGCUCAAAUAAAUACAACUUUUGUUUUUUUUUUUUUUUUUACCAAACAACAACAUUAAUUUGUUAUUUAUUUUUAUUUUUGUGGUGAAUGAAACACUUCCUGAAUCCUAACUGGGGACAAAAGAAACAAGUGUGUUCACACCCAAAAUCUCCAUCAUAAUAAGUAAUUAAUGACUUUGAAUUAAUUAUAGUCAACACAACUGUUAAUGGUUUGGUCACACCAAAUGCCAUUUGUAGUGAAUUCCGUUAUGCCGACGGAGACUUCGAAUUAAGGGUCUUGAAUUCACACCAGCGUCGAUUAGACGGUAGACUAUUAUCAUCAUAUUUAAUGUUAAUUUUCCAAUUAUGUCCUUAUUUUACUAAAUAAAACUAUUUAAUAAUUAGGGGUAUUUUUGUCAAAUUAUCACAACCCCAUUUUCUCCACACCUUUUUUUCUAGGAAAACUAAUGAAAAAGGGUUGAAAACUUUGAGUUUUAACGAUAAGGACAAAAUAAAAGGUAAAGUGAAUAGUACCAUGAUUGGCUUUUUAGUGUAAAAAUAUGAUUUUUCGUUAAAGUGAACAGUACAUGGAGCUUUUCGUUAAAGUUCCCUUUUUUCCUUGGAAAACUCUCCUCAACUGCUCAACACAUGCAUAGUGUGAGCAAUUGCUAGUACUAUUUAGGAGAAAGCUUAGCUGCUGAAAAAAUCAGCAGUAGCUCCUGCUGCUAGCGAAUCACGGGUGGACACGUGUCCAAGUUGUGAUUAAAAAAAUCAAUUACUUGGACACGUGUCCACUCGUGAUUCGCUAGCUACAGGAGAUGCUGCUGAUUUUUCAGCAGCCAAACUCCGUUCUAUUAUUUAUGGUUUCUACAUUAUGUCAAGUGUGUUUAAGUCUUGUACCACUUAAUAUAUGUACUGAAAUUCUACAUAUAAAUAUUGAGACGAUAAAUAGAAUUGUAUACUGGGUGCAAAGUUUUAAGCUGGUAAGUCUACUUGACUGUGACCAGGGAAGGCUGAAAAGUCUAUGUGAGUCUUCUCGGCCCCCGAAAAAGGAUGGAUGAAUGUGGCUUACCAUCAGUUGUCCUCCUUUAAAAAAUAAUAAAAUAAAUAAAUAAAUAAAAUUGUUUAAAAGCUAUUCAUUGUUGUAAAAAUCAAACCGACGUAGUUCACAAAAGAAUUUGGAAUUUGAUUUGGAUUUGAUUUGUGUGGUUUGUAUCAUUUGCGAAUUUGGAAUUUGGAGUUUGAUGGGUAUUAUGGGUGUCAACAGAAGACUACAAAACGAUAUUCUUGUAUCAAUUAUUUUCGAAUUGAUACAACUCUAGGUGGACAAUUUUUUAUUUUUUAUUUUUUUUUGAACAAACGAUAUUGUGGGGUAGAGAAUGGGCUUAGCCUCACAAAGCUAAUUUGAAGAAAAUGUCUAUUGAACUUUUCUUGAAUUUUAUACCAAUUGUUCAUGGAGGGAAUUUCCGUGGGGAAUGCUUCAUAGCCGACGAGCACACAGCUCCCCGAGAGGUUGGCACCGGCUGAUGCUUUCUGUCGAGCUUCUGCUUUACUGGCGGGCUUGUCGGGCAAAGCCUUUCGGGCAAGGCUGAAAGAGAAUGACAUGGUUAACUUUGAAAGGUGCCUUUGUGAGGCCUUAGGUGUAGGCCUUGAGGCUCACGAUCAAGAUUAACUUUGAAUUGCUCAGGCGUGCCACUACCAUCUUCAGCAUAGCAAAUGUAGAACGGAUGUUUGAGUUUUAAUUAUAUAUUCGAGAGACUAUGUUAGUUAUUGACAGGUGCCUUUGUGGGGCCUUAGGUGUAGGCCUUGAGGCUUCCCAUAAAUAACUAACUUAGUACUCAAACACAUAAGGUUCCUUUUGUUGGUUUUAUGGGUCUUAUAACCAUCAUACUUCUGAUUACCUGAGCUCAAAGAGCAGAAUGAAUCCAAAUAGAUGCCUUUGUGGGGCCUUGAAUAGGCCUUGAGGCUUCCCAUCAGAACCCCUUCUGUACUCAAUGUUCUUGCCCAAGAAAUAGGAAUCUAAAUAGGUGCCUUUAUGGGGCCUUGAAUAGGCAUUGAGGCUUCCCAUCAGAAUUUAUCCCGUACUCGAACGUUCUUGCCCGAGAAAUAGGAUGAAUCCAAAUAGGUGCCUUUGUGGGGCCUUGAAUAGGCCUUGAGGCUUCCCAUCAGAAUUCAUCCCGUACUCGAACGUUAUAUGGUCAUCAUAAUAUAAUAGAAAUAAAACUAAGUGGUAGGUCGAUUACUUGCGCCCCAAGUAACUUCGGACUUCUUGUUUAUCAAAGCUUGUCGUGGAUGGGUUAAGUCUACAUCAGGUUCUUGUUUAUGCCUUAAGGCCAAGGACUUUUUAGGGUGAUCAAAUCUUAUAUGCACGAGGGCUUAGAGCUUAGAUCUGGCUUGAACUAUGAAGACAUAUUCAAAUCGGAUUCAAGCGCUGAGAGAGUCUUUUAAUAGCCAUAUUACUAGAAAUAACUUGGAUACAACUUAAAGUAUACAACAUAUUGCUAGGCUAAUGAAUGAAAAGACAAAAACGAAGAAGGUCAGGCAAGGCUGAUCGUCUUGCAACUUCCUAUCUUUGUGGGUUAACAGAAGGUUUGAAAGCUUAGAAAAGGGGUUGGGAGGUGAGUUUGCAGAAAGAAAAUCGAUACUACAACAGGCGUUGAACAAGGUAGCAGAGCUAUUACAAAGGGUUUGUCCCGAAAGGGAUGAAGGCUUGGGCUGACUACAACUUCGUUUUGAAGGCAAAUCUAGCUUUGAGCAGAGUUUGUGCUUUUGUUUGUUUGUUUGAGUGUCCUUGAUUCUGAAUUCUCUUUCUCCUUUUAUAGCCACCUUGGCUUGGCCUCCUGUAGCAAUAAUCUUGCCCGAAUGCAGUUUGAAGGAUAGUGACUCAUCAGCUAUUUACUUGUACUGCCAUCAUAAAGUACUUUUGGGCUGAUUAGCUGGCUAGUCUAUACCACUUUGCCCUUGGGUAGGUGAGCAAGUGGUGCAAAUGAUCUGCACCUAGUCGGGAAAGGCGCUUUCUGCUUUCUAGGUCUGGGCUGAGCUUCGGGCUUUUCUUUCUCUUUUUGGGCCAACUCCCUUCUAAGCCCAAAGUUUAAGUUGCAACCCAAACAAUGCCCCCUUCAAUCAAUAUUCAGACUGGAAUUCCAGGCGCCAAUAUUGAUUGAAUAUCUGCAUGCUUAUAUACCCGCUCUUGGAACUUGUGUUUUUCUGGACAGAAGGCCUACGACCAUGCGUAUCUUGCUCUUCUCACGACCUUUGGGUUACCCUCUGAGGUUUCUAUAAAUUCAGGUUUGAUUUUGCCUUUUGCUCAGUUAACCAAAUUCCUUCAACCUUCGCUUCAAUUAACCCCGAGUAUUUUUGCCUUCUUAGUUUUCUCCCUAAGACUGAGAAAUGAUCUCUUCAAGAUUCAAAUGGGGUUUCCUAAAACUCCCUUUUCGUGAGAAAAAAGAGUUUUCAUCAAAUAACCACUAUCCCCAACACCCUUGGUCAGGCACCCCCUAUCUCCAACACCCUUGGUCAGGCGGUGCUCCCAUGAAGACUUGUCUUCCCGCUCGUCGCCAUGAUAAGUCAGGCUUCACCAUCAUAUGGUGAUGACUCUGCCUGAAGAUCCUCUACCAGGCGCGUCUUGGCCGCACAACCUGAUCACCUGACUGGAUUCUACCCAUGAAGAUACCAGAAAACCAGCUGAGACGUCAUUGCACCUGGAAGGAGUCGUACAUAGUACAUCGGGAUUGAAUUGAAUUUGUUGUAAACUUCACCAAUUUGUCGAAAAUGAAAUAAACAAUAUCUUAACAAUCUUGUGUCUUUUUUGUCUUCUUGAAUGACUGAUGAAUAUACACUAUACUUUAGCAUCCCGAAACCUGCUUUACCUUGCAUCCUCCUCGAUGUAACAAUCCCUAACAUCCCAUAAUGUAGGACAAUACCUUUUCAAGAAUUUAACAUUAAUGGGAUGUUUCUGCCAAUUCCCUUCGAGGUCCGCCAAGUAAUAUCCCCAUUGUCUAAUACUUGACGAACUAUGAAAGGACCUUCCCAUGUCGGGCUCCACUUUCCAAAGCCCCUAAGCUGAGCUCCUAGAGGAAGAACUAUCUUCCAUACCAAAUCUCCUUCCUUGUAAGACUUUGCUUUCACCCUUUUGUUAUACACUCGGGCAACAACUCUCUUUCCUUCCUGAAUCUAGUUCAGAGCUUCAAUUCGGGCUACAUCCUUGGCACAUGGCUUCGAUGUAUUCUUCGCUGUGUAACCCAAGCUGAUUUUGAAUUCUGACAUAACUCACAUUGAUCUCCAUGGGAAGCACUGCAUCUUGCCCGAAGGUUAGAGCAUAAGGAGUUGUCCAUAUACCUGCCCUCUUGGAAGUUCUGUAUGCCCACAAAGUAUUCCCCAACUUUUCAUGCCAUUUUUCCGGACUAUCUAUCACCAUUCUUUUGAUAAUGUUUACCAAAAUCUUGUUGCUGGAUUCUGCCUGGCCAUUUAACUGCGGGUAGUAAGGACUGGACCGAAUCAUCUUUAUUUUGUAUUUGCUUGCAAAUUCUUCAACUUCUUUUGAAAUAAAAGAUGGCCCUCGAUCCGUCACUAUGGUUUCAAGCACCCCAAAUCUAUGCAGAAUCUUGGUCUCAAUAAAAAAUUUGACCACAGCUGAGGUUAUGGUUUUUACCGCCGAGGCCUCUACCCAUUUGGUAAAGUAAUUCGUUGCUACAAUGAUAAAAGUGUGCCCCUUGCUAGAAGCCGGGUAAAUAUGCCCGAUGAAGUCCAUUGCCCAUCCUCUGAAGGGCCAGGGCUUGACUACUGGAUUUAAAGGCACAUAGGAUACAUGUUGGAGAGGACCGUGCCUUUGACAUUCCUCACACCCUCGGGCAUAGGACUUGCAAUCUUUUUCCAUGUCGGGCCAAAAAUAACCAUAUCGCCUAAGUAACCACCUCAUCUUUGUCCCCGCCUGAUGUGCUCCACAUACUCCUUCAUGUACUUCGACCAUCACUCUCAUGGACUCUUCUUGGCCUAAGCAUUUCAAUACUAACCCGUCUGGAGUCUUUCUUAGUAGGUCUUUCACCCAUAAGACAUACUUAGUUGCUUGUUGUCUAUUUUUCUUGCUGGUGGGUGAAGAGGGAUCUUUCAAAUGAUGGAUGAUGGGCGAUCUCCAAUCUUCUAUCUCAGUUUCCUGAACCAUUACAUCCAGGCUGAAUCCCCUUUCCAGGAUAGAAGGAAGAUUUCUCCUUUGAAUCUCGACAUCCAACCCAUAUCCUUUUUCCUGUAUUGGCAUGCCUGAGGCCAAUUGCGUCAUCUCAUUAGCUGCUAGGUUGACUCCCCUGGGAACAUGACUCACCGAUAUAUCAGAAUCCUAAUAACUCAACAAUUGUGUGGCCGCCAAAUAGUAUCCGGUCAUGGUGAUAUGUCUGCAUUUGAACUCCCCAUUUAGCUGGUUUAUUACCAAUUCUGAAUCACCAAACACCUCAACUUCCAUUGCCUCCAGAUCCAUCAAGAUUUCCAAACCAAUUAUUAAGGCCUCAUACUCUGCCCGAUUGUUGGUAUUCCCUUGAUAAUCCAAGAGAAAUGAGUAAUAAUGAUAAAUCCCUUGAGGGUUGAUAAUCACAAUCCCAGCUCUUGAAGCCUUCUGAGUAUAAGAACCAUCGAAAUACAGCUUCCAAUGAGUAAUCCAUAAACCAGCCACUCUUCUUAUCUCCUGCUAGAUCCACUCAUUUUUGCCCGAGAUCCCUUUGCCUGGCGGGAUCCAAACAUUAGUAACUUCCAGGGUUCCCGGUAUAUUGAUUAUCUCAUCUCGAGAUUCUUGAUGCUCCGCCAAGAAGUCAGUAAUUGCUUGGCCUUUUACUGCCCUUUGGGGGACAUACUGGAAGCUGAAUUCUAAUAAUGCUUGAAUCCACUUCCCAAUCCUUCCUGUUAGCAUUGGCUUUGACAACAUGUACUUUAUCACAUCUGUCUUGGCGAUGAUGUGCACGUGACAAGGUAACAUGUAAUGCCUCAGUUUAUUGGCAAUAAAAUACAGAGCUAAGCACAAUCUCUCUACUGGGGAAUACCUUGUUUCUACCUCGGUCAGAAUUCUACUGAGGUAGUACACUGCCUGCUCUUUCCCGCCUUCAUUAUUCUGAGCCAUCAAACUCCCAAUUGAUUUAUCUGAAGCGGAGAUAUAUAGCUUUAAGGGUUUUUCCCUCUGAGGUGGUACCAAUACUGGCGGGGAAGUCAAAUAAGCUUUGAUACCAUCGAAAGCCUCUUGGUGCGGUGGUCCCCACUCGAAAUUCUCCUUAUCCUUCAGUCUUAACAAAGGAGUCAGCGGCUGGAUCUUGCCCGCUAGAUUGGCAAUGAAUCUUCUUAAGAAAUUAAUUUUGCCCAACAGCCUCUGAAAUUGCACUUUGUUGGUGGGUGAAUGUGACUCUAUUAUUGCCCGAGCUUUAUUUUUGUCCAUUUCUACCCCUCUUUGAUGAACCAGGAAUCCUAAGAAAUUGCCCGUUUUCACUCCAAACGCACACUUCUUUGGAUUCAUCUUCAAUUUGUGGAUCCUCAUUCUUGUUAAUGCCUGCCUGAGGUCUAUCAGGUGUUGUUCUUCCGUCUUGGAUUUCACCACGAUGUCAUCAAUAUACACCUCCAUAUUAUGGCCAAUCAGAUCAUGAAAGAUGGCAUUCAUCGCCAUUUGGUAAGUUGCACCAGCAUUCUUGAGCCCGAAGGGCAUAACCAGAUAUUCAUAUGCCCCCACAUGCCCAGGGCACCUAAAAGCUGUUUUAUGUAUAUCCUCCGGGGCCAUCUUUAUCUGAUUAUACCCGGCAUUUCCAUCCAUAAAAGAUAAGACUUUAUGUUUUGCUACUGCAUCUAUGAAUAGAUUUGCCAUGGGCAUAGGAUACUCAUCUUUAGGUGUAGCACCAUUAAUAUUCCUGUAGUCAACACAACAUCGUACCGCUUUUGUUACGGCUUUUAAAACGGGUACAAUGUUGGCUAACCACUCCACAUAUUUGGCUGGCCUGAUAAAUUCGGCUUUUACGAGCCUCUCAAUCUCUUCUUUGACCUUCUCUUCUAUCUCCUUCGACAUCCUUCGUGGUGCUUGUUUAACCGACUUAUAUCCUUCCUUGAUAGGCAUUCUGUGUUCCACCAAAGUUGCAUCUAAACCCGGUAUCUCAGUGUAAUGCCAAGCAAAACAAUCUCUGAAUUCUUGUAAGAGACAGAUAAUUUGUGCCCGAUCCUCACUCUCUAAUAAACCACUGAUUUGUAUUGGUCUUGGGUCCUCCUUUGUUCCUAGCUCAAUAACUUCCAAAGGAUCUUGGACCUCCAGUGGUGGCUUGUCAGGUUCUGCACACAAAAAUUCGACUAGCUCCAGGCUCUCAGGCAAGUCAUCUGGCUCAUCUAGGUCAUAUAUACACUCAGCCAUUUGAAUGGACCUUUCCAAUUCUUCUUAACAAGAUUCCUCGUUGCUUUUAUCCUGGCUGGUUGAAGCUCCCACCUGCCAUUCCUGUUAUUCUCUCUAAGAGCUCAUUUUCUUGUCUUAUUUCUUUCCCAUACACCAACAGUCGUUUAAUCAGGGAUCUGACUGCCAUUACCUGAUCUUUCCUUUUUUGUUCUAUCAUUGAUGGUGUAGGGGUGUUGGGAUGAUAUAAGGUCUGUCCCACUCCUCUCUAGUAAGGAGCAUCCCUUGUUCUAUGAGCUUUUGGGCCGUCACCUUGGUAGGACGGCUGUUCUCAUCUACUCCCAAACACUUCAAGAUUUCUACGUUGGGAUUGUAGAAACUUGCUUCCGCUAUAUUGGCUGUGGGAAGAAAUGGUCGUGAUUCGGCCUCUACCAUCUCCCAAAAGUCUGGCCCUUCUGCGCUUGCCUCAUGAUACACAGCCACUUGUUGAUGUAAGGUGGAAGGUACAACAAGACUUUGGUGGAUCCAAUCUCUUCCAAGUAAGGCUCCAUAGGUGGAGGUGCAGUCCACCACAAAGAACGCCAGCAUGAUCUGUUUAGACCCCAGAUCUACUUCCAAAGGCAAUAUCCCAAGAGUCUUGGUGAUAACGCCCGAGAAACUAGAAACUGUGAGGUCUGUAGGAAUAAGAUCCUAUGUGCCUCUCCCCAACUUUUUCAUCUGCUUGGCUGGUAAUAUAUUAACAGCUGCCCCUCCAUCAAUAAAAAUCCUUUUGAAGGGCACUCCCUCCAAAUGAGCUAUUACAUAUAUGGGCUUUAGAUGAUUGGCAAGUGAAAUGUUCGGGCGACUGAACACCAUUUUGUCUGUGUAGAUCCUUAAAGGACUUUCUUUGGAUGCUUCAGAUGAUGCAGUUUUUCCCGACUCUCAUUCUUAUGCUAUCUCCAUAUUAACAUGAGCCAUCAUUGGCUCAUUUGUUACAUAAUCUCCUUCCAUGACGGCGGGCUGAUUAGGUUGGGCAACAAACAUAGCAGAUAACACAUACGCCAUGUUUAUAUGAAAGUUGCUAGGCUCUGGCAGUUCCUCUUUUUUGCUCCCAAUCUGGUCCAUGAACUCAUCCAACCACGCCAUAGCAUCUGGUGAAAGCAAUGGUUCUGGUGCCCCCUCUAGCUGAUUCACACCUGAACAUGGUGUUUGUUUUGGAACUUCCCCGAAAUGAUCCUCUAAUGAUAGAGAAGGUUGUUUUUUCUCAGGGGAGACAGUUCCAAAGUAAAUAGGCUGCUCUGCCUUCCAUCCGGGAGUCGGCACCAUAACCAUAUCUUCUUGAGCUCUCCUCAAGAUUCUAUAUUUCCCAAGGUGUAGGCUUUGUGGCACAUGAUUUCCUUCGCCUUCAAUCUUGCUGUUAGCCUUUUCCACCUCCUUCUUACUUCUCCAGCGGAGCUGACUGCUCCCCCCAGAUGACGUUUUUUCUAACUUUUGAUUUUUGGAAGCUUCCGACGUCGCUAGGGUUUUCAAGGAAUUCAUGUAGGCUUUGUGUUGCCUCUGAACCCUUCUGACCAUGGAGGCACCCAUUUACUUAACGGGUUGUCCAUUCUUUCCGACCACAUACCAUUUUCGCCUAAGGCGGGCAGGAUUAUCUUUUGUGAUGGGGUUUGUUAUCCUGUCAUUCCUCCUGACCUCUCUUCCCAUAUGGCUGUACUAAGAGUGCCCUACACUUCUCUCUUUUGGCUUCUUGGCAUCUUUAUCCUCUGCCUCCUCAGAAACUUCAUGGUUACGAAAUAUUUCUGAUAAAGCCCUUGGUUGGGAAUCGCCUUCUAACCGCUGAAAGACACUUCGGGAGGUAUCCCUUCCUGCAGUCCGCCGAGCUUUCUCUUGUGCCUCUUUUCUCUUUUGUUCUUCAUUCCUCCUGAUCAGUUCAUGAUCUAUGAGGGCUCCUGCGGGCGGUAUUUCGAGUUCCCUCUCUUUUCCCUUCUCCGCCCAUGUCAUACUGAUCAUAUUUAUAGGGGGCAUCUGAGAAGGGAUCCGUAUGUUUAUCCGUCACCGCAGCUUCUUCUAGUUGAUUGGUUUUAAGCCCCCUCUUCUCCCUAUCAUUUUUCUCCCCAAGAUGAGGUAAAGACAUAGGGAUAGGUGGUCUUAGAACCGGGUCAUCUUCUUUUCUGGAGCCUGUAAAAACGUUCUCCAGUCUUUGUAGUAUGUGUAACAAAGCAGUUUGGAAAUCUUUUGAUCCUUUUGACAUAUCGCUUUGAUCAAAGAUAAUCCCACCGAGUGUGCCAAAACUAUGUUCGCAGCGGGAAUUUCCGUGGGGAAUGCUUCCUGGCCGACGAGCACACAGCUCCCCGAAAGGUUGGCGCCGGUUGAUGCUUUUUGUUGGGCUUUUGCUUUACUGGCGGGCUUGUCGGGCAAAGCCUGUCGGGCAAGGCUGAAAGAGAAUGACAGAGUUAACUUUGAAAGGUGCAUUUGUGAGGCCUUAGGUGUAGGCCUUGAGGCUCACGAUCAAGAUUAACUUUGAAUUGCUCAAGCAUGCCACUACCAUCUUCAGCAUAGCAAAUGUAGAACAUAUGUUUGAGUUUUAAUUAUAUAUUCGAGAGACUAUGUUAGUUAUUGACAGGUGCCUUUGUGGGGCCUUAGGUGUAGGCCUUGAGGCUUCCCAUAAAUAACUAACUUAGUACUCAAACACAUAAGGUUCUUUUUAUUGGUUUUAUGGGUCUUAUAACCAUCAUACUUCUGAUUACCUGAGCUCAAAGAGCAGAAUGAAUCCAAAUAGGUGCCUUUGUGGGGCCUUGAAUAGGCCUUGAGGCUUCCUAUCAGAACCCCUUCUGUACUCAAUGUUCUUGCCCGAGAAAUAGGAAUCCAAAUAGGUGCCUUUGUGGGGCCUUGUAUAGGCCUUGAGGCUUCCCAUCAGAACCUUCUGUACUCAAUGUUCUUGCCCGAGAAAUAGGAAUCCAAAUAGGUGCCUUUGUGGGGCCUUGAAUAGGCCUUGAGGCUUCCCAUCAGAAUUUAUCCCGUACUCGAACGUUCUUGCCCGAGAAAUAGGAUGAAUCCAAAUAGGUGCCUUUGUGAGGCCUUGAAUAGGCAUUAAGGCUUCCCAUCAAAAUUCAUCCCGUACUCGAACGUUCUUGCCCGAGAAAUAGGAUGAAUCCAUAUAGGUGCCUUUGUGGGGCCUUGAAUAUGCCUUGAGGCUUCCCAUCAGAAUUCAUCCCGUACUCGAACGUUAUAUGGUCAUCAUAAUAUAAUAGAAAUAAAACUAAGUGGUAGGUCGAUUACUUGCGCCCCAAGUAACUUCGGACUUCUUGUUUAUCAAAGCUUGUCGUGGAUGGGUUAAGUCCACUUCAGGUUCUUUUUUAUGCCUUGAGGCCAAGGACUUUUUCAGGUGAUCAAAUCUUAUAUGCCCGAGGGCUUAGAGCUUAGAUCUGGCUUGAACUGUGAAGACAUAUUCAAAUCGGAUUCAAACGCUGAGAGAGUCUUUUAAUAGCUAUAUUACUAGAAAUAACUUGGAUACAACUUGAAGUAUACAACAUAUUGCUAGGCUAAUGAAUGAAAAGACAAAAACGAAGAAGGUCGGGCAAGGCUGAUCGUCUUGCAACUUCCUAUCUUCGUGGGUUAACAGAAGGUUUGAAAGCUUAGAAAAGGGGUUGGGAGGUGAGUUUGCAUAAAGAAAAUCAAUACUACAGCAGGCGUUGAACAGGGUAACAGAGCUAUUACAAAGGGUUUGUCUCGAAAGGGAUGAAGGCUUGGGCUGACUACAGCUUCGUUUUGAAGGCAAAUCUGGCUUUGAGCAGAGUUUGUGCUUUUAUUUGUUUGUUUGAGUGUCCUUGAUUCUGACUUCUCUUUCUCCUUUUAUAGCCACCUUGGCUUGGCCUCCUGUAGCAAUAAUCUUGCCCGAAUGCAGUUUGAAUGAUAGUGACUCAUCAGCUAUUUACUUGUACUGCCAUCAUAAAGUACUUUUGGGCUGAUUAGCUGGCUGGUCUAUACCACUUGGCCCUUGGGUAGGUGAGCAAAUGGUGCAAAUGAUCUGCAUCUAGUCGGGCAAGGCCCUUUCUGCUUUCUAGGUCUGGGCUGAGCUUCGGGCUUUUCUUUCUCUUUUUGUGCCAACUCCCUUCUAAGCCCAAAGUUUAAGUUUCAACCCAAACACCAAUUAUCAGGUAAUUGUUAUACUUGGAUUUGUCAAUUAGCCUCAUGAUUUGGAGACCAACAGACAUGUACGGAGCCAAUGAAGGCCCACUUGCGGCAGAUGCCCCCACUCAAAUAAUAUGUUAGUUAAGUUGCAGAUUAUAUAUACGUGUUAUCAUUGAAAAAAAAUAUAUGUAUCUAAUAUCAAGCAUAUCUCCAUACUACUCCCUAUCAAAUACUAUAUGAGCAAACGUGUUCUUGUUCUGUCAUUCAAACCAAAAAACCCUAUCAUGCUUCUAAUGUGUUAAUAUUUUUCUCAUCAAUUUGCCACUUUCAACUGCUAUAUUAAAUUUUUUGUAACAUUGGAAUUGUGAUACAUCGUCAUUUGAAAUCAUUAUCAUAUUGUAUAUAAGCCAUACUAUAUACGAUUUUCUUAAUUGUUUUUCGGAUUACCCCUACUAGAAGAAAUUUCUUGUUCUGUCACUGACAGCAUAUGCUGUUUUUUUUUUCUAUUUUUUUGUUUGUGACUCCAUUCUCUUUGAUUUUUGGUCUCUUUGGACUUUUCCUUGCGUCCGUGGCUGGCAGUGAAUGAGGAGAUUUGGACCGAGAGAAAUUUGCACCUUGAUUGCAUCCUUGGACUUAGGUUUAUGCGCUUUGAUUUUUCUUGGUCUUCCUUAAUUUGAUUUUCUGUGUGCGUUUGUGAAUUUGGCCUCGAAGUCGUACCACGUGCGUCCAUGGCCUUCUUUCGUCUGCACCAAAGGUAGGCCUAACUAGAUUUUUAAACGUGUAAUGAAAGGAAGAUUAAAUAUGUAAAUUAAAUAAUAGGUCUUCAACAGGUACACUGAACACUAACCUAAUCAUGACGAACCGCUGGAAAGUCGAUAAUUAGAUUAUUAUAUAAGUGUUGAUUAAUGUGCUUAUUUCUUAUUGGUGAUACAUUAUUUUGUUACUAAAUUUAAUCUAUCUAGAAUUACCCUUUCUAAAUCUUUUCAUUGACUUCUGUGGCUACAAUUAUUUUUCUUUAGGUAAUGCUAAGGAGAGUGAAUUUCAUAAACUAAAUGGCUUGAAAGUUGAUGAUUGGAUCACCACUUAAGUGUUAAUUAAUGUGAUUAUUUCUUAUUGGUGACACAAUAUUUAGUUUACAAAUUUAAUUUAUCUAGCAUUACCCUUUUUCUUUUACCUUGAUUUAGACAUCUCUCUGUCAUCCUCUUGAAUACACAAAGCCUGGGCUGUUUCUAUUGUGCAAAAGACCUGUUUACUAGCCUUGAAUUGAAAGUUAGGAUGGGUACUUCGACCAAAAAAAAGUUAGGAUGGGCACUAGUUUUGGAGUGAAUAUGUUCUAACUUGAAAAAUCAAUGUCAAAUUUAAUUUUCACUUUCACGUUACAUACUAUAUUAUUCUAGGUUCUAACUUGAAAAAUCAAUGUCAAAUUUAAUUUUCGCAUUCACAUUACAUACUAAAUUAUUCUACACAUAUGCAAUUAAAACGAUAAAUAAAAUGUGCACAUAGAAUGUAGAAUUUAAUGAGACAAAACCCACCACUGGGAAAAUUCUUGAACUCCCAAGUUAGGACAAAUACUAAGAGAAAGAAGUACAUAAAGACUUAUAAAACUCAUUAACUAGAAACGCAUACUACUAGUUAGUUUUGUCUCCGCACUUUACUACUUGAUCUCUCUUCAACCUUCAAGUAGAAAUUGCACAACACUAACAUGACCGUCAAUCACUGUCUCCUCAAACAUUGCAAGAUACUAACUCAAUCAUGCACAAUGUAUGAAUUAAAAUUAUUUUUGAAAUCAACUAAUUACGACAAAGCAUAUUUUCAUAAUUGAUUUUAAUUAGAGUGCAAUGAAAAUCAAUGAACAAAACUAAAUUUCUCUUCAAAAAUACCUGGAUACAAACUGAUUUUUCUACCAUAAACCUCACGAAAAAUAAAAAUUUCUCUUGAGAAAACACAUGCAACUGACUGACAUGAAAAACACAAACUUUCUGCUGCGAAUCUCACAUUAAUGGGAGGAGUGACCUUGCAUGUGCUUAUCAGAGCAGAUUGUUUCACGUGUGAAACCCAAUGGUUACAGGCGCUCCACGACACCUGUUUGUGUGGUUUAUAUACUACGCUUAAAAAUUUGCUACACAGGCAUGUUUAGAAUAAGUCCCACAUUGAUGGGAGGAGAUAUCUUGCAUGUGUUUAUAAGUAGUUGGGCUAUUCUCCAUAUUACCAAUUCAUUUUAUGAUAAAACCUCAAUUUUCUUCAGCUUUUUGUGCAUGGUGCUGCCUCAAAUGCAAACUACAAUAUAUACCUUCAGAGCAUACAACAAUAUAUAAGAAUAUAUAUGAAUUUCAAAACAUGUAGCAAAGUAAUGGAUCUAUAUAAUGCAUGUAGUUGUUGUAGGCUAUUAUAUAUAUAUGACUUAAACAAUGAAAAUGGAGCAGCAAUCCAAUACUCAAAAACUCAUUCUGAUACACGCAGCAGCAUCCUUUUCACUUUCACGAAACACAAUGGUAGCAACCACAACUCCUUUUUAACAUCGACCCCUGUAUGAAUAACUUGCGGCAACAGCAAGCAAAUCCCUAAUGUAAUCUCGUCUAUAUAUAAGCUGCAGUAGGAGACUUCAACACGACUUAAACCUCUAAAUAGAUAAUAAAAAUAAAAACAAAACAUUUGGAAUUUUUUUUUCCAAAAAAAAAAAUUUGGAAUAUUUAAUCAAUAUGCUAAAGGUGCAAAACUAUUAGGGGGCGUUUGUUGCGCUGGACUAUCUCGGACUGGACUAGCUUCAAGGACUAAGCUGGACUGACUUAGACUAGACUAAGCUGGACUAACUUAGUGAAGCGUUUGGUGCAGUGUUGGACUAAGAAGCGGAUAAUAACAAAUUCUAAUAUUAUAUUAUUUAAUAUAUAAAUUAUUAAUAUUUUAUUAUAAUCUCGGUGAUCGGAGAUGACGAGGAGUCUAUCGGGAGUGGUUGUUGAGCAUGACGAGGACGAGAGAGGAUAGUCUUAGCUAGUCCCAUGGUUAUUGGGGGGUCUCGCUAAGACCUCUUAGUGAAGGGUUUUGUCCAUGCUAGUCCCCUUUAGUCUCAUUAACGUUAGUCCCAGCAUGAAACAAACACAGUAUUGGACUAACACCUACUCCAGUCCAGUCCAGUCCCACUUAAUGAGGGCAAACAAACGCCCCCUUAAGUUGUAAUAAAGCAAGCACAACAGUAAAUGUACAGAUCAACCGGUAGGCUAGGGGUCUACGGCUAAUUAAAAAGACAUGGGAUUUUAAUUAAGAUAAAUGGAAUCUUAAUUAAAGUAUCAAACUAAUUAACGUGCAAAGUCCAAAACUAUACGGUCAAUUUAACACAGACUUACCAUAUGAAUACAUAUGCACGUUAAAUUUACUUGAGUAAUUUCUUUAAAAUGAUUUAUAUUCUUAUAAUUAAUAGCACAUGAAAUAAACUUAGACUAAAAUAAGUAGAACUGAAAACAUGAUUAUUUUAAAAUAUUAUAGACUUAGACUUUUUGCUAGAAAUUGUCAAUUUUUCAGUAAAAAGUCUUCUUUUUAGCUUUAAAUUCCUUUCUUUCCUUCAUCGUGCAGAGGUUUGCUUGGAAGACAAUUGGCCAUCUUUUUACCCUUUUGACUAUUCUGUCUGUAGUCCCAAACUUAAUUAGUAAGUGGGAAAUUCCUUUUUUUUUUUUUUUUUUUUUUUCAAGGGGUCUUUUGAUAUGGGCUGUUCUAAAUUUCUACACAUAUUUUGAAUGGAAAUUACUAGUAUUACGCCUUAUAAACAGGGUUAGUAAGUAGACCACAUCUCCACGUUAGAUAUUUAGAACAUGUUUGGUACUCUACUUGAAUCCAACUUUUUAAACGCAAAAACAAUUUUCAAGUUUUAGGCCUUAAAAACUUGUUUGGUAGGACUAUUUUAAAAAACUUAACUCAAGACUAACUCAAAAAUAUAAUCUAUUAUCUAAAAACACAAAAAGAGAAUUUUAGAGUUUUUAAACUUAAACUCACUUUUUUUUUUUAUCCCUCCUCCCCUCACUCCAAAUCUAUCCCUUUUCUUCUUUCUCUCUCCCCCUUCUUUUUUUUUCUUUUUUUCGUCUCUCCUCCAAUCCGCUAUCUUCAUUCUCUCGGUUCUUUCUCUCACUCAUUUUCCUCUCUAUCUCCUCCGAUCUUCUCACUUCUUUCUCUUUCCUCCAAUCAUCUCUUACUUUCUUUUCUCAUCUCUCCUCUUUCUCUCUCGACCCUCUUUUUAUGGAUCUUUUUGUCCAAUUUAAGUUAUAAGAUUUAAAAAUUUUAAAUCGCAUACCAAACAAGUUUUUAAGUCUUAAAGAAAAUUGUUUUCAAGAAAAAUUCUUAAGAAAUGUUUUGAAAAAUUAUAAAAAUUUUCAAAUAGGAUAAAAAACAAGCCCUUACCUAUCCUUGAUUUUCACACAAAUUACAUCACGUGCCGCUCAAUUGUUUAUGAAAUGAGUUGUCAGAUUUCAGAAAUUUAGGGGAGUUUAUCCAAAUCCUAUUCGGACGAUUACUUAGAAAAUAAAAUAACUUUCCGAUUAUGGUGUUUUUGAGAUUCAAAUUCGAAUUAUUAAGUGUGGGAUAAUAUUUUUACACUUCUUUAUAGCCUUUAAAUUUUAUAACAUCCAAGGAUUCUUAUUUAUUCAUUAACUAACUUGAUGCUUAUGUAGAUUUUAACAUUUUUUUUUUCGCUAGAAAAGAAAAUCAAUUAAACGGAAGAACCUCAAGUACAACCAGUUCUAGAAGCAUCAAACAGAAGAGCAUUAGAUGCUUCCACAGGGAUACAAGCAUCCCAAAUAUGAAGGUUAUCCAUCUUAAUACCAACCAAAGUUAAGGCAUCCGCCACAAAGUUUGCUAACACAUAGUUCUAUAUAACUUCCUAGAACGAAGAGGCAUACAACUUGAUAUCUUCUAAAUGGAUCUUAAAUUCCAUGGAAUCUCGCACUUUCCUUGGACCACAUCAAUGAUAAGCUUGGAAGCACCCUCAACAAUAAUACAACUAAAUUUUUUCCUUCUAGCCCAAGUGAUAGCUUCCCGAAGCGCCAAAGCUUCAGACACAUUGAUGGUAUUCGAUCUCAAAUUUAAAACUCCAGUCGGAAGAGGGUUCCCUUGAUCAUUUCUGAUAACAAAACCUAGAUUUUAACAAAUAUUAAAGAUAAAAAUAAAAUUGAAAAAACAUAACUAUGAAAAAUUAGAAAAAGGAAAAAACCCUAGUUGUAAUCGUGAAAACAAGAAAGGAGGUAUGCAACCUCCAUCUCCCCCUUUGUCGAUGAGGUCUGCAACUUCUAUGCCCUGGAUUGAUACAAAAUUAUGAUGCCUUCUACAACGAGUCAAGAUAUUAGUCUCUUGAAUCUUCAUGAAGUAAGCAAAACAAAACGCUACAACAAGUCAAGUUAUUAGUUUGUUGAAUCUUUGUGAAGUAAGCUAAACGCUAAAUUCUAUAUUAUUGUUCAUAUAUGUAGGGUUUGCAAAAUCCUUUUAGUUUUGUCAGUUAAUGUUUUUGAUGAUUUUUCUACUCUUUUAGUUUUUCAAAUCAAACAAACAACUAUCUCAAUACGUUAUGCUCGGUUAGCUAAUCCCUUGGGCCCCAUAUCGUGCCCUAGUAUUUUUGUUAGCUAGUGAAUUUGGUUAGUCUGUUCCAAUUCUUGAGCAAAACAAGUUCUACAAAUUUUAUGUGCAAACUCCGAUCCACCACUCAUUAUUGAGUCGUCCGCCUAUAGCGAAUUAGUAAUAUUUAGGGAGAAUCAUGCAAAGAAGAUUUUUUAUUUUAUUUUAUUUUCUUGUGAUUAUUAGGGUUGUAUUUUACAUCAUGAAAAAAGAGAUUUCAUCGAGAGCAUUGCAGACCUCAUAGGCAAAGAAGAGAUUUCAUGUUUUUUUGUUAUUUGGGUUCAAAGUCUGAUUAUUUGUUUUUAGAUUACAGCUAGGGUUUCUUCCUUUUUAAUUUUAUUUUGAAUUUUCCAGAUUUUAUGUUUUUUCAAUUUUAUUUUUAUCUUUAAUAUUAGUUAAAAUCCACAUAAGCAUUCAUGUCAUUUAAUGAAUAAAUAAGAACCCUUAGAUGUUAUAAAAUCUAAAAGCAAAACAACGUGCAUAUGGUUCACACAUAUUUACAAGAGCGCUGCUAACGAAAACAUUCUCUUCCAUUCCAUGUCUGAGCACAAACCCAUGAAUCACUCUUCCCAAAUUCAAAUCUUUCAACUCCGAGCAAGCAGGUAGGAUUGAAGAAACUGUUACUACACUGGGUCUCACUCCAGUCUCCAUUCAACCCCAUCUCACGAAAUGCCUCCGAACCUUGUCUAGGCAUCCCGCAGUUAACGUAACAAGAACACAAAGAGGUCCAAGACACCACAUCUUUCACCAUCAUGCCAUCAAAAACUCGUCUCGCCCCCAUCAACAUAUCUACAUUUUCCAAACAUAUCGACCCACUAGUACAAAACAUACUUGCGCGUCGGAGCAAAUUGCAUCGCGCAAAGUAUGUUUGCGCAACGGUGACAACAAAACGUCAGGCAAACGUAUUUUGUGCAAUGAAAUUUUGCGCGACGAAGACCGACGUCGCGCAAAACAGCUUCGUGCGAUGAAGGAGCACCUUUGGUGGCGCAAAGUUGGGAAAAAAGGCGGUAAAAGUCUUGGUUUGGCGCCAAAAGCUUGCGUGACGCAAAGGCCUCGUCGUGCAAUUGUCCUUUGCGAGACGUAGGUGUGCAUUGUUGAGCAAAAUUUCUUUGCACGACAAAGACUGCCGUUGCACAAAACUGCUUUACGUGACGAAGGUACACCUGCGUCGCGCAAAGCUAUUUUGUGCAACGAAUGCACACCUACAUCGCGCAAUCGUGUAAAGGUUGUGGUAUCCACUUGUGUAAAUAUUUUAAAUUGAAGAUAGAAUUCACUCAUUGUAUUCAUAUAGGGUCAAGGAGUGUAGUGUAAAAAAAUCAUCAAAAUCGGAGUUAAAACUACCGCUAAAUCGUGAUUUUUAGUUUAUAACCGUCGAAAAAUUUUGUCCUGUUACUUUAUCUCUGAAUGUUUGUUUUUUGCGGUUUUUGACAUAUGCGAUCUCGAAGCAUAUACAAACAUGUUUGACGGUUGGAUUGUUGAAACUAAUUUCGUAGAAUGCGUAUCUCAUCAAAACAAUAACACUUAAGAGUUUAUUUGUACUUUCAUUAAGUAUAACAUAAAAUUUUGUGGUAUCUAUUAGUGUAAAUAUUUUAAAUUGAAGAUCGAGUUCAUUCAUUGUGUUCAUAUAGGGUCAAGGAGUGUAGCUAUAAAAAUUAUUAAAAUUAGAAUUAAAAUAACUGUUAAAUCGUGAUUUUUUGUUUAUAACCGUUGAAAAGUUUUGUCCUGUUACUUGAUCUUUGAAUGUUUGUUUUUUGCAAUUUUUGGCAUAUGCGAUCUGGAAGGAUAUACAAACAAGUUUGACAGUUAGAUCUUUAAAAUUAGUUUCAUAGAAUACGUAUCCCAUCAAGUUGAAUGAUAUAUAUAUAUAUAUAUAUAUAUAUAUAUAUAUUUAUUUAUUAAGUAGUUUUAAAUUGAUUUAUUUUGUAUGUAUAACACUUAAUAAAUUGAAUUUUAUAUAUAUUUAUUAAGUAGCUUUAAAUUUAUUAUUGUAGUUCGUAUCAGAUUUUUGUUAGAAAAUUAUAUUAUUAUGGGUUUUAUAAAAAAAAUUGAAUUUGAAAAGAAUAAAGUCAAAAUUUCAAUAAAUUUUAUAAUAUAUAUUUUUCUAAAUAUAACUUGGGUGACACCAUAAUAGACUUGUUGCGCAAAAACACUUUGUGCGACGUCAUAAUGUGUACAUGCGUCGCGCAAAAUCACCCAAAUUAUGGCGGUGCAGUUGUAAAAAAUAGGCGGUUUUUUUUUAAAUGUUCUCAAAUUUAUACAAAAUAGGUCUCUCUUCCCUCCAUCUCACUCGGUCUCUCUCUUCCCUCUCGCUCCUCUCUCCCACUCCGUCUCUUCCGUCUCUUCCGUCUCUGCCCUCUCUCUCACUCCGUCUCGCUCUUCUCUCCCACUCCUGUGCACACCCGCCAAACCGCUGCCCCUCGUUUCUCUUCCCUGGAAGAUCGUGUUGCUUCCUUGAGGCCAUCAUCGCCUCUUUACCUUCACUCGAGGCCUUCAACGACUCUCUUACAAAAUUAGGGUUUUAUUUGGUGCUAGGUUCAUUCUUCUAGAAAAACAGGUUAGGAAUUUGUUGUUAAUUUAAGUGUAAUUUAAGUUUCUGUGAAAAUAUUAGUUCUAAAAUUAGGGUUUUAUUUGGUCCAGAUUUCAAUUUUAGUUUGUGUAUCAGAUUUCAAUUUCAAUUAGCGGUUCUUUGAACUGUUUCGCAUCUAGGGACCAAAAUCCGCAGGGUGAUGGGAUAUAUGAUAUAUUGGAGGAAUUGACUGUGAAGAUGAAACAUUAUCGUUUGUGAUUGUCGAUCCAACUUUAAUCGUCUAUGAUAUACAUUUUCUCAAGAUUCCUAAAAAUACAUAGUUAAGGACUGGAUUAAAAGGGUGAAUUUUCCUAAAACUAGACUGGCUGGUUUCUGGCAAGUCAGUGGGCAUGUUUUUUUAUUGAGUUUAGCUUCAUCUUAGGUUUAUGUGAUGUAUCGUGAUGUUUGUAUCUGCACCUGGAAUCUACUUUCGUGCUAAUUUAGAUUUUGGUGCAGGUCAGCAGUUGUCUAAGUUAUAUUCUUUUGGUUGAUCUACUUAGAACUCUUGAUAAUCUUAAUGUUUUGUGCUGUAUCUCCCCGUGAAGGCUAUUAUAACUGCCUAAGUUAUGAGACCCAUGUUGGCAAUAUUUAUGUGGCUUUGCUGACAAAUUGGCUAUGGUUGAAAUUUUGUUACUUAGCUUUGCUGACAAAGUGGCCAUGCUGGGUUUGAGAAUGAUUAAUCCACUUUCUGAAUUUAAUUACUUUGAACUUUGUCUAGUGUCCUUCCAAAGCAUUUCAUAUGGGGAAUGCUGACUUGGAAGCCCGGUGCUUUUACUUUGUCUAGUGUCCUUCCAGUUUUUGCAGAAUAUGUAGAUGUUAUCAAGGGAAAGGAGAUUCAUGGGUAUGCUAUAAGACGUGGGCUUGAUGCAGAUGUAUUCAUUGGGAGUAGCUUAAUUGACAUGUAUGCCAAUUGUACUUGAGUGCAAGAUUCCCUGCGGGUGUUCAACCUGCUACCUAAUCGUGAUGCCAUUUCAUGGAACUCGAUCAUUGCAGGAUGUGUGCAGAAUAAAUGUUUUAGCUCUAGUUGAAUUGUGGAUUCAGUUUAGGAGUUUUGGCAUCUGUGCGUGGGUUACCUAUUGCAUUAUGCCUUACUACAUUGUAAAUUUGUAAUCAACAUAUUGGUUUUUCCUUUUCUUUGUCUUUGUCUUUGUGUUACCUAUUUCUUUCUCCGCUGGUACAUUUAAGAGUCUACAGGGAGAAGGUGGCUUUGGACCUGUGUACAAGGUAACAUAAAUUCAUGCAAUGAAAAUUAGCUAUAUUGCUAUACAAAAUUUAUGUCUUUUCGAAAUGAUGGUCCAUAGGGUACACUGAUAGGAGGAAAAGAUAUUGCAGUAAAGAGGCUUUCAAAGAAUUCCGGACAAUGAAUGAGAGAGUUCAAAACUGAAGUUAUACUCAUAGCCAGACCUCAGCAUCGCAAUCUUGUUAAGCUUCUCGGUUGUUGCAUUCAAAAAAUGCGAAAAGAUUCUAAUAAAUGAAUUUGUGCCCAACAAAAGCUUGGACUUCUAUAUUUUUGGUACGAUCCUUCAUUUUCAAUCUUAUUAUACUAUGAUUCAAUGUGGCAUCGAAAUAAUAGGUUUAAAGUUUCUUCAAAUCAGGAGGGACAAAAAUUGCUCGACUAGCCUAAGUGCUUCCACAUUAUCGGUGGAGUUGCUCGAGGGCUUCUUUAUCUUCAUCAGGACUCUAGACUAAGGAUUAUACAUCGAGAUCUUAAACCUAGCAAUAUUCUGCUAGAUGACAAUAUGAACUUGAAGAUUUCAGACUUUGGCUUGGCUAAAACAUUCGGCGGUGAUCAAAGUCAGGCCAAUACAAACAGAGUGGUUGGAACCUUGUAAGCAUGCUUAGACUUGUUUUGUGGUUUAUAAUUUACAUUGUUCUACUUUUGAAAUUCUCUCAUUGGUCAUUGCAUAUUGAUUUGGCAUUGGUUAUAUGUCUUCGGGAUAUGCAGCAAAUGGAAUUUUCUCGAUGAAGUUUAUGUGUUUAGCUUUGGAGUCAUACUGCUCGAGAUGUUGAGUAGGAAGAAGAUCAGGGAUUUCUCAUCAAGAUCACUACCACAACCUUCUUGGACAUGUAAGUUUAACCAACGAGGUGAUGAUAUUUUACAGUAAAAAGAAUAGUGAAUUAGAUGGUGCUCUUCGAAGCACUUCUUGUAAUGACAUGCCAUUUAACAGUGUUGAAGGUCUGCACCCUUUUACAUAUUAGGCCACUAACAUAUCAUACAUAUUUCAAUUUGUUUUAAGGCAUGGAUGCUAUGGAUUCAAGAUAAACCACUAUAAUUGAUCGAUAAGAUGUUUUGUGAUUCGUGGAACAUAUCUGAAGUGUUAUGGUGUCUUCAAGUCGGGAUGUUAUGUGUGCAAAGAGUACCUAAAGAUAGACCAAGCAUGUCAUGUGGUUUUGAUGUUGAGCAGUGAUGUUGCCUUGCCGCCUCCAAAGCAGCCUGGUUUUUACACUGAACGAAGUGUCCCUGAUACACCAUUAAGGAUGUUUUUUUGUUCAAACAAUACUUUCAGCACUAAGUUGAUAGAACCUCGAUAGAUCAUCAUUGCAGUGCUUGUUAGUCCUUCAAUCUACCAUCACAACACGCAUUCGGAAGGUUGACAUGAAGCUUGUAGUCUUGGCUGGGAAACAAUGAGACAUGCGAUAAUAACUUUGAGAGAAAAGUAUUUAUGAAAGUUUAGUAGUUCCUAGAGCACAAUAGAGAAAGGAUUUGGGGUUGUUAGGUGGUUGAAGAAAAUUUACGUUAUAGUUAAAGUUGAGUUUAUUAUUUCUUAAUUAGAUAAUUUCAUUGAGUAGGAAAGUAGAUCAUGCAUAUGUACAUAGGAAGUUGGAGAAGCAAGACGAGCCUUGCUCCAACAACACUAUAAACUCCUCUGAAGGAAUGCCAUAUUUGGCUAAGAUCACCAAAACGUAAAGCUUUAUUGAUUCCUUGAGGAACUCAUGUCGCAUGCGCGCUGAUAUUAGCACGGUCCAUGCACUUAGUUCUGGUUUGGGUAUUUUGAUUGAACCAAAGGGGUAUUUUGACAUGGGUCUAAAGAAACUAAAAAUUGGGCUUAUUUUAAAAGUCAAAAGUUAUUAAAAAUUAGAUCUAUUUCAAAAAUAGGUUUAUAAAAUUGGACUUAUUUCUUAUUUUCCCCUUGUAAAUUGUUAGAAUUAACACUCGAGUUUGGUUCGGGACGUUUGGUAGUUAGACUUGACCAAAAGAUGUAACUUAUGAAACAUGUUGGAUAAAUAGCAACCAUUUAUGAUAAAUUUAUAUAAGCUAACAAAUAAUAAAUGCAAACAACUAAUUAACAGUGUAUGAACAAUGAAAUAAUAUUAAAUAGAAAUAUUGAAGAUCGAGGCUUGCAUACUGCAAUGUCCUUGAAACAUAAAUUUCAUCUCUACUUAGUGCUUGUAGUUCUACGGAUGUUUGUUUCAUCAGAAUUCAACGAUCAAGUUAGAAUUCCAGCACCGGAAAACUUAUUUAUGAUUGUAGAAGAAGAAUGUGAUUCAACGAUCAAGUCAGAAUUCCAGCAUCAGAAAACUUGGCUUUUAGUGAAUUUUUGUGUGGUUCUCAAAAAAAGGAUAUUUGUGAUUGUAUAAGAAGAAUGUUGAUUUUCUGUGUGUGAUUGUAGAAGAAGAAUGUUGAUUUUCUAUAUUCUAAAUAUCAUGCAAAUGAAUGUAUAUAUAGUGGGAUUAUGCUUGUGUUUUUUCAUUGACUUUAGACUUCAUCUCAAGACCCAUCUUUUAAUAAUUAAUUAUAUAUAUUAAUGAUUAAUUAAUUAUUAACUAAUUAGUCCACACCAAAGCCCAACCUCAAGGUUGAACUCAAUUUUAUUCUCUAUGGUUCAUCACUCCAAUCAUUAUCUAUAAAAGACAAAACCUUAUAAAAUGAGGAAACCUUUUGAAAGUGACCAAUAUGAGGCAAUAAAAUUUCUACCUAAAAUUUCCAACAAAACAAAAGUGAAUAAUUGCUUCAUGAUACCACAAUUGGUGGAAAAACUUCAGGGCAGGUAUGUGGACCCCAUGGCUAUCUUCCUCCACAUACAAAUGUCACACUAAAGUGUGGCACAAGUUUCUAUCCAUCGGUGAAGUGUUCGGAUUUAUCAGCUGCCGGUCAACUUAGUUUAUCCUUUCACUGAGAACAACUUUUCAAACCAAGGAACCCGAAGUCUUAACAAAAAUGCAAAAAAGAUGGUGAAGGAAAAAGACACUUGAAAGACAGUUAAUUUUUUCUUCUUCCAACUCCUCUGCAGAAAUGUACAGUUUCAGAAAUAUGACAAUGCAGUCCUUGAGAAGCAUUUUUGUGUGUUUGUUCUUAUUAUCCUUCCUAAGGAUCUCAUCUGCAGCUACACUAGGCACUAUCACUCGUAGUCAAUAUAUUAGAGAUGGCGAAACUCUGGUUUCAGCAGGUGGAGGCUUUGAACUGGGAUUUUUCAGCCCUGGUAACUCGAAGGGCCGGUACUUGGGGAUAUGGUACACAGUUUCUGCUGAUACAGUUGUUUGGGUAGCCAACAGAGAAACACCACUCGGUGAUUCGUCCGGGUUUUUGAAGCUCAGCGAGCAAGGAGUACUAGUCCUCCUUAAUAGCUCAGACAACAUUGUAUGGUCAUCGAAUUCAUCAAGAACCGUGGGGAAUCCAGUAUCACAACUCUUGGAUACUGGAAAUCUUAUUGUGAAAGACGGAAAUGAAACGAACUCGGAUAACUUCUCGUGGCAGAGUUUUGAUUACCCUUGUGACACAUUCCUACCGGAAAUGAAGCUUGGUUGGGACUUAGCUAGCGAUUUAGAGAGGUAUGUCUCGUCUUGGAAGAGCACAGAAAAUCCUGCUCCAGGAGAUUUUUCACUACGGAUAAGUCGUUGGGGCUUACCACAACUUGUUACUAUGAAAGGAGCUAAGAUACAGGCUAGAGGAGGGUCAUGGAAUGGUGUUCAUUUUACAGGAUAUGGAUCUAGUGGAAUAAGAAACUCCAAUCCAUUACCUGGGGUUGAAUUUCGGUUGAACAAGAAUGAGGUCUACUAUGAGUACAGGCUCCUAAACAGGUCGGAGUUCUCGAGAUAUGUAUUGAACCCGUUAGGCAUCACACAACGGUUCACAUGGGUGUACCAAACACAGAGUUGGGAACUUUCCUUUACAUUCCAAGCAGAUCAGUGUGAAAAUUAUGCCUUGUGUGGUGCAUAUGCUACUUGCAAUAUCAACAACGCUCCAAUAUGUGCAUGCUUGAAGGGAUUUGCACCAAAAUCUCCAAAAGAUUGGAACUCGGGAUACUGGUCCGGUGGGUGCGUUCGAAAGACUCCGUUGGCCUGCAGCCAUGGAGACGGCUUCCUAAAGUAUAAUGGGAUUAAAUUGCCAGACACAUCUACCUCAUGGUUUAAUAAAAGCAUGAGCCUCAAGGAAUGCAAGUGGUUAUGUUUGGAAAACUGCUCAUGUACGGCGUAUGCAAAUCUUGAUAUCAGGGUGGGAGGAAGUGGCUGCUUGCUUUGGUUUGGCAACCUCAUUGACAUAAGAGAAUUCGCUAUAAGUGACGUUCAGGACCUCUAUAUACGGAUGGCAGCUUCAGAACUAGGUAGCUCCUAGACUUUAUUUUUGUUUCUAAAGGUGCAUAGAAAAAUCACCAUAUAUUUUGACAUUAAAAUGGAAUGGGGUUUUGUCCACAGUUUAUGUUUUUUUAUUUUUUUCCUCCCCGAGGGGGUUCGAUAAGCCAGCAGUUAGAAUCAGCAUGGUGAAAAUCACUAAGGUUUUCGUAGAUUUAGGUCCAUAAUAAAAGGCAGAACUACAUGUUCAUCCACCUGAAAAUUAAGUGAGAAGCAGCAUGGCUAAAUGCAGCUCAUAACAUCAAAAUUACUGCAACAUGAGAGAUUGCUCACCAAAUCACACAAAAAUUUUGUUUUGAUUGGGAUAUUUCAGAUCACUUUGUGAAAGAGAGCAAGUUCAACAAGAAAAAACUACCAAUUCUCAUCAGCUUCGCAGUUUUACUCCUGGGAACGAUUAUAGUUGGAUUGAUAUUGUACAUACGGAAGAAGAAACUCAGAAAUGAAGGUAAAAAUCUCAGACAAGGACUCCGACUUUUAUUUUAUUUCUGUAUAUAUGAUUAUAAAAUUCAGGAACAAAAAUAUAAUUCAGAGUAUCAUGACAUUGACAAUGAAAAAUGCAGUAGAUAAAGUGUAACUAAUUGCUCACAUCAUUUUUACCCGUACUGAAGAAAUCUCCUACUGUUUCAGGAGUCAGAAGAAAUGAUUUCAGAAAAGAGUAUCUUGGAGAAGACAGGGAGUUACCACUAUUUGACUUGACCACCAUAGCCAAAGCAACUGAUAACUUUUCAAGCAGCAACAAGUUGGGAGAAGGUGGUUUUGGACCUGUGUACAAGGUAACAUAAAUUCAAGCAACUAAGAUGAGCUACUUUGCUAUACGUAAUUUAAGACUUUUCGAAACGGUAAUCCAUAGGGCACAUUGAUGGGAGGGAAAGAAGUUGCAGUUAAGAGACUAUCGAAGGAUUCUGGACAAGGAAUGAGGGAGUUCAAAAAUGAAGUAAAAAUGAUAGCCAGACUUCAGCAUCGGAAUCUAGUAAAACUUCUGGGCUGUUGCACUCAAGAAGAUGAAAAGAUUCUAAUAUAUGAAUUCAUGCCUAAUAGAAGCUUAGACUUCUUUGUUUUUGGUAUGAUUCCCUCCAAAACCAAACAUGUGGCUUUUAGAUCAUACCAUCCUUCACCUUUUAAACUUAUUUUACCAGGAUUCAAUGUGACACUAAUUAACAUGCUUAAAGUUUCUUCAGAUGAAGAGGGACGAAAAUUGCUCAACUGGACUAAGUGCUUCCACAUUAUUGGUGGAAUUGCUCGGGGACUUGUUUAUCUUCACCAUGACUCUAGAUUAAGGGUUAUCCAUCGAGAUCUGAAAGCUAGCAAUAUUCUGCUUGAUAAUAAUUUGAACCCAAAGAUUGCAGACUUUGGCUUGGCUAAAAUAUUCGACAGUGAUCAAAGUCAGGCCAGUACAAAUAGAGUGGUGGGAACCUAGUAAGUAUGAUCAAACUUGUUAUAUGAUUUAUGUUUUACAUUGUGUUGUUCUCUUGAAAUUCUUUCUCACUGGUCACUGCAAUUUGAUCUGGCAGUGGUUAUAUGUCUCCCGAAUAUGCUGUAGAUGGAAUUUUCUCAAUGAAAUCGGAUGUCUUCAGCUUUGGAGUUAUACUGCUAGAGAUGUUGUGUAGGAAGAAGAACAGGGGUUUUUGUCAUCCGGAUCACCACCUUAACCUUCUUGGACAUGUAAGUAUAACGAACGUGGUGCUCAUAUUUUACUUUAAAAUAACAUCUCGUCUAAUGAGAUGCCGUAUAACAGUAUAGACGGUAAGCAGCAAUGCUCCAAUCCCAUGCAAUUCUACUAACACAUCAUAUGUGUUCAACUUUUUUUAAAGGCAUGGAUGCUAUGGAUGCAAGAUAAACAACUGGAAUUGAUCGAUAAGACUCUUUCUGAUUCGUGCAAUAUAUAUGAAGUGGUAAGGUGUCUUCAUGUGGGGCUGUUAUGUGUGCAAAGAGUACCUGAGGAUAGACCAAGCAUGUCAUCUGUGGUUCUGAUGUUGAGCAGUGAUGUUGCCUUGCCUUCUCCAAAGCAGCCUGGUUUUUACACUGAACGAAGUGUCUCUGAAUCACCAUCAAGCAAGCGUCAAUGUUCAGAGAAU